GUAAGAAAAGCUCUCAGGCUUGUUUUUGGAUUCACGAAGUUGCAAACUGGUAUUCGUGAUAAUUUUUCGAAUGCUGAGAUUGUAACCGGGAUAUGGAGGCCAGUGGCAGUGUUAAUACAGAACAAACAGCAGCUGUGUUUAUCCCGUUUUGCUCGUCUGUCGUCAAUGUCUUAUUGCAUUAUUAAUAUUUAUUUGCUUCUAUUUUUGUCUGUAUGAUGCAGUUUGAUACGCUACCCUACGCGAGUGCUUUAUUUAUCCCACAGACGAACGUGAUACUUGUUUUGCAGGAAUUAUUGACAAUAUGUUUCAUAAAACAGAUUAAAAUUAACAUUUCAUUUCAGUUUUUUUUUUUUCUCUUUUUUUCCCCUAAUCGUUGAAAUCAAAUGAUUUAACCACCUCAAAGCAUCAAUAAAUUCAAUAGCAUUAAAAUUGGUAGAUCCAGUUUUUAAAGUAUCAAUGGUCCAGGUUGUGCUAUAUUAUUUGGUGAAAUGAUGUGGCACAAUCUCGGUCAUCGGUCUUUAAAAAUCGAGUGUAUCCAAGUGUGAGACAAUUCAAUAACGUGUAAUGUGGAAGUCUUUCAAGAACAUCUUGGGGGUAUGCAUGGUUUUGGAUAUCAGUUCCGUGCACCAUUUGGCUGACCGAAUUCGCACUUGGCAGGUUAGUCAUUUUUUGACCUAUAUUCGUCUCGCAUAUCAGUGUCUACUUGAUUAUCGGAUAUUCACGGAAAGAGAGUCGGGUCAAUGGAUAUCUGCUCUCCUACUCAUCAUUUAAUGUUUUUAAAAAAUAAUUUAUACUAAUUUAAUUUUGUAUUUUAUAUAUUCAUCUAAAAUUCAACAUAGAUUUUUUCUAAAAAAAAAUGGUCUUUUAUUGAGAAACAAACAAGUAAAAAGACUACAAGAAAAAAAAAAUAAAAAAUUCAAAAUCAAUGAAAAUUUGAAAUAAGUAGUACCUUUUUUCUUAAAUAUACAUUUCAUAGCAAUAAAACUCUUCUCUAAAAAAUAUUAGAUCAUGACAUCUACAAAUAAAUCUUGUAAGCAAACUAUAGCCUCUCAUAUUUGUAGCGCAAUUUUUUCUAUCAAAUUAUUUAGUUAGCUUUAAAAAUAUUAUUUUGUAGUAUGUGUAUAAAUAUAAAAAAUAAAAAAUAUAUAUGUGUGGGAUAGGUUGGAUACCCGUAGGUUCUUAAUUCUUUUUGACCCCAACUUGCUAUGUAUAUAAGCCGGUAUGUGACCUCUUUUGAUCCGAUCAAAUAGUGCGGAUCGCCAAUCACGGACCCUAGUUUUCAGAUUGGAUUUGUUCGAAUAUUGUGGGCAUUUUUUGCCAACUCGUAGGAACAUCUAUACUUCUUAUUUCUUACCUUUGGGGCAAACACUUGGCCCAAAUCUACUAUAAUUUACUCUUAAUCCAUAGACUAACUUUGGUUUGUACUAAUCUUUUUCAGUCAUUGCUUUCAUAAACUCAACUUGUAUCAACUGCAGCAAUCAUCUCCUCAUUGUCAUACUUUGCAAUUUACAGUUUUAUUUUCCACGCAGUAUGGUUAAACUGCUAACUAUUAAACAUGUCAUUAAAAGGUACUGUUCUGUUUGUUCUUGAAAAAGGAAACACGCCCUUCAAAUUGAAAAUCACAGUGAUGUUUGAAGAAUGCCUAUACUUGGAUAGCUAUUCUUUCCCACACAAUUGCUUAUACCACAGCAGCAACACCUUGUUCUACAGACAAGGCGAUAAAAUUCCAGGGCUUUGUUAAUAGGCCUCUACUUCACAUGGUAUGGUGAUUAUUAUGGAGAUAAAACUACAGCAGGUAAAACUACUUGAUGUUGAUAUGCCUGUAGGCUACUUGGUAUGUUAAUCUGAUGAAAAUAUGAAAAAGGAAGCUGUGUUGAAGAAAAAUCUGGUACUCAAAAUAUACUUAAAAAUGUUUCCUCAAUUUAUUAAGAAAAGAUAGUCGCUGGAAGUCAUCUAUGCAACACGUCAGAGAGAAAUAAAGGUGCCACUAACUACAUGAAACUCAUCUAAAAGGAAACAUCACUUUCAGCAGCCGUUUUUGAGCAACAAAAGCACAGAAAAUGAACAUGCCAAAGGAUGUUAGAUUCUGAAAUCCUCCAUAAGAGAGACAGGUAUCACCAUCGAGGCAUUGCCAGUGAAUUUCCUGAUGUUAAACCCUGCUGUUUGCUGGCAAUGGCAAGACACCAUCAAAGAAAUCCCCGAAGUAACCACGGGGCUCAUGCACUAGCUUUGAAAUGAUGUCUCUUAGCGUGAUCACCCCCUCUAGAUUUCCCAGACCAUCAACGACGUAUAUCCGAUGGAUUUUCAUGGAAUCAAGCUUCAUAAUAACAUCUUUAAGUGUACUGUCUCUUGUGCAUGUUACCAUGUUCUUCAAGAGUGGGGAAUCCUUUUGAUGCUCCUCCAGAUAGCUUCGAACAGCUGUCAGGAAGUUCUUGGCCAUGAUAGAUCUGUAAAUGGAAUAGCACAUACACUAUCAGUAUUUGAUAAAUAGGGGUAAAGUCACUUGUGUACCAACACUUGAACAGGAAAAGCACCCAGUAAAGUCCCUCAAAUAUUAAUAAACCAAACCAAAAAGCAAAAACUGAAUGUCCAAUAGUUUUGAUUGCUUAGUAGAGUACACUUUUAAGACCAAACUGCUAACUUACGGUAUAUGAAAGCAGAAUUGAAGUAGAUCUUCAGUCUCAUGUUAUUUGAAGCUUCGCUCCAUGAACAAGUAGAUGCCCCGUACAGCUUUUAAAUUUAGUCAUUUCCACAGAAAUAGUGAUACAUGAACCUUUUAUUCAACCUCAAUUUACUAAUGUGUGUAUAUGUUUUUACUUUGUAUAGGUUCUCAAAUUUUGAACUAUGGGGUAAAUGCACUACAAAGAUGCCAAUAUAUCUAGUAGAAAUAUUUAAGCUAGACCAAAGUUGCCAACCUGCCCAAAGUCUCGGCUCUAUUACAGCCUCUACACUUUCCAUUUACUGAAGCAUACAAAACAAAAGCAAGUUUGUACUGCCAUACAUGUUCUAAAAUUAACUCCAGACCUCACAAUUUCUCCCCAUCUUAUAAUUUUUCUGAGAAUUCAGGCAAUAAAGAACAUGAACAUUGUAAAGAGAAAACGCACUAAAUUGUUCACAGACCUGAAUUCUUUGUAUAUCUCUGGUGCAAGUAGAAGGAACUGAAUAUCUCUGAUGCUUAUGUUACCAAUAGCCUUUCUUCCAUUACUUGCAACAACAGGAAUCCCACCAACUCCUUUUUGUCUCAUUAAUUUAAAAGCCUGAAGCACUGGUUCAUCCUCAUAGACCUGCAAAAAGAGGAGGAAAAAUGUGUGUAAAAGAUAGCACCAUAUAUUUGCACAAAACUGGAUGUUUGUCAUUGAAGACGAAGAAAAACUUUGAAAAGCGAGGCAUAAAUCUUCUUUUACUAUGAGUUUUGGGUAGUGCAACUAGAACGUGACCUUAGCUUGUCAUCUAUAAGGGAGAAACUAAUGUGGGAAAAUUAGAAAUACAACUAAUUUCAUCAAAAAGAGAUGAAGAAAGGAGAGCGAGUCCAAGUUUCAGUCCAGAUGAAGUAAACCAGAAAAAGCAAUUCAAAAAGUACCAAAUGUAAUGUCUGUGGCCAAAGAAAAAAUGAAUAAAAAAAGAUCUCUUGUUCAAAUUACGCAAAGGUGAACUUUAAAGAGAAAUUCAAACAGACAAUGGUCUGAUUUAGCUUGUAUUCUUAUUGCCAACCAUGCAUCCAUGUCUAGAUGCCAAAAAUGUCAUCGUUUGGAAUUGAAAGAAACCAAAGAGAACAAAAAUUAAGAAAGUUAAUACAGUCCAAAUUAUUAUUCUUCUCAGAUACACCAAACCAAUUCCACAUUGCUAAAACCUAUAUCUUGUUUCCUUUUAAAUUCUUGUGCUGCACAGUGGAAGAAGCAGCAGGUAUGUUGCAAAAGGACAACUUACUCGAAGAUAUAUGUUGAAUAAAAAUGUUAAGAUUCAUAAAUACAUUGUUGUUCCUUGCCGAAUCUGGAAUUGCUAUAUGUAUAUAUAUACACACAUACUGGGAAAGAAAAUAUCAACUAUCUUGACAAAAACUAUAUACUGCUAGAUGUCAUCGAGUAAAGUAACCAAGUCUGGUACCUUAAUAAUGUGGCUGGGCUUCAUUAGAGGGAGACCAAGUUCAGAUAGUUUCUUUGAACCCCAGCUCUCAAACCAAUGAAGGCCAGCACAUUCUUCAAGCAUGUGAAUGACAGCUGAUUGAGUAAUGAUGUUAUCAAUCUUUUGUUCCCCUGGGUCAACCACAGGAACACUCUUCAUCCUGUACUUGGAUAGCAGCAAAAGCAUUGUCAAGAAAGAGUUCGAUUUUUGCAGGGCGAGAAAUGGAGCCCAGCGGAAUGACCCUGAUAUGUCUCCAACCUGCGAAAUCAUCAGUUAAUGCAAGUAGAAAUGUCUCAAGAAGAAUAACACCAAAAGCUUUGAGAACUACACUAUAAUCAAUAAUAGCUGAAAGAUUCAACUUCAAAUAAGAAGGAAAAACAACCUUUGUGUUCUUAUAGAAGUCAGAAGAAGUCAAGGUCUCAAAAAAGUCCCCAGAAGUUGCAGUAGGAGAUUCAGGGUGCAAACUUCUAUAUCUUGGGGAAGACAUUCCAUUAGCCGCCGCAGCAACAGCAGGACCAAUGCCAUCCUCAGAUUCACUGAACAGCUCAAAAGCUAAUGCAGCAGAUCCAUCCAUUUUUUCUGACUGCAGAAAGAAGCGCAGACCAUACAUCUUUUAACUUAUGCCCCACAGGUGACAAUAAUUUACGGAAACAUUAUUGAACAUCAAAGGGAAUAAAAAGAUCAAAUUGAAGAACAAUCCAGUUGGAAAAAUUUUCCAGUAGCUCAUUGCUAAAUAUAAUAAAAUAUUCCAUGGAAAGAAAAAUUUCUGAAAGUUAAAAUCUGCAGUUUUGCUCAAGGCACAGGGGCAAAUCAGAUUAGCGGAGCCAGAGGACCCAAGAUCACCAAAACACUUAACAACACCGCCAAAUCCCCAAAAAGCCUUACUUUCUGGUGAAAAAGAUUGAAUUAUAUUGCACAACGUCAAGAAACAAUGAUUUCACCCCAUUCUCCCCCCCCCCAACCCCCCCACACACACACACAAAAAGAAAAAAGAAACAACAAAUUUUAACUCCAGUAACUGAAGAACUCUGUCUAUCUUGAAUUUUUUAUUCUUUUUGGGGAUAAUUGCUACUAUUACCAUUAGACAAGCUCAUUAUUGUAGUAUUUAAUGUGUUGGAAAACCAAGAAAUUGGUUAAACCUAUUAUCUGAGAACGACAUGGAACAGUUCACAGAAAAUUACUGGUUCAAAGAAAAUGAUUCCGCCCUUUCUUGAGUCAUGCCUCAGAAUGAUAAACUAAACCAAGAGACAAACUGAGGAUUUUGAUUAUUCCAAGAGAAAAGUUUAAAGGUCUAAGAGUGACAACUUUCCAAAAUCUGAAUGAUAAUUAAGUCCACAACUCCAUUUCCUAAGAAUUAGUGGUUGAUAAAACUGACUUUGAUAAAUUCCAUUGAAACACCAAACCUAAGUUGUUUGCAGAAACAUAUGAUUUCAUAAUAGAGGCAAUUUGACUACAAAUACAAACCUGAUGUAGGAUCGAUACAACAAUCCCAGCAAACUCAACAAUUCCGAUAUAUCUAUCAAUCCAACUCGCAUCCUCUGGAGCUUUAACAUCCACGACAGGUGCACUCAGGAUUUUAUGUUGGGCUAGUAACUUGACCACUUCAGCCAAGCUGGAAUCUGAGUUUAUCUCAACCACUAAACAAGAAGGAGAAAAAAAUCUUAGCCCUUAGGCUGAUAAAGUCAAACCAAGCUGGGGCCAUCACAAAUACGCAAACAUGAAACAGAUAAUGUAAGUGCUUUGAUGGGAGACAAUGGCUUCUAAAGCAGCCAUCAAAUUGUAUGGUGGAUGCACCGUAAUGGAAGGAGAUUGGGCAUAAUCUAGAACAUUAAAAAUAACCUCCACUUCCCCCCCCCCCUCUCCAAAAAAAAAAAAAACCUUUCUAUAUACAACUAUUAGGGUUGUAUGGUGUCUAUUUUUCCAUCAUCCAAGCAAUGUCAUUUCUUCAGUCUCAAAGAGCACCUGGUUAUAAAAAGUGAUGAAUUUCAUACUUAUCUUUACAAUAACAAGUUACUGAAUGUGGAAAUUGAUCUCUAUUAUCAUGAUCAUAAAUAUUUUAAAAUUAUUGAUUUACUUGAGAAACCUACAAAAUAUCUUUUUAUGUUCCAUCUUCUUUUUGGGUUAAAGCUCUUCAACAUUUCAAGUAUUUAACUAGUAUUCUGAAAUCAAGCAUGGUUAGGAGGACUAUAGAUGACCUGGAAGUGGGUUAUGGAGAAUUAAUUGAUCAUUCAAAUUGCUUUCUUUUAUGCUUUGGUGGAUAACAUACAUUAUUAGCACAAGCAUAAUAAUUUGGGAUCCAUCAAAUGUGGGGUAUUCUUGUUUAUCUAAGCAUUUUUAAAGGCAGAUAAGUGCAUAAGGACAUAAGUCGAACAGGUGUAGUGCCACCUACUUUUCUUUCUCACAUUCAUUUUCUUGAAAAAAUGCUCAUUAUUAGAGCCUGGUGCAGAGUGUGGGCAUGUAAUGGAAGUAAACAUAAAAUCACUGGAUCUCCAAGGACAUUAUGGAUUAAGCCAGUAUUGCACAGAAGGUGCAACCUUUGAGUUUCCUCAAUAUAAAUAUUAAAUGAGGUUGAUUGGAGGACCUGCAUUCACUGCUGCUAAAAGCAAUGCAUUCCAACUCUCAAUCUUGCUCUUGUAAUUAUAUUAGGUAUCCUGUUAGUGAGAUAAACAAUCAUCUUGCAACCAAAAAAGAAACAUGACCCUGUGUAGAUUUUCAAACAUUACCUCAUACCUUUGUUCAACAAAGUAGCAUAAAACAGAUGAAUACCAACUGAGAAUACAUAACAAACAACACAAUCAAUUCCAAUUCCUUUAUUGAUCAAUUCAAUCCCAUUUUUCACUUAGAAACCAAACCAGAUAAACGAGAAUUAACCUAAGGAAAAAACUACUACCUCUCACAUACAACAAUUUCCACUUAUUCAAUCGAUCAGACAACAGUCAUUAGCAUGAGAUCAAAGACCCUGAUCCUGAAACUCAAAAAUUAACGGUAAACUUAGAGAUCAUGCUACAAGUUUCUGUCUUUAAUCCAAAAGGGAUCAAAGAACAACGAAAAACCACUCAUAUCAACACUUUUCUAAGGACCUCAAUGUUUGCACAGACAAUUCUCAAAUUUGUACCCGACUAUAAAGUUCACUUCUUUGUUAAUCAGAGGGGAGUUUGAGAUCAACUUGGGAAGAUGGAGCAGGAGGAAAAUCAGAAACUGGGAUGCUCUCGAAACAAGCAUUAAGCUUCUCAGUAGGACUCAACUGAGGUUCUUGAACAUCCCAUAAAUCCUCCACUUGCAUCCCCACCUUGGCUUCUGGGCUUCUUGGAGUUGAACUACCUUCUUCAAUCAUCAUCUUUCCUUAAUCUUCACUAAAACAAACCCACAACCCUCCUCUUUUCCUCUUAAUCUAUCAAUUCUUGCAAACUCCGCAGAGCAAUCAGAUAGUUACAGACAAGAAUUAGAUACUUGUUACGUUCAUGGAACAUUGACACAUUUCGUAGCAUAGGUAAUGAGUAGUGACAAUAAUUGCAUAAAAUAAUGAUGAGACUUAAGACAAAAAGGAACGUUCCUGAAUCCUGCGCAACUCACACGAGUUCAGAUCAAGGAUUAGAACUUGAAGUAAAAUCUCGGACGUCCAUCAUUUCAUAUGGAUACACGUGUUGAAAAUCUGAUACCAAGAUCCAUGACUUGUGAUGGAGUUGUAUGGUCAAAGUUCACCUGUAAUUUCCCCAGUCCUACUCGGCUUCUUCUUAUCCAUACCACCCACAGUAUUACUAGUUUAAAGCCACGACUUAUCCGGAUUUGCAUCAUGUCCACUCCUCUUGUGGCACUAAGUUAAUUCUUUUCUUCUUAGGACAUGUGUAUUAUAUACGUAUAUAUGUAUAUCUAUUCUAAGUUGACGUGUAUGCAAAAAUAUCUUUGUAGACUUUGCUAGUUCACGCUUGGUGCCAACAUCAUUUGAGCUGAUAUGCAUGAAGUCGACUCAGAUCAUUGUCUCGACCUUGAUUUCUGUCGAUGAUAUCUUGUAAAGAAAUUUUGUUGUUCGAGCUAGAUUUAGUUAAUAAAGAGCAUUGACUCAAACUUCCAACAAGAUUAUAAGUUUGGGAAAAUUAUGUAUAAGAUACAGGGAUCACUUGUAGAUCAUGUGAUAUAUUCAAAAGUCAUUAUAAUUUUUUUUUUUAUCAUCGUACUUUACUUAUUACUUACGAUCAUUCAUUCUUCUUAUAUCAUCGUACAUCAUCCUAAAUAUGUGACUCUUGAAUGUACCAUAUGAAUUAUAAUGUAGCAUGUAUAUCAAAUCUACCCAAGUAUUAUUUGAGGUCAUUUAGGCUAUGAUCAAAUUAUCAUUCCCAUAGUUAUAAAAUUUGGUUCGAUCUGAACCAGUCAUAAGAUCGGAUUGGAUUGCUAAUUAAACUAGUUAAAUAAUAAAUUCAUUGAUCAAUCAACGAUUCAUCGGUUCAAAUGAUGGGUCGAGAAAAAACCUCCAAUUGAACCGACAACUAAAAAUUUUACUAUUUUUAUAAUUUAAAUUAUAUUAUUAUAUUAUACAAUAUAAUUAUUAUGCAACCUACGGUUGAACUGAUGACUCAAUCACCUUUUCAAGGUGAGCUCCAAGCCGAGUUUAAUAACUAUGAUCAUUCUUGAUGUAUAAACCUUGUUAGAAUGACCCAAGGCUCUAUCAUUCCAAACUUGGCAAGAUUUAUGUGCAUAGUUGAGUUUGCAGUAAAUGUACACAAAAAUUCUCCUAAUCAUCACAUGGUGAAUUUGCGAGUUGAGAUAACAAUUGACAUAAAAAAGCUUAUUUGAAACAUAUAAGAUCAUAAAUACGUUAAGUACAUACAUUUUCUCUGAGCCCUAAACAAAUGUAAUUUCUUCUUAUUGAGCACAACUAGCCUAACUUAGCCUAACACAACUUAUCCUAGUUAAACCCAAGUGAUUAGCAAGCCAUGUGAUCUUAAUUACAAGGAGCCCAACUAGACAGUUAAAGAGGUAAGUAAGGGUUGGACUUAUCAGCCAUUGGGCGAAGCCCUUGAAUGUGCAAAAUUUUAGAUACAAUGUGAGUUUUUUUUUUUGGUUCGAAUAUACUGUCAAAAGAUAAACGAGAGACUUAUUAGUUUAUGCAUUAAAUAAAAAAAAGGUUAUCAAAUUGAUAAUUGGCCUAUACAUUGUCUAUAUACAGCAAGUUUAAAAUUAAAUAGAAUCUAAAAACUCUUCAAUUCGCAUUAAUGUUCUUAAAAAAUAUAUCGCUAAUAUGUAUCAUAUGCUUACAUUCAAUUUUUCAAUCAUAUCAUUUAAGUUUUAAAUUAAGAGUUCUCUUUCAUUGUUUUGUUAAACUAACAACAAAAAAAAUUGAAAUGCGACCACCUAACUCACAUGUAACUAAUAUUAUUAUUUUCAUCUCAAAACCUAUACAAGCAAAUCGAAUCGAAUACUAGAUGAAUUUAAUUGUCAUUCUAAUAUUAGUGUGUUUGAAUUGUAAGUUAUUUGACAUAUUUUUACUGUAAUACUUUUUGUGAUGUAAUGUAUGUGAGAUAAAAAGAUAAUUGAGAAGAUAAAAAGAUGUAUUGAAAUUUGUAAUGGUGAAAUAAGCAAAUAUAUUUAGGCAAAUAACUUACCAUCCAAACACAUAUAUUAUUUCCCGGCCCAAUUAUGAUGUUUUCAGGUUGGCCCACUUCCAUGUCAUCCACUGCCACAUCAUCAGAGAGAAGUCCCCACCACCAUGUCAACUAUCCAACAUGCCAAUCUUUGAUGAGUUGGCAACAUGCAUCUAAAGGGGUAAAAUAGUCUUUCCAUAUAUCAUCGUCGUCUUCUAUAGUAAACACAUAAUGACUCCUGUCUGCUAGCCCUCGGCUCUGCCCCUCCCCUUCAUAUAUGUCUAUUUCCCCUUAAUUUUAAUUUUAGUUUCUGCAGGAAGGUUUGAUUUAAUUCAUCUGGUAGUUUUUCCUGGUUCCAUAAAUGGAGGGCUCUUCAGCUCUGCCGUCCGAUUCCAACAAUCAAAAUCCGAUGGGCGGAGCCGCCGAAUUUCUCUCCAACCUUCCUUCUCGCGGCCUCUUCUCCUCCACUGUCCUCUCUUCCAAUCCGGUACUUCAAUUUUUCGUCAUAAGUUUUCCCUUUUUAAGCAUUUGAUUUUUCUCUUUUUUUUUUUUGGAUUGGAAAAAUUUGUAAUUUAUGGUACUAAAGUUAAAUAUAUAAUGUAGUAAAAUUGCUUAAGUUCGUAUAAGUCUGGAAAAUUGUAUAGCAUUUGCUAAUGUGAGAAUUAGUUGGUGAAAAUGGAGUUAAGAAGGGACGGUAACCAUUGACGUUAAGGGUUUGGGGAGGUCAAUUAGAUGCUAACUGUUUGCUAUUCAGGUUUGAAGAGUAUGCUAUUUGUGUUUGAUGUUGUGGGGGAUUUCGAUUACGUGCUUUUCUUUAAUCAGUGUUGGAGGGGAAAAAAAGGGAUUUUUUUUUUUUAAUUUCAUGGUUUGAAUUUGAUUCACAACAUUGGUAUUUAGCGGCCAUUUUUAUGGUGUUUUUAGUUGGUAGUGAACCUAAUUCAUGGCCUUGUGUGCUUAAAUAAUUGUGUUAUUGUGAUUCUUACCUUGUUUAUGGUAAUAGAGGUUGUCUUAAGUAGUGUGGCGUGUUUUAUGAGAACAAGAAGGAUGGACUUUGUUUUCACGCUUUUGUUUUAGCUGAUGAUACUUCAAGUCUGAUCUGCACUGAUAGGACUGCAAUUUAGGUAGUGUUGGUUUGUUAACAAUAUUUGAGAGGUUCUUGGCAGAGUAAAAUUGAAGUAUUUCACACUGUUGUUUUAACUGAUGAUACUGCAAUUCUGAUAUGUGCUGAUAGGACUGCAACUUAGGGGUUUGUUAACAAUUUUUGAGAGGCUCUUGGCGGAGUAAAUUUGAAGUAUUUUACUAUGUAUGGUUGUAAUAGGUGAUUCAGCUUCAAAGUCAAGGUUGCUUACUCAUUCAAAAGUUAAACAUUGCAGGAAGAAUUGUUACAUUUAUGCUUUAAUUGUUGGUAUAUCGCAUUUUGAAUAUCCAUAUCCAGUAGUUUUACAAUUUUGUAGACGUCCAGACAUGAGACAUGCAGUUCCUCAUUGUUAAUAUGCAUCUGUAUUCUGUAUUCUCCUUUUCAGUUUAAACUCUACUAUUUACUUUUGUAAGAAACUUGUGCAGGGUGGCAUGCGAGUCUACAUAUGCGAUCAUGAUACAGCACCACCAGGUCCUCUUCGUUAACUAUAUAGAAUGUAUUUGGUUUAUUACUUUUGAAAGCUUGUGCAGUGGACUAUUAAGAUGAGAUGGACUUCUGCUUUCUUAUUUAAAAAAAUGCAUAUAUAUCAGGAUUCAAAAACCAAAUUAUCGUGUAGAUAAGAUGAUGUGACAGUUUUGGCCAUAGUUGAUGUUACACUAGAAAGGUUAGAGCAAGAAAUAUGACUCGCAUGACAGUUUCCUUGAGGGUUUGUUGAAUUUAGCUUAUCUAUAUUAGCUGUUGAAACUACACCAUUGUCUUUUUGCCCAGUUAGAUGGCUAAUACUCUUACUUCAUGGAAGGAGUACCGAUACUCUCUGACUUUCUAAGGGAGAGUGACUAUUAGUUUAUGGUAUUACUUGUGAACCAAAAAACAGAAAUAUUUGUAGAAGAUUGUGAUGAAUUAGGUGAUUUAAGCCUUGUGUACAAACAAAAUAGGGGAAUGAAAGUGGUAGAAAGUGACAAAUAUUCUGUUAUGGGUACAUGAUGUAUCUUUAAACUACUGGAAGAUUCCAUAUCUUGUCCAAUGGAUUUUCCUCUGCUCGCCUGGUUUGCAUUGUGAGUAAGGAACUUUUAGGCUAACCUAACUUUGGUGUGGACACUUAAAGGAUUUGUAGCUUCCUUAGCUAAGUCGAGUUUAUAUGUUCAGGAAGCCUAGAUCUUGAUUCAAAUUUAACACAAAGUUCACUCUUUAUUACAUGAUUUGCAUGCGAAGACAAGAUUCUGUGUGGUGCAUGAAGAUUCGAUAGUUACGUAUCUUAGUCAAGGACAUAGCUUCUUUCAUUUUAUGAGAAGCUGCUGCAUUGGUUUUCCACUUUAAUUAUAUUAGACACUAGAUGAUGUUCGAAAAGGCUUUGCAUGAUUUCAUUGUUAUAGUUGUGCUUUCUGAGCCAUAUAAGUAUAACCGAAUUGUUGACUCUGUUACUACUAUGUAUGCAGCGGAGCAACUCAUAAAGACAAACCAAACAAACAUAUUAAUUAGGUCAUUAAUGCUGAAGAAACAAAAGGGUGAUUCCGGUUCAAAAGAUGGAAAGGCUAAUGCAUCAAAUGAAUCUUCUAGAAAAAGGUUAACUCUUUUCCUCUCUCAGGAUUUUGUUAGUUGCUUUGCAGUUAUAACAAUUGCAGUUGCUUUUUUUUCUACCUCUGGAUAAAAUCUAGCGGUUGCUUCUUGGUGUUUUAAUCACUUCAUGGUUACAAUGUUUGUCACAGUAUUUACGUGAUCUCUAAUUUCAGGACUGCUGAUAGAGCGUUAGACAGCAGGGCUAAAAGGGCAAUGACCAUCAGUCAGGUUGCUUCUCGGCAAGGUGAGUACGAAUCGUUCAGUUGCUUAUUAUCUUUAGCAAAAUGCAGGACCAGAAGAUAACUUCUACAGAAUGAGAAUGUUCUGCUGGUACAAUGCACUUAUGAAAUUGUUUGGCAGUAAAUGAAUUUGCGAGUGAAAAAUGGUCACCAUUUUGGUGAUAGGCUUAGUGGCUGCGUUUGUGCUCCCUUUUCCCUGAGGAAUUCAGUGAUCAAGAAUAAAGACUGCAUUUUUGGUCUGCCUUGCAGUCCAAGAGCCUCGGCUUUUUUAGCAUCACUGAAUGCGCCAAACGUCCACACUAGGUUUUCCUUUAACAGACAAGUUUAUUGUCUUCAGAGCGUAUGUAUUUUAUUAAGCAAGAGUGUCACGUUCCUUUAGCAGAUGUGCCCAUUAUUUCUCUUUCAUUGUUUAGAAGAUGAAGGCAUGUGUCAAUUACGGAAUAUGCCUUCUGCAAAGCUAUUUGUCAUGUUGUACUCUACCAUCCUUAUUAUCAUUGUUGGUGUCAUUAGUAUUCUUAUUAUUAUUCACUUGUAAGAAGGUUAUACAAAGGCUGGGUUUUUGCUCUUUUAUUUGGUUCAUGUUAGACAUUUGAUGAACCUUAUCUUUUGUGAGCUUGCAGAGGGAUCAAAAUCACGCUUGCCUGAGAGGGAUCUGCAGAGUUUAACGGUUGAGAGAAUUCGUGCUCUUCUGAAGGAGAGAGGUCUCUCCCUGAAAGGAAGAAAGGCAAGUAUCCUUUUACUUUUGAUUGAAAUAAAGUUUGACUCGCCUAGAAUUGAGUGUCAUCUCCAUCAUCCAUCUCUUGCAUUUUGGUUGAGAGACCUGUUUUUGAAGUUUAGAUUCUGAAUGAUUAUCGGAAUACUAGAUGCUAAUACUGAAGUAGAGAUAAAUGUUCGACUAGUGACUGUAGAAGAUAAAGUCAUGUUCAUUCCAAGCCAUAGCACAGUGAGUAGGCACAUGUAUGUAGUGUAGUUAUUUGAAUUUGGAUAUCCACUCUGUGUCUUAGAUAUCACCUCAAAAUGGGCAUUAGCUCUACCACUUUUGUUGUGAGAAAACAAACACAAUUUCGUUCUAGAAAUAGUAAUGAUGCAAUCUAUGGAUAUUCUGCUUUGCGACUUGAAAUUUUGGGUUUUUGGAAGUUGGGGUGUGUGGAUUAGUAGCCAAAUAGCUUGCUAAUUGUUGUCUGGAAAUCUCUCUUGCAUGUUUGCUUGAUUUGUGAUUAUCUAUCUGUACAGGAUGAGUUGAUUUCCCGCUUGAAAGGCGCAAAUGAGUAAUGCAUGAUUUUUCAAAGCUGGGAAGGUGACCGCACCUACAUGUACCAACUUUUGCUGGCAGAAUCUAGGUUUUGUUGUAACUUUCUUAUACUCUGGACUAAUUUUGAAAGAGAUGUCGUGAUGCAACUUGCAAUUGCCCGCUUUGACUGCCUCCGUGUGUUGUAUUAUCAUGGAACUCUCUUACUUGUGGAGUGGGAUGCUUGGUAGUAGAUAUCUCAACUUUGACCAAUGUAACAUGGUGGGUUUAUCAUCCUUGCCGCAGUUGAUGAUGACAUCCUUUUUAGCUUCACCCUCUUCCUUUUUGUUUGCCAGGUAUUGCUUAGACUUGUCGAUCAAGUGCAAUUAAAGUUUGUCUUCUGUUUACAUAGGUUGAUCAUGGCUGUAGUCUACGGCCUGCAAAUAAAUCGCCCUCAUGUUCUAUCCGUUUGAAUUUCAUAAUCCGCAUUGCCUGGUGUAGGGGGGCAAAAGAAAAGGAUCCCUUACCCGAGCAGGGAAAAAUAGGGAAAUGAAGAGUGAAAUGAGAAAUAAUAUAUAACUAGUUUACUGUGCCCUCCUAGUUGGAUAGAUUUUAGACAAUUGAGUCAGUGCUAGAGGUGUGUUUGGAUAGCAACUAUUUGACCAAAAAUUAUUUGCUUAUAUCACAAACGCGUCUCACCUUUCAACACAACUUCUUAUCUCGCACGCAUCAUAUCACAAAGAUGCGAUAGUAAUUAUUUCAAAUACGAUUCCAAGUAAUCUUAAGGCUUUGUACUAUAUCAUUGUAAUUGAUCGAAUCCUUCCAAGCAAGUAGUAAUAUUUAUAGCUCUUCUUCCAAGCAAGUAGUAAUAUUUAUAGCGCUUUAGAGUUGUUUGCCCUUCCUAAAGUUUCCAUUCCUAUGAAGUCUCAUUGGGUUCUGGGUUUGCUCUGCAUGAUGCUUCCGGGCUUUCAUCGAGCAAUGCCUGAAGCACACAUAAAAGUAUAAAAGGAACGUUGGAAGAACACUAGAAAUUGAUUGCUGGAGUAUCAUUCCAUGUCUAAUGUGAAUGCUACCCGCCAACCCCGAACGAUGCACCAUCGAUUUAGCAAAGUUGUCGACAAUUUUGGCCCUUAUGCUGGUCAAGGCUAUCCUUGAUUUCUUAUUAAUAUUGCGAUCUCAAAAGGGUUUGUUGGGUUCUUACGUGUACAAGGGAUAAUGACUAUUGCAGGAAGCUCCCUUCUAAUUUAAAAAAUUACACCUACCUCCUCUAUGAUUAGUAUUUCAGUAACAAUAUAAACCCAAUAUGCUAACUUUCUCCUCGAAAAUCCUAAAAUACCCCUUUGUUACUUAAAAAGGGGGAAAAACAAACUAAUAAAUUUCUUUCAUAUUGCAACUAUUGUAAACGACAUAACCACCACUGUAACGAAUUUAAUAAACCACUUCACUUUAAUUCCUAUAUUCUUACAAUUUUGAGAGUCUACUAUUGCCACCCCAAAGCUUCCCCUGCAAAUCAACUGUGAUAAUUAAAGUUUGCAUUCAACCUAAUAUUUAGCCCUUUUUUUUUUUUUGCCUAAAUUCAAUGUUUGAAUUGACCAAUAUUACUAUUCAACCUCGUUGUUACUAAAAUAAUAUAACCUACCAAAAAUACCAACAUGAGCAACCAAAAGUAACACUAGAAACCACAUCCCAUGUCUCUAGUCAAAUCUGAUUGUAGUUUUUAUAUCUCAAAAUUCUUUUUUACCCAAUUGGGCAUAAUACCGUAACCUUCUUUAAUCCACGUUUCCUUUUUAGCUAUCAUUUUUAUUUUUUUGUACGUACUCAGUAUCACCUGCAUCUUUUGCACCUUCAUUUGUUUUGACAACAAAUAUGAUCCGACAACUUGUCAUUUUGUAAUUUCGAUUCAAUAAUACUUAUAAAAAAAAAAAGAAUACAAAAAAAAAAGAGUGUGUCUAUUUGCAAAAAAAUAGUGGUUUAUGAGACGUAGGAGAAAGAAUGUAAGAGAAAGAGUUGGAGAGAUAGAACAAGAGUUUAGUUUGUGUGGCAGCAGUUACUUAGAACAAGAGUUUAGUUUAGUUUAGAACAAGUGUUUGUAAGAAUUAUUUAUAAGUGAAUGAUGAUAUUAUAGUCAUUUUACUACAUGAAGGGAGGUUAGUGUAAUUAUUCAAAUCUGAAGGGAGUUUAGUGAAAUUGUCAAAUUAUCCCCGUGUACAAAUGUCUAACUAUAUUGGAGUUUCCAAGAGAAAAAGUCAACGCUAGUUGAUUGAUCCAUCAGCUCUAAGAAUCGAUUGUUUGACAUUCAUACGAAACAGUCAACCAGUCUUAAAUUCCCCUAAAUCUUGUCUUUUUUAUUUAACCUAAUGCUUUUUUGACUUUGGUUGAGUAAUGGCCUGCAACUUUUGGUUUACGAAGGCUGGCCAAAAGAGCAGCGGCGUAAGUCGGCAAGUUUGGAGACUGGACAGAGAUUAUAAAAUUCUUUGACGUCCAUUUUUUGGAUUUGACCUUAAGUACGUUACUUAGUCAAAAUUGGCUUCUAAUUUGGCUGUUAUUGCAAAUUAAAACUGAAUGAAGGCAGAAAAGAUAUGUGCAAGAAUUUCAAGAAAGGAUGAUCUUCAAAAGCAGCAUUUUUUCUUUUUUUUUUUUUUUUUGGAAAAUGAAGACGAAAUGUAGCAUUUGGUAGAGAGUUAGGUAUACGAAGAAAAGCAAAGAGAUAAGGCAUAACGAAGUGGGCAUCAGCAUAAUACUGUGCCCUUAAAAUAUAUAGAAAUAGAAAAAGAAGAGAAAUCAACUUGAAAAAGCGAUUCGUGAAAUAAUUGAAAUAAAAGACUUGCAAAAAUGAUCGAAGAACCGAAAGGGGUUCAACUAUUGGAUUUUGCACUUAGUCAAAUACUUCUUUUUAGAUUUUAAAAAAUCUCCGAACACAUUUUCUACUCAUCUUUUCAUUACGCAUUCAUCAAUUAUAUACUACAUAUUAUAAUAAUAUUUUUUCAAAGCCUCCCCCAAAAAAAAACACAAUUUUGACUGAGCUAAAACCUCAAGAAAAGCUUCUUAUAUUUUGGUAUGUUUUAAUUUGCAAAAAAAAAAAAAUUGAUUACAUUAUAAUGCAUUUUUUAAAUCAUCUUUCUAUUUUACAUAUAUCUCACUGUAAAAAGUAUUAUUUUUAAAAAAUUGUUCUGUAUAAUCUCCCAUCCAAACACACGUUUUUAAUGGGAAAAGGGACGUACACAUACAAGGCCAAAUUUCUAAUUCCUCUAUUAAUGUUUAUCUUAUGACCCGAAGAAAAGAGCUCGAGCUCAAACUCUUAACUCAAUGGAUUUAAUUCCUAAUCUUCCUCUUAGCUCACUAGUCUUUACAGAGGACAAAAACAUCUGCCUUUUUUUUUUUUUUUUUGAGUGAAUGAGAAAAUGUCACUCUAUUUACCUCUUCCAUUGAUAGACAAAACAAAGUGUUAAUUUGGCCUCUGCAGAAAUGCAGACUCGUUGACACAAGUGACAAGACAAGACUAGAGACAGCCACUAAAGAAUUACUGCACAUUUUCUUUCUCUUUUCUAUUUUUCUUGAUUUCAAGCAGAAUUUUUAACAGUAACCUCCUUAAGAGCACGUGAUUCAUCAGCUCUUAUAAAUAGCCUGCAUGAAAGUUGUAGAAGGGACAGAUGUCAUGUCACGCCAGGAGAUGGCUUUCGUUACUUGAGACUGUAGCCAAAGAAGAAAAAGACUAAUAGCCACAAAAUAUUACCGACACAGCAGGUUUUGAAUUAUCCUUUCUAAAAACCAUUCAAUAAAUAGUGAAAUUUUUUUAAAAGAAAUUCUCUUUGCAACAUUUGAUGUAAUUAUAUGAGAUAUAUUUUAACAAGUCAUUUCAAAUUCCAAUUCGUAUAAAAAUAAAAAUACCUCCAAAAUUGAGUUUAAAAAAUUUUAAAUUAAGAACCUAUUUAGAUUACUAUUUUUUUGAAAUUUUUGUAAAAAAAAAAAAAGGCAUCACAGUGAUUUGAUAUACGUGACAUAAAAAAAUCGAAAAUGUGUUCAUGUAAAAUGUAAAAUUUUUUUGGAGAAAAAAAUAUCAAUACAUAACUUUAUUUGUUCAAAUAUUGUCGCAAUAAAAAUUAAAAAGCAACCGAAAUAAUUGAAUAAUGCCUAAAAAAUUAUAAACUAAAUGAUUUAAGUUUGACGGAAAAGUAAGCAAAUUAAGGUUUAAAAAAAAAGGUCGGUAAAAGCAGACGGGAAAUGAUAACUGGGCCACCACUUUUGGACGGCGCUCGAUGCAAUAUGGACUGCAAUUGGCAGCGAAGCUAAGGCCCAUAUUCUCGCCCUAUCUUAAGCCUGUAAGGCUGCGCCACCAAAACGGCGCCGCAGUUUUCUAGGUGGAUCUUGAGAGAAAAUAUUGGAUAUGGCAGUCGUCUGCUCUGUUCUGUCUUGUCGCAUCUUGAUUUCUUCUGAAAAGAAAUCAUUGUUUCGAUUUUUUCAGUUGUUUUUCCCUGUUGCUUUUAAAGUGGAAUUUGACUUUUAUGUUGAUGUUAAAGGACAAGCCCUAAGAUGCAUUAUGAACAUAAUUUCUACUUUUUAAAGUAAGGCAGACCAGUGUGUUUGGAUUGAGAUCAUUUGAAAAAAAAUAAUUUAAUUCACAAAUCUCAAUCACCUUUUUAUUUUUUCAAUCAUUUUUUUAUCUCACAUAUAUCACAUUAUAAAAAGUGUUACAGUAAUUAUCUCAAAUAAACUCCUAUCCAAACAAACUGUGUUUAGAUAUUAAAUUAUUUGGAAUAAUUUCUUUAAAAAUAUUGUAAUAUUUUUUUGUAUGAUGUAUAUGUUACAAAAAGGUGGUUAAACAGUGUAGUUAUCGUGUAAAUAAGUAUAUCUGAGCAAAUAAUCUAAUAUCCAAACAAUGCUUAAUAGUUACCAAAAGGGAAUUUUUUUUUUUUUUUUGAUAAUCUUCCAAAAGUUUGAUUAAUUUGCUGUGGUAAGACAAGGAUUGGAUAACUCAAAUAAUGCUAAUGUAAGCUUUAGGACUUUUUAACUUUGAAUUAACCAAUUUGGAGUUUGCUACCUUAGUGGGCUAGUUUUUUCUAGUGUAUGCUAGAAUUUUAGCGGUUUAUUUAGUUCAAUGCAAUUAAAAUACAAUACAUUGAAUGUACUCUUCAAUUUUCUAGUUUGUCAAAGACAUUAAAAGAAUAGUUGAUUUUAAGUUGAUUAAAGAAAUUAUAGAACAAGAUUUAAAAUAGGAACAACAAAUGUAAUAACACAUCAUAUAAUAUAAGUGAAUAUUUUAUGUAGUAAAAAAUUUAACAAAAUUCUCCAAUUUACAUGUAUUAAUUUUUUAGAUGUCCUAAAAAUUGACAUCUGUAGCUGUAGCUAAACUAUGUUGAUAAAAUAAAAGAAGUAAAAUCCUCGCAAAAUUGUGAACAUAUCUGUUAGACUAAUUAACCCUAGGUUAAAAGAAGUAACUAUUUUCACUUUGAAUUUUUUUAUAAACACACUCACGAUUAAAAGAAGUAAAAUCCUAAGAAUAUACACACUCACGAUUAAUUAGCUGUGGUAAGACAACGAUUGGAUGGCUCAAAAUGCCAAUGUAAGCAUUGGGACUUGUUAACUUUGAAUUAACCAAUUUGGAGUUUUUCUACAUUCGUGGGCUAGUCUUUUCUAGUGUAUUCUAGGAUUUUAGCAAUUUGUUUACAAGUUCAAUCCUAUUAAAACACAAUGCAUUGAAUGUACUAUUUAUUUAUCGAGUAUGUCAAACACGUGAAAGGAAAAAAAAUACUGUGUUUGGAAAGGAAAUUAUUUGGGAUAGUUUUUUCGUCAACUAUAGAUGUAGCAGCUAAAUCAUGCUAAUGAAAUAAAAAGAAGUAAAAUUCUCACAAAAUUGAGACCGUAUUUUUUAGACGACUUUUGCAUAAACCCUAAAUUAACAGAUCCUUCAAAAAAAAAAACUCUAAAUUAACAAAAGAAGUAACUAUUUUCUUUUUAAAUUUGUUAUGAACACUGGUUAGCACACGACUAAAUUACAUUUAAUUUACUACCUUGAUUCCCUACACACACACUCGCAUUUAUCAUCCUUUCGUUUAGUCCUAUCAUGACUUGAUGAUAUGAUAUGGCCGGUCGAAUUUUUAGUAUCGUGACUGCCGGCUGCGCCGAAAAUGGCAUAUGUCCAAAUAAUUUCCGUUAGUAAGUUUCAAACUUCCAUCAUAUUGUAAUUGUAGUACCCUAGCCAGUCGUCCACUACUGCACUGGGAAAUGGGGAAUAGAAAACGUGCUGAAAAGCCGACGGCAACUCACAUGCAUCUAUUGCUUCGGGUUGGGGUCCGGACCGCUGCCCAACAAAUUAUUACUAAGAGAAGAUGAUGAUUACGACGCAAAUACGCACAGGAUUCUUUUCUGUUCAUUCUAAGCUAAGAGGAGUUGUGGUUUGAAAAUUACUUCUCCUACCGUACAAUUUAGUCACAUUUCAGUUUCUAAAUAGUAGUAUCUUUCAUUUUUUCUAUAUAGUAGGCUACUGAUUUAGCUGUUCUAAUUUUUUUUUCUGGUACCAAUUGAUUAUAAUCGUGUUCGCACGUCCUUAUCUACGAUAAAUUAUAACCAAUCCAUUAAUGAUCUACUAUUAGUCAUGCCAUUCUCUUUUCUUUUUUUUUUUCUUAAAAAUCAACUCAUAACUUUCAUAUUUUAAUUAAAUUCAAUCAUAUUCUGACAUGCUGUGAUUAGUUUAAUCAUUUAUUACCCUCGUUCUUUCUUCUAAUAAUAAUUUAUUACAACCCUUUCUUGACUUUCUUAUUCAUGAUAAAUUUCUAUCAAUCUAAUAAUAGCCUGUCUUACACAUACUUGAAUAAAUUAUGACAUUAUUUCUUACUUCAUUUUUUUUCCUUAAUUAAUUCAUGGUUUUCCUAUUUUAAUUAUCUUCAAAACAAAAUUACAUGAUUUUGCUGCUAUAUAAUGAUAAUGGGAAAGCAGUGGAUGUUCACCUGUAGUUAAAUGUAUGUGGACAAGGAGCUUCAAAAAGAAGAACAAAACAAAGUUCUUGAAUAGUGGAAUAUUCUCAUAUGCUAUUUAUUGUAUUUUUAGAAAAACUUUUCAAAUAGAUUGGACAUUGACGUGUUGUUUUUUGCAAAUGGUUGCCUUAUUUUUGUUGGUUUCAAAUAAGAAUGGACAAGUUGUAGGAUUGUGAAAACAAAACAUAUUACUAUGUAAAUAAGGUUGUAGUAUUUUAAUACUACACAUAAAAAUGCUGUUGUUUCGUUAUAUUUUAUUUCAAAUUACUAAAAAAAAAAAAAUUCCUUACUGACACCGGAAAAUGGAAGAAUUCAUUUUCAGAAUUAAUUACCAGAAUAGUUUUAUAUAGUUGGAAUAUCAAUUUGAAAUAUAAAGCAUUCUUUGCCAAAUUCCUUACUGGCAUCUCUAUAAUAAGCACAAAAGGGCUCAAAAUUUUUCUCCAUAUAACAACAAUCAGAGUAGAAUGAUCAUCAAGUCUCACUAAAUUUUGUUGUGCCAUUUAGACGUAGAAUUCUUGAAGCAGAAAGGCAGUUUGUACAAGUUUCAUUAGUGCCGUAUAUUGAAAGUCGCAAAAGACAUAUUAAUUUGUCAAUGUGAGAAUGCGUAAAAAUCUUCACUUUUGCAUUUUAAAGCUGAAGUAGACUGAAUACUGGAAUCAAGGGGCCAGUGUACAAAAUCAGAAAAUUGAGCCUAGAUUUGCUUCAAGAAUGUAGGAAUAUUAAGGCUCAGCUAUAUGAUCUAUACUUUCAUCCCCAUGGUAUUUUCUCUUUUCUCUUGUGUAGGGUCGUUCCUCUUCUACUAAAGAUAAUGUCCGGUCUGAUAUAAACUACCUACAUGUUUGACAAAAGAAAUUCAAUGGACUCAUUUAUGCACAGUUGUUGGUGGCUUAUGUUGAGCCACAUCCUUCAUCUCAGUCAUCUAUAUUUAGUUGGCACACUAUUGACCAAUUGACGCAGUCUAUUACUCAUAUGCCAAUGCCACCCUUAAAAGAUGAGUUUGCCGACUUCAACCCUAUUAAUUUAUAUAAUCAAUCUUUUACACACUUACAAUGUAUAAAUUAAUAGGAUUGAAUAUAUGUUAUAUAUGCAAAUUUUAAAUUUGAAAUUUGAAAUUGAAAAGUUUACUUACAAUUCACGUACAUCCAAACGCAUUAGUGUGUCAAGAAUAUAUUAUUGGAGUAUUGAAAAUUAUUCCCUAAAUAUUUUCAUGAUUAAAGCUCAAAAUUGGGAUUUUUUUUUUUAACGGUAACGAUAACAAUCUAUAACCUAACCUAUCUCAAUAUAGAGGAAGGGGAGUUUAAAGAGGCUGUGCAUAAGUGGUUAAUAUGUAUAAGUACAUGAGUACAUCAAACGAGUGCUCUAACAUCUCCUUUGAAUUUUUUUCAUUGCAAGUGGAGUUCGAAUCCCCGACUUACGGCCAAAAAGAGAUUUAGUCAUUUUUGGUGGCCAUUGAACCAAAGCUUAGUGGUUCAAAAUUGUGAUAUCUCAGUUGUCCUGGAAUACAGUUUUUGAUGUGGAGCUUGAGAAUCAUGUGCUUAAAAAGAUUUGAAUGUUAGUGCAUACAUGCAACUGUCCCAUUAGUGUGUCAAGAAUACAUUAUUGGAGUACUGAAAAUUAUUCCCUAAACAUACAUGCAACUGUCCCAUCUCUCUUCCCAUUUCUAUUCAGCAUUCACCCUCUCAGACCCUGUCCAUGUGUUGUAUAUAUAGUCACCAUUCUGCACUCAUUUUCCUCAACUUCUAAAUUGCAAAAUCUGCUUUCCUCCACUUUCCAGAGUCCUAACCCCACAACCCUCUUAGCGGUUGGCAAAAACCAUGUUUUCCUUUCUUCUUCUUCUUGUUGCUACUUCACUUCUUCUUUCCCCCUACCUUCCUUCAUUGUUUCAAAGAUUUCUUGAUCUCAAAUCCGGAAAACUCAGCUUCUCUCAUGGCCCUAAGUCCUACCCAAUCAUCGGUUGCCUCGUUGCAUUCUACCAAAAUCGCCAUCGUCUUUUAGACUGGUACACUGAAAUCCUCUCUCAAUCACCUUCUCAAACAAUGGUGAUCAAGAGGUUUGGUGCACCUAGAACCAUCGUCACAGCCAAUCCGCAAAAUGUUGAGUAUAUCCUGAAAACCAACUUCAACAACUACCCUAAAGGCAAGCCCUUCACUGAAAUCUUAGGCGAUUUCCUCGGUCGAGGAAUAUUCAAUGCUGAUGGCCAUCUCUGGCAGGUUCAGCGCAAACUCGCAAGCCAUGAAUUCAGUGCAAAGUCCUUGAGAGAAUUUGUUGUCAAAACUCUCGAGGAACAAGUUCAAAACAAGCUUUUCCCAGUGCUUGAAAUGGCUGUGGAAAAGAACAUGGUCUUGGAUUUACAGGAUGUGCUUAGGAGGUUUGCAUUUGACACAAUUUGCAAGGUCUCACUGGGGAUGGAUCCUCGUUGUCUAGACAUUUCUCAACCUGUCCCUCCUCUUGCCAUAGCAUUCGACAAAGCAUCAGAGAUCUGCGCGAGACGCGGUGUUGCUCCAAUCCCCGCAGUCUGGAAAAUGAGGAGAGCCCUUAAUUUAGGGUCUGAGAAGGAGCUCAAAGAAGCAGUUGAUCUUGUUCAUGGCUGUGUUGAUGAUAUUAUCCAAACCAAGAAAACGAAACUCAAUGAGAGUGCUGAUAAAAAAACCAGCAAUAACGAUCUUUUGUCCAGGCUGUUAUUAGCUGGUCUUGAUGAUGAAAUGGUUAGAGAUAUGGUGAUAAGUUUCCUCAUGGCAGGAAGGGAUACAACUUCUUCUGCAUUGACAUGGUUGUUCUGGCUUCUUUCUAACCACCAUGCUGUCAAAAAGAACGUCAUGAAUGAGUUGGAAAUCCUCAACCUUAAAGAAAAGCCAUUGGAUGUAGAGGAUUUGAAAGAAAUGAAGUACAUAAAGGCAUGCUUGUGUGAGUCAAUCAGACUAUAUCCUCCAGUAGUUUGGGACUCCAAGCAUGCUGAGAAUGACGACAUCUUGCCUGACGGAACAAUUGUUUACAAGGGAAAUAGGGUGACCUAUUUCCAAUAUGGGAUGGGGAGGAUAGAGGAAUUGUGGGGAAAGGAUUGUUUUGAGUUCAGACCAGAUAGGUGGUUUGAUGACAAUGGGAUGCUGAAAAUGGUUGAUCCGUACAAGUUUCCAGUGUUUCAGGCAGGUCCAAGAGUCUGUCUUGGGAAGGAAAUGGCUUUCAUUCAAAUGAAGCAUGUUGUGGCUUCGAUUCUAAGGAGAUAUGAGAUCAAGAAAGUUGAUGAUAAUCAGCCUAUUUUUGUUCCUCUCUUGACUGCCUUUAUGGCUGGUGGACUCAAAGUUAGGAUUCACCGCCUCAGCCAACCCGGGGUUGUGAUUUUGCGAGAAAGCGAAAGUUUGGUGGAACCAUAAUGUGCUGUGCUGUCCAAUUCAAUUCACAGAUUUGCUUGAACUGAUAUCCCGACAGAUAUUACUGCAGCUUGUUAAUUAAGACACAGUAGUUGUGUUGUUUUGUUCACAUUAAUGUAGAGAGGUUGGAGUAUGAUUUCCCAAGAUCCCAUUCCAAAGAGGACGAAAUGAAAAUUUCUGGAAUGAGAGUAUGUAAAAUAAGGAAAAUAAAAUGUAAAGUAUAUUAUUAUCAUCCUAUGAAUAUAGUUUUUUUUCUCUAAUUUAUAACCUAUAUUGAGCAUUUUUUUUUUUUUUUUUGUUGAAGAAGAUCGCAUCAACCUACCUGUAUCCCCAUGCCAAUAAUUUGGAAUGAUCAUUCCAAGAAGGAAAGUCGGAAACUUUUUUUUUUUUUUUUUUUGCCAAGCUGGCUAUUCUCAUAUUUUGUCAAGUUGACAUUUUAUCUUCGUACCGCACGUAAAAAAUUAAGUUAAAAGAAAAAGUGCGCUCGUUUAUAUCUUUGUGGAUUUUAUUCUUUUCUUUUUUUGGUAACAAUUAAUUAUAUAAAUCCUUUCACUCAAGCUAUUAAUUAAUGACUUACCUUAUGCAAGUUUGUAUUAAUUGUAUCUUCUUUAUUUUUUGGUCAAUCAACUCUUGUCUUCCCUUCAAAAAUCUCUUCAAUCACAUUUUCUAUUCCUGCUAUUGGCUUGAUUAUUUAUUAUUAUUACUAAAAUUUGGAUAAAAUAUACUAUAUUAAUGCUCACAUAGAUAGUUUUUCCCCAUGGUAAAUCACCAAGUUAGCUAUGCCAACAAAAAAAGUUGGGUAUAUAUUCUGAUUUUUUGCUUAUGUUUCUUGGUGGAUUUUAUUCUUUUUAGGCUAAUGAUUAAUUAUAGUUCUUUAUUACUUUCUUAUUUAUAGUAAAUUUCAAACAAUCAAUCAAUUACAUACUUUAUAUACAUUUAUAUAAUUUAUGCCCUAUUUUAUUUUAUUUUGUUUUUUAAUUCUUUACAAUCACAUUCUCUAUUCCUAUUACUGAAUUGAUCAUUUAUUAUCAUUACUAAAAUUUGGAUGAACUUUCAUUUUUUUUUUCUAUCAUUCUAAUACUUCCUUAUUUAUAAUAAGUUUAAAACUAUUAAUUCGCUAUUUCAUAUACGUUUACAUUGAUUAUGCUUUUCUUUUUUUUAAUAAAUCAACAUUAUCUUUUUAAAAUUUUCUUGAAUUAUGUUGAAUAUAUUUCUAUUAUUUGACUUGAUUAUUUAUUUGUAAUUCUAAAGUUUUGACAAUGAUCAUUUUCCAAUGAAUUUAUAUUUAUCAAUUUUAGCAUAUCACUCAUACAAAUCCACUUAAAUUGUAGAAAAUGGUCAUUUUUUAAAAAAAAAUUUCUAUUGAUUUUUAUGCUUUCUUUCCAUUGGAAUUCAAUUUAGGUUGAAACGAUAUCCAUGUAAACACAGGAUUGCAAAAGUUUUCUCAAAUUACUUUUUUGCAUUAGCUUUUAAUGAUUUGGUCAAAUAAUAAGUUAAUUAUCGAUUAGUUUGCUUUUCAACAUUCUUUUUAGGUGUAAAAGAAUCAAAACAUUAAGUGCAUUUACUUCCUGCUAUAUCUCGUUUAUUCAUGUAUUGACCUACCACCAUUACUAAACAUAAUUACAUCAUGAGAUAAGAUUUGAUUGAAACAAAUUAUUAAGUUGUUAAGAAUUAACUAAUUUUAAUCGAUUUAAUUUAAAUGUUUGUUUUAUGCUUAGUAUAUAAAAUUUUAUAAAAUAGUAUUUUUAGUUAUUUUAUAUCAAUUUUCUUUAAAAAAAAAUAAAAACUUUAGAGCAUAAAAAGUGCCCAUGCAAAUGCACGGGUGAAUAACGAAUUCCUAUGAAUAACUAGUUCGUUAGGAAGCUACAAAGCUAUCCGCCCAUACUAAAAUUUCCAUUUCAGCAUAUAUCCAUCUUGGAAAUCAUGAAGACAUUGCAUCUACAAACACAAACAGAUCUGUAAAAGCAGUGCACCCAGUAAAUUGUGCAAGUUCAACUAAUACAGGUCCAAACCCAACAGCUGAAUGACAUGGAUUAGGUACUUCUGAAAUGAAUUACAAGAAUACCAAAUGACAUCCAGAAAGAUAGAAUUAAAGAAACAUGUUACACGGGAGAGAAGACAAUAAACAGAAAGUUACAACUUAAGUGUGAAAUGCCUCCCCCAACAAGCAUCAUGGUUGUGCAGCUUCCAGGAGUUUCUCAUAUACCUGUCUAGCAGUCAAAUCCUCCACCUGUUUCAAGAACCAUAACUCAGUACUUUAAUCCAAUUAAACGACAAGCAAACUUUACCUAGCGAAACAGUUUCCACCAGAUCAAUAAAGUCAAGACAAUCACACUUUCAUAAGCCAUUGAUGAACAACCUUGUUCAAAAGAUCCAAGUACAAAGCUCGAUCUGUAUAUGACUGUUCAUGCCUUACUGGAAAUGAAUGAUGUAUGGCACGACAAAUUCUCAUGUCUCUCAAUUACUGGAAUAGUGCAUGUGGGGUACUUAGGGAGCCCUUGGACAUUAAUGUUGAUUAAACUGAAUGAGGACAGUGCCUGCUGGCAAAACAGCUUCUUCUUGUGUCAAAAGCCUUUUUAAAUAAUUGCACAUUGGUGGUAUGGGGCGAGAUACUUCUUUUAAUAUGAUGUAAUGGAGAAGAUGCAAUUCACUUUUCUCUUCUUCAAGAAGUUGAUAAUGGUACCAUAUUUUGGUAAGCAUGCAUAUUUACCAGGGUUUCAAUGGUGGCCAAACGGUGGUAAAAAUGUGAUUUUGGCUGUGCUGAUCUAGGAUCAUUCUAGAAUGGUGAAUUCCUAAGGGAAAAAGAGAACAGAAAAGAAAUUUUCAAAUAGGACAAAAUUCUACACACAGCACCCAGCUCUUUACUGCUACAUAAAGCCAAACAUAAUCUUUGGCUAAAGUCGUUAAGUUCUAAAGAUAGUUUUAGCAGGUCUGAAUAGUACAACAUGUAAUCUGUCUGCAGACACAUUGCUUGAAACUAAAAGCAAACAGCUGAGAAAUCUAUAGGCAAUAAUAGAAAAUAGAUUUUGUUUUUCUGCAGUGUUUUGAAGAAAGCAUGAAGGGGUCCCUUGUCCAAUGAAAAACAGGCCUUGUUCCUAGACAUUUAGUUUCUAAAAUAUCUUGACUGGAAUAUGGCUCAAGAACAUGAACUAAUCUUCAACAAUUUGGUCAACUAAUUCUGCAGGAGGAGCAUAAUGCAGAAGAAAGUUCAAAGAUCAGACACUUUACUUAAAUUAUCAGCAAAACAUAGUGGAUAAAAUAACAGAAUAUUUGAGCUCGAAUAAUUCUGAAAACCCCAUUUAUACAAAUGUAUGUACGCAUAGCUGUGUGUGUGUGACGUGCACAAAUGUAUAUAUGGACACAUCAGGAAUCUGAAUGUCAACUCACCACAAGAAGCUUUGAUUUGCUAUUCCAACCCCUUUGAAGAGUCAUCUGGCUCAAUUUUAAUCCCAACACCUGCCACAGAACAAAUGUUAAUGGCUCAGCCUAGAAAGUGAAGUAGUAAAUCAAAUCAAACUUCUGGCAGCAAAAUUCAAAAGCACCUUUCCCAUGUGUUCUAGAAGCUCAUUGUUUGCCUCUCCUCUUGCUGCAGCUGCAGCUACAGUCACCCGAACAUCAUCAGCAUUUACUCCUACAAUCAUAUUAGGCUUACUAUUAUUAGCGAAAUCAAAAUGCAGUAUCUAACGUCAUUUGGGUUCUUAUAAAGAUACAAAUGCUAUAUACAAUUUAAGGUAAAAACAAAAGAAAGUUCUCCAUCCUGGAAACUGAUUAUUGAUUGGGCACUGCCUGGGUUCAGCAUUGGAUGGUGCAGCACAAAAUUCAUGCCAUCUCAUUAAACAUCUUGAAAACCAACUCUGUGAUCUUUGAUGGGUAACGAGCACAAAAUAAGAAUAAUGAACUUUGAUUUUUAUUUAAAAGUAUUUAAGAGAAGGACCUAUUGAUCACAAUAAGUUUUGAAGGACUUGAUAACCCUCAUAAAUUUCAAAUAACACAAACUUAUGGUCUUCCUUAUCAAUAGAAGUAAAUGCACGAAAGGGAUUAAAAUGACAAAAAUGAUAUCAAAUCCGCAUCAAAUCACAAGAAAGGAAAAGAACCUUUUUGGCAGAAGUAAUUAUUAAUUUGAUUCCUUUUAUGCUCUAAAUCAAAUGAGAGGGUACCUAGGAAAACGUGAGAAAGUUGCAAAGUCGUACCACAUCAACCUGUGACACCAGGAUUCUACUUUUUUCUUCCCUUAUCCUCUUUGUAGGACUGCAUAGCCUAGGAACUAUAUAGCUAAUCUGUAUAAGGCUAAGGACCUUAAAUCACUUAUCGACAUUAUCAACUCUCAUGUUUUCAGUUAAAAGUAUAUUCAUCCACAUUGUUGAAAAUUCAAACGACAAAAAAUUUCUUUUUUCUUUCCUUUCCUUCUGUUAUGGUGAAGAACACAAGAAAUAAUCAUCAAACAAGUCAUGUAAAACAAAUAUGCACACCAGAGUUCUGUGGAAGGUAUAAAAAAGUAAAGCUAACCGAUCUAAUUUGAGUUAAUUAACCAAGAUUUAGAGGCUGUAUACACAGGGCUCGCAGAGUGGACUUCUGCUUUGUAGGAGUUGUGGAUUGAACCAGGUAACCAAAGGACUGCAAUUCUCCAAAUAACGAAGCUCCAACAAACAUUAGCCCUCUUCCCUUUUCACUUCUUUUUCUUUUCCCCCUUUAGAAAAGUUAUGUCUACUCCUACAGCUUUCCCGAUUUUCACAAUAGAAUUCCCGUUGCAAUGAAAAUAAAAGAACCAAAACAAAACUAGAGGCAUCCUUUAGCCAGCUUCUAAAAUGCCCUGUUUCCUCCAAAACUUCCCAAACCUCGAUGGAUCAGCUGUGCCCUCUCAAACUUUUAAUUCCUCAUUACCCUUCUCUGUUCUGACAAUAUUAACCUGAAGCCUAUCAGCCAAUUUCACCACCAAUUCUUUUCUAAAAUGGCCUUUUUCACUCUCACAAACAAAAAGAACCAGACUUUUGUUGUUUUUUUUCGUUUAAAGAGCAACAGAAAAUUUGGUGAAUAUAAAGUGCUGUCACGGUAUUUAAGAAUGCAAAAGAGAAAGAAACAAGGUUGAAGGGGGACUUUUGUUGCAAAUUGUGCUAGGGGGUAUGGAGGGAGGGCAGCCAGAGCAGGGAAUUGAAGAUUUGGAAGUGGCAAUGGGCCAACAAAGGAAGGAAGGGAGCGUGGAAGUGGACCUAUGGAGAUGAAAGGCCAAAAACCUAGAUUUCACUUCGUUCAAUAUUUUUCUUUGUAAGGACCUUAAAACUUUUAACUUAAUCGAAGCGCCAAAACUGAUAUUAAUAAGUGAGCGAAUGGACAACAAGUCUAAGUUGGAAUAAUUAGAUGACCAUUUUAGCCAAAAAACAAAAAUUAGUCUAGUAACCAGCAGCAUGACAAUGGAAAAAGCCUAGUUAGCUUCUGUUCCAUAUGCUCUAAAUAUUCUAUUCAUGCUUUUUUGCAACCAAGGAUUCCUGACUUGGAGAUUUCAGAGCAUCAGAACUUUGCCAACAACCUCAGGUAUGUCAAAGAUAGAACGUAAUAAUCUAAUAAAUUCAUAAAUUUACUUGUGAUUGCAGAGCGCUGUGCACGAUCUUCUACUUCGAUGGCUACUUGAACAAGGCCUCCUUCUAACUGUGAUAUGCAUGGUGGCACAGGAGCAUCCUAAGUGCUCGCAAACAAUGAAAUUGAUAUCUUAGAAUAUACAGUUUCAGAUAUAGAUUGCCUCUACACAACAGUUCAACAACAUUGCGCAGUGUCAAUCACCAGAAGUGGUAAAAUAACCAAUAUCAAGACUGGAGAAUUCUAACUUGCUCAAUUUCAGAAAAUCCAAUCCACCAAAAGAGGAAUUCCUAGGGUCUUCAAUGUGAAUUAAAAACAAGAAACAGAAUGUACCAUGAGAAUUUCCUAAGCACAUACCUGUGGAUUUGUCUCAGCAGCUAUUGAACUGAGGGCCCCGUCAAUGACAUAAAUGAAGGAGGCAGAUUCAAGAUCUUCUUCUGCUCGAUAGCAAACAAAGAGCCCACAAGUAACACAAUUCAUGCGAUACUGCUUCUCCAUUUUCCCCUCUCCGCUGAAAACAAUUUUAUAAAUGGAAAAGUUAGUUGGAAAAAGCCACACAGCAAUGUUCAUCCAGCAGAAGAACUAAGUUCUUAAUUCUAGCACUUGAAACAACCCAAAACAUUUAUAGAGGUAAAUUUAUGGACAAUUUUCAGAAUUUAUGAACUGGGUGUGCUCUCCUAGGAUAACUUGUCAAAGUGGAGACUUUGGUGCAUGUUCUUGCCCUAAAUGAUAACUUCAUAUCACAAACCAAAAUAACAUCUUCAAAAGCAAAUGGCAGACAGAGGGAUGCUGGUUAUACAAUUCAAAAGCACCAGGCAAGCAUUCCAUACUCACACAGUUAGCAUAAUCCUCUAUGACACAGGAGCUUAUUAACAAUUCGAUCAAAUUGAAAGUGUCUGAUAGGGUCAGCUUUACAUUUUAACUAUUCACGACAUAUUUACAGUCAAUUAAGAUGAUAAAAGGCAAGAGGUUAUAGUGGCAGUCCAUCGAAACAUUUUAAAGGCAUUCAGAAAAUCAAAGAAACGACCAAAAUCAAUCUAUCCAGCUUAUUUAACAGCAGAAGAGAGUUCAAAAGACCUCGACGCCACUCACAUUCCAACUAAAACUCCAGCUUCCACGUUAUCCCUUGCGCUUAUUCAGAUAAAUUGGUGAAAGAUACUCAAGAACAGAAACUCUAGGAUACAAGCUUUUACCGUUUUAAGAGAACUUUUCCAGCCUCUUGUAUGUUCAGCCUAGCAAGAUACUUCUUCUUGUCCAACACAUAUGCUUUGUCAGUCUUCCUUUUUGGUAUCUUCUGCAAUUGAGUAUCUAUACACAUUCUUUAGGCUCGACACACGUUAUAUUGGAGAUACAAACCAAAAACAGAAAAAUAAACGUCGAUUCAUUCUGGGCUGGAUUUUGUAUUUUAUUACUGUAUUUUUUGAGGGAAAAUUGACUGAGCAAUCAAAUUCAAAAUUGACGGGGUAUAUAAGAAACGGCGGUUGGCGAAACCUGUAAUGAGGACAUGAGAGCUGCAGUGCUUGCAAUAGUAAACGAAUAGGUCAGAAUCAGGCCCGUCGGGGGCGGCGUCUUCGCUCGAGUAGGUGUGGGUUGUUCUCUUCGGCAUCUCUUAUUGUUUCACGACUUCGGUUCUGAAGUUCAAUGUGAGGUUCCCGCCGGUACGCCGGCACGCCAACGGAGAAGAAAGGAGUAGCAGAAAAAAUGUCCAAGAUUUUUUAUACUAUUACCACCGUUUUGAUGAAUUACACGUUUGGACUUCCCUCGUCCUUUGGAAAUCAUUUGAUAUUUGCAAGAAUUUUUAUAUAUUACUCACUGGAUACCACCUUUUAAUAUUUUCCAACUCAAUUAUAUAUAUAUAUAUAUACUAUGGUGGGAUAGCCCGCGACGCGCGGGAAUUUGGUACUUAUGAUUCAAGAUAAUUAAUAAUUAUUAUUUAAUAUUUUGUAGUAUCAGAACUAAAGUAUAAUGAUUUUAUCAUGUAAUUUUAAUAGAAAAAUUACAAGUUACAUAGUGAGUUAAUAAAAAUAAUGUGUAAUAAGACAUCGCUAUCGUUAUACUAUUUAAGAAUCCGUUGUGAUCAAAAGCUAUGUUUGAAUUUCAACGGCAAAGAUAGGGGUAGUUUGAAAAUGUAAGAAUGUUUGAAGUGCAAUUGAACAGUAUUCAAAGGUCUCUUCUAAAACUUAUCUAAGAUGAUAAAACAUUUUAAAAUAUCAAAUGGACCCUUCAUCUCUCGAAUCUAUAUAUGCUCGUGAAAGAUCCCUCAAGCAAUGUUCCUGAUUUCUCCCUCGACUUAAAUUCAACCUGAAUUAUCAAGUCAAGUUUAUCCAUCAAUCACUUUGCGUCCAAUCUAAUCUAAAAUAAUUUUAUUUUUUACUAACUAUUUAUAUAAUUUGGUGCGUAUAAUACGAUUUAAUCACAUGUUUCUUACAGAGAUAAUAAUGCCCAAAAAUGAUAGAUAGAUAAAAAACUUAAGUGGUCUUUUUCAAAGUUUUGUAGAAACUAUUCAGAUUUGGUGUUUUUGGUUAAGGGCAUUUCUUUAUAAUCUCAUAAAUAAGUUCAAAUCUGCAUAAAUUAUUAAAGAUCUGAAUUGAAACUAUCUUGAUUAUAAAAAAUUGGUGCAAAUAAUAUUUUCUAAAUUUGAAAUUGUAGAAAAUGGUAAGUAAAAUCAGAAGAAAUUCCUCAUAUGAAUGUUUGAAGUGCAAUUGAAAAGUAUUCAAAUGUCUCUUCUUAUCCAAUAUGAUAAAACAUUUUAAAGUAUCAAUUGGACCCUUCAUCUCUCGAAUCUAUAUCUGUUCGUGAAAUAUCCCUCAAGCAAUGUUUCUGAUUUCUCCCUCGACUUAAGCUCAAUCUGAAUUAUCAAAUCAAGUUUAUCCAUCAAUUACUUUGCGUCCAAUUUAAUCUAAAAUAAUUUUAUUUUUUACUAACUAUUUAUAUAAUUUGGUGGGUAUGAUACGACUUAAUUACAUGUUUCUUACAGAGAUAAUAAUGCCCAAAAAUGAUAGAUAGAUAAGAAACUUAAGUGAUCUUUUUCAAAGUUUUGUAGAAACUUUCAGAUUUGGUGUUUUUGACUAGGGGCAUUUCUUUAUAAUCUCAUAAAUAAGCUCAAAUCUGCAUAAUUGUUAAAGAUCUGAAUUGAAACUAUCUUGAUUAUAAAAAAUUGGUGCAAAUAAUAUUUUCUAAAUUUGAAAUUGUAGAAAAUGGUAAGUAAAAUCAGAAGAAAUUCCUCAUAUGAAUUCGAAUUGCAAACUAUAGGUAGAAACUGCUUAAUGAUAUUUUUCAUUACUUAUUUGUAUAAGUAUUCAAUAUAACAUCUCUACAUAAUUGACUCGUUUGAACUAUGGAUAAUAGUUGCUUCAAUCAAAUCAAGAAACAUUAUUUAUCAUUGUACAACAUACAAUUAUGAGUAAAUGAAUUAAUACAAUGCAAUCCAAAUGGUGCUGUAGUUAAAGCAUUUAAACUCAUCAAGUUCCACUACAAAUUCUUUUACAUAGCAUAAAAAAGCAAAUUUUUUGUAUUUGAAACUAUAAAAAUAAUAUAAUACAAGAACGAGAUCAUAACAUGGAAAGCAAAUAGAGUGCAAAUGACAUCUUAGUAUUAUGUAGCAUGAUUAAUUUUCUUUUUUAGUUUCAAUGAAGUACAAAAUUCUAAGUUAAUAAAUUUUACAAUCAUAAAAUUUCCAAUUAAAAUAAACACAAGUUGAAUUCCAAAUCAUAUUACAUGAAAAAAUAACUACUUGAACCAUAACUGCUGGAAUGUAGUCAACAGAUCCCUGGAGUCAAGAAUAAUAGGAGAAAGUUCAUGAGAAAUAAGGUUAUUUGACUUAAAUAAAGAUAUAAUACCUUGGUUGAGGAGGAGAAGAUGAUAAAAUUACUUUUCUGAUUAUUUUAGAAAGUGAAAAUAUUAUCUCAAAUUGUACUUUGAUCAGAGACAGAAUCUCUGGAAUCUACUAAGAAAAACAAUACAAUUAGUCAGUUUUUGGAAUUAUAAGUAUCAAAAGACAAACUAUAUGGAAUUCUUGAAUAAACUAAUCAUCAUGAAAAAAAAACUACAAUCGAAGAAGACAAACCCAAAGAACUUAUCUCAAUUUAAAGGAAAAACUAUGCAUUCCACCAAAUAUUUAAUAGCUAUAAUAAAAUCAAAGAAGUGAAAUCGAAAAGGAAUAAAAGGUAUCAGCUAAACAUGAGGACAUAAAUAUGAUAAUAAUUGUUCAAAUAAUAAUUAAGUUAAUUAAUUGUAAUUAAAAUCCAAUUAUGUAAACAUCCAAUUAGUUCCUUAACGGAUGAGAAAGGUUUCAGGAAAUUGGAAGGUUUGAAUGUUAGUAUAAUAAAUGAUUAAAAGGACUUUUAUGUAAUUCUAUCAAAAUACAAGCUUUAUUCAGUUGUACUUGAUACUCAACUUGGCACCAAACAUUGUAACAUACCAAACCUGCUCCUAACCUUAAAUGUCUGAAUGGUUAUAUAAGUAAUUAUAGUGAAAUUAAAGCUAUAAUGACUUGUACUCAAUGUUUCAAUUACUCUUUAAACACUCUCACAUUCCCAAAAUAGCCUCACCCCUGCGGUUGAAAUCUAAUCAUAAACUCGUUCUUAUAUAGUAUAAGGCUUGAAUGUUAGUAUAAUAAAUGAUUAAAAGGACUUUUAUGUAAUUCUAUCAAAAUACAAGCCUUAUUCAAUUGUACUUGAUACUCAACUUGGCACCAAACAUUGUAACAUACCCAACCUGCUCCUAACCUUAAAUGUCUGAAAGGUUAUAUAAGUAAUUAUAGUGAAAUUAAAGCUAUAAUGACUCGUACUCAAUGUUUCAAUUACUCUGUAAACAUUCUCACAUUCCCAAAAUAGCCUCACCCCUGCGGUUGAAAUCUAGUCCUAAACUCGUUCUUAUAUAGUAUAAGAAUAUGUAUUGCAAUCUUCGAGGCAAGUGGAGAUUAAUACUUUUAAUUAUGGGAAAAUCGUCUAAAACGUCCCUCACAUUUUGUAAAAUAACUUUUUUCGUCCAUCACUUUUAAAAGUGUAAUUUUAUAUCCCUUACAUAUUCACAUCGGACAAAUUUAGUCCCUAAUUAGAUUUUCGAUCAUUUUUUGGCCGGAAUCCAUCAUGUGCAAGGCACGUGAUCAUUUUUUAAGGGUAAAUUUGUCAAAUUAUGUUUUACAUAAUAUGAUCUAUAGUCCUCCAUAUUUUAUAAAAUAAAUUUUUUCGUCCCUCAUAUUUUAUAAAAUGAUUUUUUUCAUCCCUCACAUUUCACAAAAUAAAUUUCUCCAUCUCUCACAUUUCAAAAAAUGAAAUUUUCAUUUCUCACUAAUUAUGUGUGUGAAUACAUUUUUUUAAACACAUGUAUAUAUUUAUUUGAUUUUACUUAAUAAUAAUAGCAUAAACACAUGUAUGUAAUUUGGUCCAACUUGUGGGCUAUCUUCUCUUUUUGUAUGAUUAUGACUAAUAUUUACUAAUAGAACCUUAAUUUGCAUAUUCUUAUUGUAUUUUGACCGAAAAUAGCUUUAUUGGCCAAUUUGACAAUGAAUGCAAGAUUAUUUACUAGCUAAUACCAGAUGAAAUCAAAUGAUCACGUAUAAUAUAUGGUAUUCGUAUUGUUAAGUGAAAUCAAAUAGACACAUACAUAUAUUUAUGCUAUUCGUAUUAUUGAGCAAAAUCAAAUAGAUAUAUACAUGUGUUUAAACAAAAUGUAUUCACACAUAUUUUUUUUUUAGGGUUUCCCUCACAUACAUAAUUAGUGAGGGAUGAAAAUAUUCAUUUUUUGAAAUAUAAGGGAUGGAGAAAUUCAUUUUGUGAAAUGUGAGGGAUGAAAAAAUCAUUUUAUAAAAUAUGAGGGACGAAAAAAUUUGUUUUAUAAAAUGUAGAGGACUAUAGAUCAGAUUAUGUAAAAUAUAAUUUGAUAAAUUUACCCUUCAAAAAUGAUCACGUGCCUUGCACGUGAUGGAUUCCGGCCAAAAAAUGAUCGGAAAUCUAGUUAGGGAAAAAAUUUAACCGAUGUGAAUAUGUAAGGGACAUAAAAUUACACUUUUAAAAGUGAAGGACGAAAAAAGUCAUUUUACAAAAUGUGAGGGACGUUUUUUACGAUUUUCCCUUUAAUUAUUACAUUUCAAAAGCUUUUUUUAGUUGUUUUCAAAAUGAUGCAAUAUACCGGCAUGUUGACGCUUGUAAAAUAAUAGCCUUGCUUGAAAAACAAGUUUUUUGUCAAAUUUAUUUGCUAUAAGCUUUUUAAAAACUUUAGUCAUCUUCAAAAAAAAUUUUAAAAAUUUUAAACUAUACAUUUCAAAAAAUUUUAAAAAAAAACACACUUCAAAAUUUUUUUUAAAAACAUCUACAAUAAAUUACAGUAAAGUUUUAGACAAAUACCCAAAAAAUUCAUUUGCUAAACGGGGCCAAUGUCUACUUAUUUAGUUCUCGAGUUAUUGGGGGCAAAAGAAAAUGGAAACAAAGUUGAGGAGUAUUUGACCCCUUCGUUAAGUACUAUUUAUGUAUCAAUAUUAAUGAGAGUAUUGUUUAUACAUCGUAUCACAAAAAAAUGCUUUUAAUAUCUGAGACAAAAAAUAAAAGUUUUUCAAAUAAAUUUUUAUUCAAACAGAGUUUAAUACUUUUGGAAUGAAUACAUUUUAAAACUUUUUUUUAUAUGAUGCAAUAUCAGUAUGUAUAUAAGCCUAAUAUGAUAUUUAAUUAAUUUAGUGUUCGGAUAGACGGGGAGUAAAGGAAAGAUAAGCCAAAAAUAAGGAGUAAUUAACUUGUUUGACAAGCAUUGUUUAUGUAUGCAUUAAUGAAUUAUAUACCAAUUACUGCAUGGAAAAAAUACAUAUUUGCAUCAUGCAAGCCUUUUACAUGUGCUACGAGAAUUUAAACCUAAUAAUGAAGUAAAUCUAGAAGUGGUAUUUCUUUAUAGAGCAUUGCCAUAUUAUGCAAAAUAGAUUUCAAAGCCAAUAGUUUGAGGCUAGAAUUAACUUCAUUCGUGGAAGAGAUAACUUCGGUUGUGGAAGAAAGAAGCAAUAAGGAGUGAUAAUAAAAUGAGGGAAAUGAUAGGUUAGGUGGUUGGAGGGAGAAAGUGUAAAUAAUAGAUUUUGAAUUCAAGUUCUCCCACUUAUAUUAAAGUAUUCGUUUGGAUUGAGUGAAUAGGAGGAAAGAAAAUGAGAGAAAUUGAAAGAAUUUGAUUUUUGUUGUGUUGUAUGGUUUUUGAGGAGAAAAGGAAAGGGUCUAGUUGUUUUGUUGAGUUUAAAUGUAGGGAAAUGAAACUAAAUUAAUUGAAAGAAUUUAAAAUUUUUUAAAAGAUCAUUUUUUCCUAUCUUUUCUAGUAAAUUUAAAUAUAGAUUUUCUUUUUUCUUUUUCUUUUCUAUUUUUCCUUCUCUUUCUUUCUCCCUCUAUUACCACACAACCACCGCUACGCCGCCACCGCUAUCUCCAUCUUCCUCCUGUCACUUGCUACUAAUACACAUCACCACCCUCUCUCCCUCCUUCCUCCUCUUUCUCUUUCCCUUCUCCUUUCCCCUUCUUCUUCCCUUCCUCUCUCCCCUUUUCUGCCCCCUCUCCCUUUAUUCCUCUCUUCCCUGACAAUCAGAUCUGGUUGCUGAAGAGGAGAUCUAAUCGCUGCCAAAUGAGUUUAUGGAGAGAGUUAAAGGGCAAGGGAAUAGGAAACUUGGGCUUCCCUGCCCAAGAUACCGAGACAUGAUUCGGUGGGUGGUUUCUUGACACAUUAUGGUUGGAGUUCUGUAAUUGAGGGAUUUUGGUUUGAGUGUGCAUUAAUAAUGUUGCCAAUAGUCGUUGAUCAAAAAUUGAAUGUAAGGAUUCUAGUCGAUUCAAAUGUAGCUGUAGAAAUUCCUAGAGAUGAAAACGAUGAUGAUUCUUUCACUAGAGACUCGGUGACCCAGUUAGUUAAUAAAGUAAUGGUUUGUAAAGAUGAUUAGAUUUUCAGGAAUAAGGCAAAGGAGCUGAGUGUGUGUUUGGAGAUAAAGAUAUGCUUAGUAGAUACAUGAACGGUGUAGGUAUAUUAUUAACAGCUUCAUUGAGUAUCUUGAAAACCACAAGCCUCUUGGGAAAUUAGAUAGUAAAUUAUGAUUUUUCCUUUUUUGGUUGAAUUAUAAUUGUAACUUGAAUGAUUAGUUUUGUGAAAAGUUUUGUUGCAUUGAGCAAUAUAAUGUUAGUUGUCAUUGUUCAAUUGUAGGAGUGCAUAUACAUAUGAUGCCAUUAUUUCAACUUGUUCAGAGGUGGAGGCGAAGGAGGAAAAGAAAGUGAGAGGUAGGAAAGGAGGGAGAGAGGAGAAGCGGGUGAUGGGGCAUAGUAGUAAAAGGUGGAGGAUGGCGAGGAAAGAAGAAGACGGAGGAUGAAUAAUUUUUAUAAAAUUUUAAAAUUUUGUAAAAACACCGGUGAUAGUUAAGUCAAAGAAUUUGAGUAUCAAAAAUAAAAGGAAAAAUAAUAUAAAGGAAAAAAAAUUAAAUAAGAAUGAUAAUACAUCACUUGCAUGUGACAUACAGGUUACAUGUGAAAUUUCAGGAUAGUUUAAAAUAUAAGGGUGUUAUAUGGACAUUUCAAAAUCAUAAGGUGUGUGGUUAAUUUUCGGGAAAACCACAAAGCGGUUUUCCAUAUUUAACCCUACUAAUAACAAAAUGCAAAAUUACAAGUUUGACAUAUUUGCUUAAUGCCUUUUGAUUUUUAAAAACAAAAAUACGAUAAAUGAAUAUAAAAAGUUAUUGUGCUUUGAAACAAGAUAAAUAAGAAAAAAAAAGAGAAAACACCACACACCAAUUUUAUUUUAAAUUUCAAAGUGACAUGUGCAUUACAUGCAUCUAUUGAAGUUGUUUAAUACCCUAUUAUUCACCGUGAAGAUACUUUUUAUUUUUUAUUUUUUGUCAAUUGUCAUCCCUACUCCUACUCCUACUCUAACUACGGGGAGGCUCAACUGAGCCUACGAGGACCGAUGGGGAUAGAACCACCAUCAGACCAGACGAUGCAUAGUGCACCCGUCUGGAUUUGAAGCACAGCCACAAGAGUGGCAUUUCCCACCAAAGUUUUAAGGGUUUGGUGGUGGCCACCAGCUCAAGAGUUGGUGGUUUUUCACUGUGAAAAUACUUGCCAUAGUCUUCUAUUAAAUAGAGAAAAUACUCAAGGAGAAAAAGUCUGGUCUUAUUGCUUAUUUCACAAAAAAUUUCAAAGGUUUUUAAAAAAUGCACAUUUUCUUCUUCUCAUGUUUUGGCAAAAUUGCAAGCACCAGUGCACUAUAUUACUUUUCACACGAGAGAAAACAACAAAAGAAGCAAAAUAAAAAUUAGAUGAUAAAAAUUUGGAUAAGAAAAUUAACUUUUAACUUGUAUCAACAUUUAAAAUUCAAACAAGAGUAAUAUAAACAAAAACCAAAUGUAGGAAUAGUAAUUUUAGUAUAGGAGAUUAUUUGACAUCCUGAAGUCUUACAACACAAACAAGAGUAACAAAAUAAAAGCAAAAACAUGAAAAUACAUUUGCAUAAGGAAAGUAAUAUUAAAAUUAACUCAUUUUAAUGUCGUUAAAUGCUCAAAGAAAAGAAUAUAUAUGAAUUAGAGCUUAAUUUGGCAACAAAUAACUAACUUAGAUUACGACCGCUCCGCUUCACCGUGUGAGUCCAUCUGUAAAAGCAUCAUUUCAUCGUGUGAGUCCAUUUGUAAAAGCAUCACCGCAUAUGCAAGAUAUGAAAAUACACCUGUACAAGGAAAUAUUAUUAAGUUUAAAUUAUUCCCAUGUCGAUAAAUUUAUAAUGAAAAGAAUGUAAUUCAAUUAAAGUUUAAUUUAGUUAACAUGCACCUAAUUGUGAAAAUCCACACCCAAAAGCAUAGUCACGCCCAAAAUAUGAAAAUAAAUCUGUACAACAAAAUAUAACAUUUACCUUUAACUCAUGCACCUAAAAGCAUCAUUACUAUCCAUAACCAAAAUAUGACACUAAAUUUAUAUGAGGAAAAUAAUAUUGAUUUUAGCUCAUUGUCCUGCUAUUAAAUUCUUCAGCAGCAAAAGAAUGUUAGGAGUUGACUACAGCAUAAUUUAGCCAUCCAUUACUAAAAAAUGUUAUUGGAGUACAGCAAAAUUCUGGGACAAAGGAACCAAAACUAGUAGCUAGCUAUUCAGCUCCGGACCAUGUAUGUAAUUGUAUAUCCAAUGCCCAGAAACACCACUUGACUCAUCUUCGCAAUAUAAAAACCCCCCAACACCCACAGCCAGUAAAUCCCCACACCAACCACAAAGCUAAAGAACAAAAGUAGAAAACAGAAAACCUUUCGCCAAAAUCCAAUAUAAAAUAUAUUUUUCUGCUCUGCAUUUGUUUACAUUUGUUUCAUAAUUUUUUUGGCUUUUAAUUAUUGCAAUCUUUUUCUUUCUUUUCCUUUCUCUCUGUCUCCGCGAGUCUCUGUCUCUGUCGCUGUCGCUGUCGCUCUAUCAGAGAAGAGAAAGAACUCAAAGCCUCAGCCAUGGUUUCUACGAGAAGAAGCGGAUCCCUCCCGUCCAACACCAGCAACAAGAGAUCAUCUUCUUCCUCUGAUAAUAACCCUCCCUCUCCAAAGCGUCCCAAGGUACUCCCAAACAUUUCUCCCACCUUUUUUAUGAAUUUUUUUCCCAAGAGAGAGAUAAAGGAGAAAGAUAGACUGGGGGAGAGUGAAUUUUCUUUAGGGGGUUUACUGGAUUGAUUUGAUGGAUUUCUAUAGUUUUUGAAGUGUUUUAAGAAAUGGGUUCUUGUCAUUUCCUGAUUUUUCUGAGGGGUCCUUGAAAGUUUUGAUUUUGAUUGAUUUUUUUGGAUUGAAUUUUAGGGGGAAAGUAGCAAUGCAAAGGCAUCUGAGAAAUCAACUGCGGAGAAUUCUAAGGAAUUGUGCUCUACUGAUCCACCUGGAUUCACAGGCGGUUGUCCUCCGGCUACUGCAUGUGGCGGCGCUGAGGUUGUCAGUCACCCCACUAGAGUUGACCCUUCUGCUACUGUCCCUGCUGCAUCCCUUGCCACUCCUGUUGCUGAAGGUACCUAUAUCUGUAUUUCCUGUUCAUUUCUUGAAUAAGCUGUUGAGUUUUGCUGUCAGAAAUCGAUUAAUUUCUCGGUUUUCUUGCUACAAUAGGGACCACACCGGUUAUUUUGGACAAGACCAGAAACUCGUUUUCAUCAUGGAAGCAGCAUCCGGGGUAUGAAAUGCCAGCGCCUUGGUGUAGGUUACUAUCACAAUAUCAGCAGGUCAAUUCCUUUGCUUAGAAAUGUGCUUGUUUUUAAUUGUUGUUUUGAGCUCAAGUUUGAUUCUUUCUAUGCAACUUGUAAUGGAUGCACAAAAAAGAAGAAAAAUUUUUGAAUGAGAUUGAAUGGUCUGCAUUUGCUAUUCUUUUGCUGGAAAUUUAUAGAUAUGAAAAAGGUUCGGACUUUUAACUGACCAAUUGCCAUAUUUGGAUUUUUUUUGCAGAAUGCUACUGUCUCUGUCAAUCGUACACCUUUUUUGAUCGGACCAAGCAAGAAUGCCAAUCUUCUUAUCAGGGAUCAAAACGUUAGGUGUACAAUAAGGCUUUCAAAGGUACUACCUUCUAGUUUCAGUGGAGUAUUUAUUGCAUGGCUAAAAUUUCAGGUUGGAUAAGAUGAAUGUUCAUGUGUGGCUGUUAUUUAAAGAAGGGACUAGUUUGAGAUUACCUGGAUUGGGUGACUUUGUGAAAUGUAGAUAUAGAAGCUUGAGGUUUGUAUAAGAUUAAUUUCAUGAUAUUCAUGUUGCUCGGUUAUCCUUUUGCCUAGGCUAACAAAGAGCAUUUCCUCCUCUUUCUUGGGUAUCAAAACUAGCAGAGCCGCAAGGCAUUGUGUAGGAAUAUUAGAUUGAAUAGUAGACGAUCUUUCUCUUCUCAAAUAAUCUGAAUUUUGGACUGCCUUUUUUUGGUACAAACUAAUGCUGGUUUAACAUAUUUUGACUAACAAUCCCAUGAUUUUAUGAGACAAUUUUUGCUGAAUCCCAAGACUCUGGCUUUUGAAUCAAUUAAUCAAAGGAUGAGUUCUUUUAUAAAUUGGACAUAUUUUUUGUUCCACUAGGAUCCUUUUUGCGUAUUCCUUUAUUUCUGUGCACGAAAUCUGUAUUGCUUUACAUACUAGAUGAUAUUUGUUAUCUGUGGAUGAGCAGCGUGCAGGGAGUUCUGUAGCUCUGCUUGAGAGCCGAGGAAGCAAAGGAUCUGUGCAAGUCAAUGGAAAGACAAUAAAGAAAAAUACUAGUUGUGUUCUCAGCUCAGGGGAUGAAGUGGUCUUUGGUGAUACGGGAAACCAUGCUUAUGUAUCCUUUUUGCCUUUUGGGAUGAGAGCCUCCAUCAAGUCCAUUGUUUUGUCUUUUAGUAUUUCCACUUCUUAAAUUGCAUUUAUUUUUUGACAGUGUGGAAAAUCCUUAAUGUUUCUCUAAAUAGAUUUUUCAGCAACUUCCAUGUGAGCUUGUAGGGAAGACACCCUCAUCAGAUCUUCAAAGUAAUGUGGGAAAACUAUUGCAUGUUGAAAGACGGGCUGGGGAUGCUUCAAUUGUUGCUGGUGCUUCUAUAUUGGCUUCGCUUUCUAGUCUGCGGCAAGAUAUUUCACGCUUGAAGACUACAUCUCAGGCUAGUGGUAAAUCCUACCUGGGGAAUGACCUAGCUUCUUCUCCAAAUGCAAAUGAAGAUGAGCUUGAUGGCCUGGAAGUUGAUUCAGCUACCAAUGUUAGAGGAGAUAAUGCUACUGAAAGCGGGGCCAACAAUGCAAUCAUAGAGGCAGGCAAUGUAAACUUCUUCCUGGAAAUUUUCUUUUGAUUCAUCUAUGAGCCAAUUUACUUAUUACACAAAAUUGACCAAGGAAAUGUGAAAACAGAUAUUGGAUGAUAGAGAGUGGACAAGGGAUUCAAUGCCAGCAUCGACAUCAGGGAUGUCUUUACGAUGUGCAGUAUUUAGAGAAGAUAUUCAUGCUGGUAUAAUUGAUGGCCGUGACGUUGAAGUUUCAUUUGAUGACUUCCCAUAUUAUCUCAGGUUGGCAUUCUGACAUAUCAUAUGCCUGCAUUUCUUCAACGUACUAUAGGCUUGAAUUGUCAAUUUUCCUUAAUUUCUAGUUCUUUCUGCUGGAUUGCAUUCAGUCAUUCUUAUUUGUGUUGUUGAUAAAGCCUUGGAAGAUUCAGAAAUUACUCAUGUGAUUGUUAAGUAGGGGAGCUUGACAUGUUGGAUAAGAGGUAGCUUUUUAGAUGUUAGGGUGGUCGUGAUGUGGUUUUCUUAACCAAGGAGGCACAAGGGAACUUAUCCAUAUUAUUAUCCUUAAUGGGCUGUGAUGUUUCUACUAAGAAGGCCUAUAUCUUAUGCUUGGCAAUAGAAGGCAGCAUGGUUACAUGCUCAAAGGCUCCCAGAAGUAAUAUAGAAGGUUUCUACCAUUUAUAGGUGAAUCAGUUGUUUGUUCCAUCCCCCUGAAACACUCCGCACCCUCUGUCUGCUGCCUUUCAUAGCUUGCCUUGGCACUUUGAGUCUCCAUUCUACAAGUUAAAAUGUAUAUUUGUGGUUAUAUUGGGCAAAUGUAAUAUCAAAUAUCAUGUUUAAAUUGGGUUUGGUAAUCAAGCUUGGAGAAACUAGAGGAAAAAGAAUUUGAAGGAAUGUUGAUGUUGAUCUGUGUACACAAUAAUAUGCAUGACUGCUGAGGAAAAUUCUUGUUUAACAUGUAACCUGUUUUGAGCUUCAGUGAGCUUAGACUGGUGACACAGUUUCUCUGAAAAUGCCUUUGCUAGUGAUAAAUUAGCUUACAUGGCCUUCUGACUGGUGACGCUGUUUUGGUAAGAUAACAGUACUGGCUUAACAUAAGUGUCUUUGUUAUGUAGGGACAAAUGUUACUUGGAAUUUAAAAUUAAGCAGAAUGCUGGACAAAUUAUUAGACGGAAUAACAUAUAGAGGGGAAUUGCAUGAUUUCAUUUUUGUCCGUUACAAGUUUUAAAGAAUUCUGGAGCUGCACGUUCCUGAGUGAUCCGCUAGUGGUCAUUACUUUAUUUUUCUUAACCAUUCAAAGUUGGCAGUAAAGGCAUCUACUGUCCUUGUCACGCUUUUUUUUUUGGUUAUUUUUUGUUUGUUUUGCUAUGAUCCUUGUCAUGCUUGCAUCUAUAGUAUAAACAUAAAAGCUUUUGUAAAGGGACAGAAAUGACUUCUAAAUAAAGUAAGUUUUUCUAACCUGGUUCUAAGCUAGAAUCUGUUGUUUGAUAUUGAUUUAUGUUAAUAUACGAUUGCUUGCUGUCUAUUUCGUAUGGUGCAUGGGCUACUAAUUAAAACAAAUUUCACUUGCUGUUGACUCCAUUCUUCCAUCUAUCUUCGGCUUAUCUCUAAUUUGUGUUUAUGGUAAUUUUUUCAACAUGCAGUGAGAGUACAAAAAAUGUGCUCAUUGCAGCUACAUAUAUACAGCUGAAGCACAGGGAACAAAUUAAAUACACCUCUGAGCUUCCAACUGUGAAUCCAAGAAUCUUACUUUCUGGUCCUGCAGGUCUGUUACAAUAUUCUGCGGAUUAUUUUUGUUACAUUCUUCUUUCUCCUGCCACGUCAAAGUUUGUUUGUCAGCGUGGAACUUAUAUUUAUAUUUGCUUUAUCAGGAUCUGAAAUAUACCAGGAGAUGUUGGCCAAGGCACUUGCUCGUUAUUAUGGGGCUAAAUUGCUUAUAUUUGAUAGCCACUUGUUUUUGGGUGUAAGAUACAUUUAUUUGGAUAAGAUUUUUUUUUCGGGUUUGAUCUUUUCAUAAAUGAUUUCUACAGUUUGUUUUUCCAAUAUUUUUGCAUUAUCAGUUUAACUUUCAGGACACUGAAAGUUUUUUAUAGUAGUUAGUCCCUGAUAUCAUUCAUAUUGUUAUCAUCUGCAUUCUGAGAAGAUGCAUUUGGUGUCAUUGAUUAAACCUAUUUUGUUCUCUAGGGUUUGUCUUUUAAAGAAGCUGAACUACUGAAAGAGGGUUACAAUGUGGACAAAAUCUGCAAUAUUGUGAAAAAACUUUCUGGAACCUCUGACUUGACCAAGGGCAUCAUGGCUUCAUCUGGUGAAGUAGAUACAACACUUGGCUUGGAGUCCCAACUGAAGUCAGAGACCGACAAUUCACCUGCCUUAGCUGGGACAUCUAAGAAUCCAUCGUUUAGAAUUGGUAUAUUAGUUUAUGGUUUAUAAGUUAGUUCCAUAUUAAUGUGCUAUGCAAUACCAUGUGAAUUUAGGACUUAUUCUGUAUUUUUCACCUGACAUAACUGAAAAUCUGGAUUCCUAGGUGAUAAAGUGAGAUUUAUUGGUUCCACUUCUGGUAGCUUGUAUUCAUCUCCUACAAGGUAAAUUUAGCAUGUAAUUCAUCUCUAAAUUGUCUUCUGUUUUUUAGUAAAUGAGAAACAUUGUUGCUGUGAUUCAUUAUUAAGUUUAAGUGGAUUCCUUGAAUUGUCUGUCUUUAUUGGUGGUGUUUCUUACUAAUUGGUGUUCUGCUCACUGAGGUUUCUGUCUUUUCUGUUAGACUGGUGUCUUUGUUAGAUAUAUACUUGAUUGUAAUUAUAGAAGUUGCUCUGGUUGGAAAAACAACGCUGUUUAGAUCCGGAUAUUUUCCUCUUAUGUACAAUAUGAUUGUUUAUCUAAACGAACAUCCUCACAAUAAUGGUUUUAUUUUUUUAUGUUUUUUGGCUGCUUAGGGUCCUCUUUGUGAUUGCAGUGAACUUUUCUCUUCACAUGUGCCUGUCUCUAUAAAGCAGUGAUCUUCUUUUCCUUUUUGUGGUAAUGACUUUGUGGCUAAAUGAAAUAGCUGGCUGUCAAAGAUGACAAUUAGGGAAGCUAGACAUCAACUGGGUGUUCAAUUUACUCCAAAAGAAGCUCCACUAGAAUUUUCCAAGUUCAAGCCUAAUUCUUUGUUUUGCUAUGAACUCUGUCCACCACAUUUUUUCCUUUUCUUUCUCCUCUUCUGGCCUUCUGUUUGAUAUUUCUAGUGAUAAAAGUGCUCUAUAUCAUUUGAGUUUGAUACUGGAGUCUAAUCUAGGAUGAGUCUGAACAGUUCAAUUCAUAGUUUCUCAAUCUCAUGCUUGGUGAAUCAUUUUUUUCCAGGCUGUAGUCCUGUGAUAUCCCACAUCAGUGGGAUAGAGGUGCAUGACUUUCAAUAUCAGUUUGAGCCCAUGGGGUAUCUAACAACCUGGGUAAACCAUUUUGAGCCUGUGGAUUCUGUUCAAAGGUUGUUGGGCCACGUCUUGGGCCCUGGGCGUUACAAAUCCAAUAAUGUGUAGUUCUAUCAAGAUAUGUGAUGAGUUUAAUUAUACUGAUGCUGCAGCAAGCGGGAUUAAUAUGGAGUAUUUGGGGGUUUUAAUCUGGCUAUGUUAAGAAGAUAUGCUUUGUCACUCAUAUUAUAUGAAGUGAUGCUUUAGACAAUAUAAAUAUAUUCAAUAAAUAAUGACAAAGAAAGAUCGUAAGACUAUCAAUAAAGUAUGGUUUAUCUUAACAUGUAAAUGCAGCCUAGUAGAGUUCUGAAAAGUGAGGCCAAACUUUUCUGGACAUGUGGAGCCCAAAGAUUUUAAUUGUUGUCUUUCAAGCAGCGGAGAGAGUUUUUGUUGAAAAUGAAUUGUGUAAUUAUAAAAAUGUAAACCAGAGAGACAAAUUGGGUUCUUUAAACGCAAUGAAAAUUGUAUUUGUUGCAGAACUUAAUGGAUACUAGUGCAGCUAACAAUUAUAUAUUUUUUAUUUUUCUUUCCCUUUUUGUGCCUAGUUGGCUUCAAAAUUGUAAACCAUGAACUUACUAGCGUUUCUUGCAUCUCUGUUUCUAGUUCUAUAUUGCGUAAUUAUGUUGCUAUUGGUUUUCAAAUGAUUUGUCAUGAGUGUUUAUUUAUGCUAAUGCUGGUUCUUUCUCUGUCGUGUCGUUUUAAAGUUUCUACUGCAUGCAAUCUCUGCUCGUUUGCUGUAUAUGACCAUUAAUUCUUGGCCUAAUUUCUAGGGGCCCCGUUUUUGGAACGCGUGGGAAGGUUAUGUUGCCUUUUGAAGAUAAUCCCUUGUCAAAAAUUGGUGUAAGAUUUGAUAAACCUGUAACAGAUGGUGUUGACUUAGGAGGUCUUUGCGACAUGGGUCAUGGAUUCUUUUGCAAUGGUAUGUCCAACUAGAACUGAUACCCAUUAACAGAUGAACCCAAGUUUCAAUGUCUCCUGAUUUCCAUAAAAUGUGCGAGCUAGAUUUGGUUUUUGACAAUAUUCUUACCCUCUCUCUCUGUCUUUCUCUACUUAUAGCCAAUGAACUCCGUUUGGAAGCCACGGGCUCAGAAGAUCUAGACAGGUUACUGAUUAUCACAUUAUUUGAGGUAGGAUUAAAUGGAUAUCAAGUGAAUCAGAUUUUAGUAAUAUCGCUUUUUACAGUUUUUCAUCACUGAAAAUUGUCUGUGUUUUCUAGGCUGUCUCUAGUGAGAGCCGAAACUCCCCUUUCAUUUUGUUCAUGAAAGAUGCUGAGAAGUCUAUGGUGGGGAAUUCUGAGUCAUACUCGACUUUCAAGGCCAAGCUUGAGAAGCUUCCGAACAAUGUUGUUGUUAUUGGUUCACAUACGCAUACUGACAAUCGUAAGGAAAAGGUACUGAUGUCACUACGUGUACUGACUUUCAAUGGGCUGUAUUUUUUUAUCCAACUUGUUACUGUAAUGGCCUAUAUGUGCCAUAGUGCCUUGUUGAGGCAUUAUGCCGUUAAGAAGCAUGACAUCCGGAGUCAUUUUUUUUUCCCUUAGGUCAUGUGUUUUUUCCUGAGAAAACUAUGUGGGGCUAGCUGGGUUCACUCUUUUAAAGUCUUUUACAAUGAAUUUAAUUUUGAUAAGACAAAGAAGGUAGUAUAUGGGUGAGUUGUGUGGGAUCUUGAAAGUGACUUUUAGAAGAGGUUUUGAAGGUGUAUUAUGUACACAGAUGGUCGUUCUUUUGCCAUAGAUCAUAUCUCUUUCUGCCUUUCUAUUUCUUUUGUUGUUCUUGUGAUAAUUUGUAAUGUUGAAUGCGUAGGUAUAUUAACUUAAAUCACAUCUCUCUUGGGCAUUGAAUUACUUAGAAAUUCAAAGAAAUGAUAGAGGGUAGAAAUAGCAGAAGAAAAUUUGAGUUUAAUUUCUAGCAUUUCAGGCAUUAUGUUCAGAAAUUUAGUUCUGUUUAGAAAGGAUAUUUCCUGUCAUGGAGAACAUAAAAAAGGCACAUUACAUGACAGUUAAACAAUAAUUAAUCCCCUACAAUCAGGAACAGGAGUGCAAGUAACUGAUUAUUGGUUAUUUAAGCGCUUCUGUCUUAAAAAGUUUAUGCCUUAAAUUGUGGAAGCGAAGGACAUGCCGAACAAGUAGAAAUGAGGAAAUGAAACAAAAAUAAGAACAUGUUAAUGUUUACUAUAUAGGCUUUUAGCAAAUCCAUUCUUAAAACUUUCAUUUUCUCCAGUUGCUUCCUGGGAUUCCUUUGGACAUUUGGAGUGGGGCUGUAGAACAAAAACAAAUUGUUUCGUAGAUCCAUUCAAUUUCUGUCUGUAGUAUUGUGUUUUAAUUUGACUCAUGGUUGUUGCUUUGCUUCUUUUCAACUUUGGGAAUCAUUUUCCUUGCUGAUGCUAUAAGAGGAAAUGCUCUCUUACUUGCUUGGAAAGUUCUGGUAAAGGUAGUCCUUGUAAGCCUUGUAAAUUUGAGGUGUGUGAAAUGUUCUUAAUUAUUUCUGCCGCAAAGUUGAAAAAGAUAAGUAUCUAAACAGAGUAAGAAAUUGAUCUCAAAACAAUUGCAGAAUUGCAGUUUUGUUGACUUAAGUGAUGUUUAGUGGUGAGAAAGAGGGUAUCUUUCUAGAUGCCAAGGGUGCAUGAUCUCGUUGGACAAUAAACAUGUGUUUCAUUUGACGAUGUAUUCUCACUUACCUAUCAGCAAAAUAAAAUGAUUUUGAUUGCCUAAAGGCAGCCUUUAUUAUGACUGAUUUUAUUGGCUUGUGCGCAUGUGUCUCAGAGUUGAAACUUAAUUUACUUGCCUAGAUGAGUCAACAGUCUAUGCUUCUUUACUAGCUUAUAGUUGAGAAUGGGGCUUAACUUUUCUCUUUUUGUAUAUUCACCUUGAACCUCCUGCAGUCACAUCCUGGAGGUCUGCUUUUCACAAAAUUUGGGAGCAAUCAAACUGCUUUACUUGAUUUGGCGUUUCCGGUAAGAUGUACAUUUUUCAGAUUUGAAGCUUUGUGAAUGUAUCUUUGGCUUAUUAUAAUCAUUCAUUCAAAAUGUUGCCCGGGUUAGUUGAAGUUGCUUCAUGCUUUAAAUUGUAGUUUCUUUGGUCUGAUUGUUACUUUGCAUGUAAAGUGGAAUAACUUAAACUUUUUAAAAAUUAAAAGGAUUUGAGAUUUACAAAUAGAGCUUCUAUUGGAGGUUUUAUUAUUCCUGUCUCCCUUGUAAAGUUUUGAAUUCACUCUGAUGCAUACUUUCAGCAAUUAGUGUCCUAUUUUCUGAAUGCCAAUUUUGUAAUAAUUUAUUCCAUCUGCCAGAAAGGUAUGGGAAACUUAAAUCAUGGUAAUGCAAUAUAAAGGACAGAUAGUUUACUAGAGAAGCACCAAGUAUUUGUCACAUAAGCCACUGCUUGAUAAUUACCUCAUUUAGAGUGAGGUCUCAGUUGGCUUUUGUACCUCUUUUAUGGUGACAGUACUUCAAAGAAGAAUAAUAUUGGAUUUAUGGGAUUUUAUGGUGUCAAAGCCUUGUAAUGUACUGGUAAACAUGGAGAUCUAGAUUGGUUGUUGUUGAAACUUGAGAGUUCCUGUUUUGAUAACGUUUGUGUGUCUUGAACAAAUUUACUGGUGGUUUAGGGUCAGCUCAGUUGAGGAAUAGUGAUGCCCCAAUGAACGAAGUGGCUUGGGUUUUUCCUGUUGGUCUUUGAUAAUGCUUUCUAGUUUAUGCUUCGAGGGGAGAAGAUGUGUAGCAGAAAAGUCAGUUGCCUGAGUGCACCAGCAUAUUGUUGUCAUCCCAACUCUUUGGUUCUGGGAUACUGUUCUAUUGAAGAAGAAUGGAGAACAAAAAGCACGAGCCAAAGAAUAAUGAAAAGAGAACAAUGUAAAAGAGAUGAGAGAUGAAGAAAAUAGAAAAUCCUAAUUGUAGUAGCAUAAACAAGCCUAUUCUAGGUUUGCAUGAACACCAUAUAUCUGCAGAAGAACCAUUUUGCAACGUAAAAAAUCUUGAGGUACAAAAUGAAGUUAAGAUGGCAAAAAGAAACUUGGAUAUAUUUUACCAUUUAUUGGUGCAAUUUGUGCACUUAUGAAAGCAGGUUUUUUUUUUUUUUUUGCGUGCGCAUGUACGUCUAGCUAGUAAUUAGUAAACAAAUUGUACCCUACUAUUAAAUUAUCUGUAGAGAAGCUUUUUAGGAGAUGAUUAUUUGUUAGGCUGCUUUUUGGAAUUUUUGCUCCUUUGAUUUACAAUAGAUGUCUUUUGCAUUUCCUGAACCCUUUCUCUGUUUAAAGUUGAAACUCCACCUUUGGUUGUUAGUAUUGAUGUAUUAUGCAUUUGUGUUCCUUGGUCGAUGUUCCUACUAGUUGUCAUGUGCAUGCAAACUGAUCGUCAUUUUGGAACCCUGGGACUGGACUUUCCAUAAUUCCUUUCAUCUUGUGCUGCUUUAUAUAUAAUUUCUGAAUUGCUUGUGUGCACUUUUAUAUUAUAGGUUUUCUUUUUUUUUUUUUCCUACUAAAUAAGUGCUAUAUCUGAUGUAAAUGAAAAUUCUGAUAACCUCAGGAUAACUUUGGAAGGCUACAUGACAGAGGGAAGGAUGUUCCCAAGGCAACGAAGCUUCUGACAAAACUUUUCCCCAACAAAGUGACCAUUAACAUGCCUCAGGUCUGGGCCAAAACUUUAGAUAAUUCUUUUGCUUUUCAAUUUGUGUAAUCUGAUUGUGUGUAACCAUUGUAGGAUGAAGCUCUCCAAGCCAGUUGGAAGCAUCAAUUGGAGCGAGAUGCUGAAACCCUCAAAAUGAAAGCAAACUUGAACAACUUGCGAACAGUGAGAAAAUUUUCCAGGAUUAUAUAAAAUAUUUACCAACUGCUGCCUUGGCUCAUCAUAUCAUAAUUUUUGUGAAACUUCCUAUUGCAGAUAAGCUGUUUAAAUUCUAAAGCGUUAAACAAAAAAACUCAUGGUUUUGGUAAAUCUAGAGACCCAACUUUGUCUGGAUUUAUCUUGUUUUGAACCGGAUAUAGGAUCAUUGUUGUGAUGCUUAUGACACAUUGUCCAUCAUGGAUUCUCUGGCAGUUACUUUUCAAGCAAAGAACUAUUGCUCUCUCAGAAGUUUUUCAGAAGAUAUAAUUUUGUAGAUAUAGUUUUUCAGAAGUUUGGUUGUGAAACCUCCUGCAUCUUUUAAAAAUUAUAACUUCAAAUCCUUGGGAUCUGAAUGAUUAUUCAAAAUAAUUUGCACGACCAACCCAUGUUCCUAUGCGUAUACGUCUGUGUACAUUAAUGCAGUGCCUAUACAUUCACUAGUAUCAAAGUGUACAUAACUGAAAGAUAACAUUUACACUUUCUGCUUAUAUAUUAUAGAUUGUGGAUUUUUUACCAGCUAUCAACUUAACACAUAGUUAAUCUUGGCCACUAAUUCUUUGGAUUAAUAAUUGGUUCUGCCAUGAAUCCCUCUGAUGAAUUGUAAAUCUUCUUUUCUGUUUGGUCAAUAGCGUUUGAUGGAUCUCCUUUACACUUUCAAUAUGAAUAAAAUGGUUUCAUGAUUUGUAAAUAGUUUAUUAAUCUGUACAUAUAUAAUUCGUUAUAGUUGUUUAGUAGGUAUUGUUGGUGCUGCUAACUAAGGAUUAGCUGGAACCAUUGGAACCUAUACUAGACAAGGAGUUAUGUAUCUCCUUGUUUAUUUAAGUUUUGUUGGUUCUUAAUAUCCAAGCCUGGUAAUUGAAUCCAUCCAUUUCCAGCAAACCUCAGAUUUCAUCUUUGUACAAGUUGGAUGGUGAACUUGCAAUUAUUAGGUUGGGAGGAACUAGGAAUAUUUAAAUGCUGAUAUGGUGCCUUGGAACUUGUGAAAUCUUCCAAUUUAUUACUUUUUCCAGUCAAAAAACGAAAGAGUUACUAUCACCGAUUCAGUUGUUGCAGAUAAAUGGAUAAGAAAUUAAGAAAAUAAGCCAUGAAGAGUAACGUGGCCAAAUGAAUAAUGUUUCUGGUUUGCAUGGGCAGAUACUGCCCUUUCUUCAGGGAAAUGGAGAAAACAUGUUUAAGUUGAUUCUAAUACAGUGCAAUUCAGGCCAAUGAAAGUGGAAUCGCAUAAAUAAUUUAAUGUCUUAAUGCUUCAAUUGCUGCUUGAAUGCUGAAUAGUUUUUCUUCUAUUUUUCUUUUCAGAAAUCUCUGAAGCCUUGAAUAGAAUGUGAUAGAAAGUGUCUUGAGAUUCCCUGCUUGGUGUACUUGUCAACCUGCCUAAAACAGAUAUUAUUGUGCUAAGUGGCCAUGAUUUGCUAUUGAACAACAAAUUUCUCAUGGAUUGUUUGCAGCAUAUCAAAAUAUUAAUUGCCUGUCUGAUUAACAUUUGAGCGAUUUCAUUGGUGCCAAAAUCAGUCAUAGACGUAGUCUACUUUGGCAAAUUUUGGCAGUUUCCCCAUCUGCUCACAUCCCCCAACAUACUCAAACAUUGAUCUUUGUACCUUCUAAUCAUUAUAUUUUGUUUGCCUAUUUAAUAAGAUUUAUAGUUAACAGUCUUUUUGUGUGUAUAGGUUUUGACUCGGACUGGAUUGGACUGUGAUGGACUUGAGACACUGUGCAUCAAGGAUCAAACACUGACAAUAGAGAGUAUGUAUUUUGUUUAACCCUUUUAUCAGGAGAUGUAUUUAUGCAUAUAAUAGUCAAAGCAUGUUUGUGUUUAUCAACUUAUCAAUUGAGUCAGUUUAUUAUGAGGUUAAAUGUGUGUUAAAAUUGCAUCUUGGCUUGUUACUGAAGGUGCGGAGAAGAUAGUCGGAUGGGCAUUAAGCCAUCAUUUGAUGCAGAACACACAAAAUGAUUCGGAAUCCAGGCUUGCUUUUUCAACUGAGAGGUGACAGAAAUAUGACUUGCCUUUUCUAAUUUGUUGUUUGGGGCAUUGUAUUAUGGGGUGACACCAGUUUUGGCCAAUCUAGCAGCAUUCAGCAUGGGAUUGGAAUUCUACAAGCCAUCCAGAAUGAGUCCAAGAGCUUGAAAAAGUCACUCAAGGUAAUUGUUAUAUCAAACUCCUUGCAUGAGGGAAUAGGCCUGAAAAAACAAUCUCAUGAUGUGCUAAUAUUCUGUACUGCUCUCGCUGUGUACUCUUGAGAAGGUAUUCAUUUGGAAUUUUUGAACUAAAAUUUGUUCCUAUAAUAGGAUGUUGUGACCGAGAAUGAAUUUGAGAAGAGACUUCUAGCAGAUGUUAUACCUCCCAGUGAUAUUGGAGUGACGUUUGAUGAUAUUGGAGCACUAGAAAAUGUCAAGGACACACUGAAGGAGUUGGUGAUGCUUCCUUUACAAAGGCCUGAACUAUUCUGCAAGGGUCAAUUGACCAAGGUUUCAUUUGCAUACCCUUUAUUAGCCGUAAUUUUUAUUUGAAUGAGAAUUUGGGAGCUUAGUUUAGUUUUAGAUGUGAUUGACUCUGACUCUCUCUGUGUCACAUGCUGCGCAAUACUGACAGAGAGGUCAUAUUAUUUGUUAGUGUAUUUAACCCCCCCAGAAAUUCUUAGUUUGGUUCUGUAGAAGUUGUGAUUGAUGAACCAUAACAAUGUUUGAUUCAAGCUUUUCUUUAUUUGCAAGUUGCAGAAUACAACACUGUUUCUAUCUUCUGUUUGCCCUUUAUUUGUGAAUUAUGUGAAUACAAUAGUUUCUAUCUUCUGUUCUUUUUUUUUUUUGGGGCCUUCGGGGACAUUUUCAUUUUCAUUUUCAUUUCAUGAACUGCUGCUUCAUUGUUUCAUUUGCAGCCCUGCAAGGGUAUACUUCUAUUUGGGCCACCUGGUACAGGAAAAACUAUGCUUGCAAAGGCUGUUGCAACUGAAGCUGGUGCAAAUUUCAUCAAUAUUUCCAUGUCAAGCAUUACGUCGAAGGUUAAAACUAAAAUGCUCUACUUUUAUGGUUGUCAUUUUUGAUGAUUUUACUGUUGGAUAAUGCUUUCACUUUCAAUGUCCAAGCUGCAACUUGUAAUUUGCAACUACUGCAAUUUAUCAUUGUGCAUAUUAUAUCUUUAAUUGUUUCCACUUCUUUAAUUUUGCAGUGGUUUGGUGAGGGUGAGAAAUAUGUCAAGGCUGUCUUCUCAUUGGCUAGUAAAAUUGCACCAAGUGUUGUCUUUGUCGACGAAGUAGGCUACCAACAAAAGCUAUACGGUGCAUUUUUUCAAAUUUUAAGAAUUUGAUAACUUACUGAUCUUUUUCUAUUUUGAAUUGCUUGAAUAGGUUGACAGCAUGCUGGGGAGGAGGGAAAACCCUGGAGAACAUGAGGCUAUGCGUAAGAUGAAAAAUGAAUUUAUGGUCAACUGGGAUGGACUGCGAACAAAAGACACGGAACGAGUUCUCGUUCUUGCUGCUACAAACAGGCCUUUUGACCUGGAUGAAGCAGUUAUAAGAAGGCUUCCGCGCAGGUAAACUACUAAUCAUCUAUAGCUUCUGCAGUUUAUUGAUAUUGAUGAGCUUGUGGUGUUUCUGAUGCUUUGUGUACCUAGUAAUGAUUUUCCUUUUUUCUUUUUUUUUUUUUGCAGGUUGAUGGUCAAUUUGCCUGAUGCUCCUAACAGAGCAAAGAUUCUUAAAGUCAUAUUAGCCAAGGAAGAUUUGUCUCCUGAUGUUGAUCUGGAUGCAGUUGCAAAUAUGACUGAUGGAUAUUCCGGAAGUGACCUCAAGGUUUUUCUUUCUAUCCAGUUUAUGUAAUAAAAUCAGCACUUCAGUGUGAUGGUUACACGGGCUCUGAUAUGUUUAACUUGACACCUACGUAUUGCAGAAUCUAUGUGUUGCAGCUGCACAUAGGCCUAUUAGAGAGAUUUUGGAAAAGGAGAAAAAGGUUUGUCCUUUUCUGGUGAAGUUCAACCUUUUGGUUUGUCCUUUUUUGACUGGGUCUGGUGCAUUUCUCUAUCUUAUUGCUGCUAUAAACAUGAGAUUUUGUCCAGGCUUGUGCAAGAUACCUCUUGCCGACUUAGCUUAGGAACUUUUAGCGGUUCCUUUUAAAUUGCUUACACCAGAAAUUUCUUCCUGAUGUUGAAACUUGAUGCAGUAGCGGUUGACAUCAUAUUAUCUUAUUUCUGGUACAUGUUGCUAGGAUUCAUCAGUUUCCAGGAUUCAAUCCUGUUUCUUAGAUACAUUGAGUUAUGCUGGGGCCAUUUAGAUUUUGGGAAGUAAGAUAUGUUUGCUGAUCUUUUAAAAGAAAUUGAUUGGUUAUGGUCUGGUCACAGGAGCAUGCUGCUGCAUUGGCAGAAGGUAAACCUCCACCAGCUUUGAGCAGCAGCGGUGAUAUUCGGCCCUUGAACAUGGAAGACUUCAAGUUUGCUCAUGAAAGGGUGAGAUUAUCUCUAGAACUGUAACAUACAUAAUAACGUCUUGGUUGUGUUGUGAAGGGAUUUUCUAAGUCCACUCUGGUUAUAGGUUUGUGCUAGUGUUUCAUCGGAGUCCAUAAACAUGAAUGAGCUUCUACAGUGGAAUGAACUGUAUGGUGAAGGAGGUUCCAGAAGAAAGAAAUCCCUCAGCUACUUCAUGUGAAUGGCGUUCACCUGUACAAAUUGGUUCUUUCUAUUUCAAAUUUUUGUGCACCCGUGCUGGAUCCCAGGCAAAUUGUUGCUCUUGUGGAUCUGCAGUCCAGGGGCCUUGUUUGUACAAUGAAGUAUAGGUUUCUUAAAGUUAAUAGCUGUACACUCAAGUUAGUUUUGAGAGGCUACAAUGGUAGAUAGAGCUUCUUCCCUGUUUUAGAAUAUGGCUGCUAUGACUGUGCUGCCAUUAUUUUGUUUUGUUUCUCUCCCUUGCUGAAAGUUAGAAGAGGACUCCCCCUCCCCCCCGCGGGACCGAAAAAAAAUAUCGAGUUAUUUCUUUGACGGAAUUUGUCAAGAAAUCUGUUAAUUAUGUGCAUAGAUUCGUUGUUAUUCUUCAUUCUGAUAUUGGAAUCACAAUAAUAAGCAAUGUUUGUGGUUUCAACUGUCUUUUGUGACACUUAAAAAACUGUUUGAAUUCUUUACCUGUUGCAUGAGUUUGUGGAUCUCCUUCUGCUUCACAAGAAGGGAAAAAAAAUUACUUUGGUAGAUAGAAUUCACAGAUUAUGUGCUUACAUUGCAUGCAUCAAGAUUGUUCAUUCUCGAAAUGGAACAAAUACUUUCGAAUGCAUCAUUGUUUAGGCACUUAAUCCAUGCUUCAGGUUAAGGUUUUACAAGAGUUUACUAGUUGGUCUGAUUGGUCCCAUCUGUGUUUCUUUGGCUAUUGUACUAAUAUCUCUCCUUAACAGCUUCCUUGGUUUUAAAGCAAAGGAACUAGUUUUCUCCUCUCUCUCUUUUUUUCUUCCUCUCUUACUUCCAGACAAUAGGGGAAAUGUUCAUCUUAGAUAACUAAAAAUGGUUUUGAUAACAUGUUUAAAAUUGGCUUUAGAUUGCUGGUUGUGCUUGGCCUCAAGAUAUAUUAUUAUCUUUGGCGUAUAAGAAUGUAAAAUUACUCUUCACAGUGAUUUUUGUCUCUGUGGAACAUGAGCAAGUAAAAUGAAAGCCUACUCCCUUAGACCAAAAACCAUCGAUUACAUAUAAAGAAUUGUGGGCUGUUCAUCCUAUUUUGUGCAGAGGCACCAGUUGCUUGUUUCUUUUGUUCUUUUCUAAUUCAUGCAAUAAUUUUUUCGUAUAUACCAUUACUGUAGAAUUUAUGAAAAAAAGGUCUAAAAACACGUAAUUCAGCAUAAAGGAUGAACACGGUCCCCAAUUGCUCGAAAUUAUGAAACUAUGAACACGAUUUUUUUCUUUCAUAAAAAAGGAUGAUUUUCAUUUCAAACAUCAAACAUCAAACAUGGCACGUAGAAGCAUUGACUGCAUGGCUGGGUAUCACAGCAUCUUCUGUGCAAGUGCAAAGAAGCUGCAAGUUGGUGCUGCAAUGCUCCUAAUGAGAGCUAAACAAGCACGGGAGGCCUUGAAACCUAACAGUCAGCUGGGAAAAACCAAAAAAUGGCUGGUGAUGAGAACCAAAUGUAGAUGGCGCUACUAUUGGAAAUCCUGGUAAAUUAUGCAGGGGCCGGAGGCCUGAUUAGGGAUGAAUCAGGGUGCUAGUCGGGGAAUUUGCUAUGACAUGCUACCGACACAGCCGCAGAAAACUUUGGACACCAAUGAUUGGAUUGAAACUAGCUUGGCAAGCAAGGCAUAAACAAGAAGGCAGAUGAUACUAGAAUCAGAUCCACUCACAGGAUUCCAGUUGAUUGAACGAAAUCUAUCAGACAGCGUCUACUUUAACUCAUUCAAAUAAAGUACGUAAAUGUUUCAAUUUCUUGAAAGUUAGUGGAGCCAAUUACUUUCUGUGAAUAGUGGCAUCAAUUCACAUAACUACUACUACUAUUCAAUCACUUUCUGUAACUAGUUGACGAUUCUGGUCAUGGUUCAAAGCUGCAGUCGUGGGUCGGACUGUUCCACAUCAGUUUCGAUAUAUCGGUUGCGAUCUCAGCGAGAUCCAAAAUUUUGAAACAUUUAAUAUUCUAAAAAUUGAAAAAAAUAUGAUAAAGAAAAAUAAUACGAGUUGAUUCGGAAUGACUCAGGGCUAUUCGGCCUUUUCUAUUCGUCUCGGAGACGUCUCGGCCAAGUUCUCGGUGAUCCAUUAUCUCGGAAUCAUCGCAUCCUAACUAGUAUCGGAACAGAAGGCACCGUUUCGGUGACGACUCGGCCAAUUCUUUGAACCAUGAUUCUGGCAGAUUUUUGUUGAUGCAUCUACUGCAAUGCAACGUUAACUUGCUUCCUAUCUUAUGUACUAAUAUCCUAGCAAUUAUAUUGGUCAGCUUAUAUAGAGUUCACAAGUGAACCAUAAUUGGCUGAAGAUUAGGGUACCCCUUGAUGGUCAGCAUGAGGGCUAUUAAAUAACAAAACUAGCCAAACUCCAUCUCUACUUCUUGGCCGUUGUACCAAUCUAUCCUUACAUCUUCUUUGGACGAAAAGAAAAGUAAAGGAGAUACUCUGAUCAGUCUCAGAUAGUAUGGGAGUUUAAUGAAGCAAGAACCUUAAAAUGGAAGAUUUUUGGAAGGUUGUUCAAUACUUAAAAAAAUAUUGUUGUUUGGGGACCCAAACUUUCAUAUUGGUAGCCAAUUGGCUGGCUUUUAAGGAUUGGUUCAGGAAGCAUUUCUCUUGCUGGGAAGCAAGGAAUCAACUUAUUUGGGAAGAUAAGAAAGAUGAAAGCCUACCCCCUAAACAACAAACCACCCUCCAUCUUCAGACUUGCAAGGACGUUGGCCAUGUCGCAAAUUUUUGGUACCAAAAAUUUUGCUCAGAGGCAAUAGUUGUUUGUUUCCAUGCACUUUUUGGGUAGGUAGGUUGAUAGUAAUAUUUUGUUGCUUGGGAUCCAAACUUUGAUAUUGGUAGCCCAUUGGCUUUCAAGGAAUCAACUUAUUUGAUAUAUAGUAUGUGGGAACUGGGAAGCAGGGAAUCAACUUAUUCGGGAUGAUAAUAAAUUUUGUCCCCGUACCAUUUCAGACUGGAUAUUUACUAUAUGAUGCAAAUUAUCCUUGCAGACAAAGUCAAAUCACCACCAAAUUUAUUCUCGGAAUGACAAGUAAUCUGAACCAUCAUUUCAGAUUUUCUACGUAAAUUUAUUUACUUGCAUUAUAAGCAUAUUUUUUUUUAUUUUCAUCAUGUCAAAAAAAUGUUAUGAUACUUUUUUUUUUUCAAAAAAAUUAUCCUAAAUAAUCUCCUAUCCAAAUACAUUCAUUGUCUUUCUUGAUUGCGGUAUUUGUCUAACAUUCAAAAAAACCCGUCUUAUAUUAGACCUAUUCUUUAAGAUAAUUUGUCGGUCUCUAUUGAUGAUGUAAUUUUGUUAAAGGUAGAUAGGAUUCAGGUGUCCUAAUGCAUUUUAUCAUAUAAUGAAAUUCCCAGUUUCUUCAAAAAAAAAAAAAAAAAAAAGGAUGUUGGAGAGAAGUGGAGUGAAAACUAAAAGUCAAUUUAAAAAUGCUUCUCGAAAAUUCUAAUUUACCUUAAACAGAAAGAAAAAACUAAAAACAGAAACAAAUCAUAUUCUGCUAUUUCCUUUUGAGACUUUUCUUUUGUCUCACAACCUUACUUUUUCUCUUUUCCCUUUUCUUUUUAUUUUUUUUGAUUUUUCUCUUUUUCUCUCUUAAGCUCCCAAACUAGGCUGAAAUGUUUAUUAUGGGUUUGAUGACUUGUUUAAAAUUGGCGGCAUCUGUCUUUAAUUGUGCUUAACCUCAACGUAUUAUCCUCAACAUAAGAAUGUAAAAUUACUCUUCACGGUGAUUUUGGCUUUCUAAAACUCGAAUAAGAAAGAUGGAAGCCUAUCCCCCAAAACAACAAACCACCCUCGAUCUAAUGUACUUACAAGAAUGUUGGGCUGUUCAUCCCAUUAUUGACAUAAUCACAUACGGCCAUCCCGCAAAAUUUAUACCAAAAUUUUGCAAUGAGGCAAUAGUUGUUUGUUUCUUAUGUUGUUUUCCAAUUCAUGCACUUUUUGGUAGCCGUUCACUACAUUUAUCUAUGGGAUAAUUUCAUAAACCUCACAGGAGAUUUCUGACUAUUUCACUGGCUUCUCUCCAGAUUUUAAAAAUUAUGUUAACCUCCUUUAAAAUGUAUUAUUUUAUAACAUAUAUGUCCAACUAAUAAUUAAAAAGUGAUAUGAGAAGAGAGAAGAUAAUAUGAUUCCAUCAUUACCCGUUAUUUACUCAAUUGUUUAAUUAAUCUAAUACCAGUCUAAACAUUAAAGAAAAUACUAAAAUUUGCUAUUUAUCAUCAGGGAUUAAAUUACAUAUGGCAUCAAAAAUAGUAUAUCAUUAUAUAUAUAUAUAUAUAUAUAUAUAUAUAUAUAUAUAUAUAUAUAUAUAUAUAUAUAUAUUUAACAUAAUGUAAGAUUCAAAUUGCUUUUUUUUAGCUAUAAACUCACCGUCAAACAAGAUCAACAACAAAUGACCAAAAAAAUCUAUAACAAAAAUAUUACAAAGAGCAAAUUUUAAUACCAUAAAAAUCUUAGCAACUAACUUUAAUAUGUUGACAAAAAUAUUUAUGAUGUUAAAGUUUGUUAUAUGUAAUAUUUGGUUACAAAGUUUUUUGAUGAUUUGUUGUUGAUCGUGUUUGAUAAUGAAUAUGUAGCUGAAAAGAGUAAUUUGGUCUUAUAGUAAGUAAAUAUAUAAGAUGAUAUACUAUAUGUGAUUUAAUCCUUAAUGAUAAGCAGCAAAUUUUAGUAUUUUUUUUUAAUGUGUGGGUUAGUAUUAAAUUAAUUAAAUAAUAUAGUAGAUGAGGAGCAAUAAUAAAAUUAGAUUAAUAUUUUUUCUCUCCUAAUGUCACUAUUUAAUUGUUGAUUGGAUCUAAAUAUUACAAGAUAAUUAACCUCAAUGGUGAUUAGUAUCAUUUUUAAAACUUGAAAGGAGGCCAAUAAAAUAAUCAGAAAUCUCAGCAGAAGUUUUUGAAAUUAUCCCUUUAUCUAUUUAUCUGCGCAACUUGCAAAAGUCCUUUUCGCUGUUUUGGUCUUCAAUCUUUUCCUAGCGGGCUGUUUUUAUGUCGAAAUCAUACUAGGGUAGGUAAUUAUCCUUGUCCCCACCUUCUUAUAUCUUCUUUAUCCAAUAUUUAAUUGGCUUAGUAGAAAAUUUCAAUCUACUCCACUGCGUCCCAUCUUCUAAACACGACAAUUAAAAACUUCUUUGACCCCUUUUCCAAAGCUGGAAUACGAAAAAUAAUUGGUGGAGAGAUGCUAAUCAGAAUCCUAGUACAGGCUCCUUUGCUUCUUUUGCCGGAAGUUGGCUGCAGUAAUCAAAGUUUUCAGGCAUAAAAAAUCAAGAGUCUCCGGCUAUACCAAUUAAACCUACUAUUUUAUGCCCAUAGAGGAUUAAUCCAUUCCGGCUUCCGCCGUCCUCCCUAAUUAUUAUCACAAAAUAUGUCCACAACUUAAACCUUCUUGUCAAAAGUUCUCCAUGGCCAUAUACGUUGGGCAUGGAGAACCUGCUCUGGGGGUCCGGCGGUGCUUCAGUCACUUUCGAAUUUUUAAUUAACUCAUCUGAACUCAUCAUUUUUCUUUAAUGUAGAAUAGGAGCGGGUGUAGAAUAAAAAUGAUCGUGCCGACAAAAAAAAAAAAGAAAUAUACAGCACUUGGGGAUUUUUUCUAUUUUGGCAGCUGGCAAUGACCCUUAUCUCCAUUUGUCUCCAUCACCAUUUUAGACAGCAUAGCUGCUGAAAAUAUGUGGCAAGCGAUUGAAUUCUAACUUCAAAAGGUAAUGCUAACAUGAAACCAAGUGGUUGGGGCAGGUGUAGUACCAGUGAAGUCCUGGUACCAUCAUAACUUAAUGAAAAAACAUGGCAUUAAGUUUGGUCAGUUUGUACGAGCUGAAAAUGGCAUGGGAGUUAGAAUAAGAAUAGAAAAUUUUGAAGAAAAUCGUAGAUGACCUAUAGGCUUUGCAUGGCUGGAUAAUGACACGAUGACAUCGAACGGUUGACAGUAAAGUCAAACCUAACGGAAAGUCAAGCGACUGUGCAAUCUAACGGAAAGUCAAACGAUUUCAAUUCGAUUACAAAUGGUACAUUCAUUUACAACUUUAUAAAUCCAUCAAAUUCAUUUAUUUAUCUUUACUCUACUAAAAGCGUCAGUUGGAGUUGCUACAGUGCUCAUGGGCCGGUUAUAGCGUGAUUUGUGUGAGCUUGAGGGGCAGUUGGGUCUUUUGUCAUUCAGUGGUGAUGCCUUUUGUCGUUCAGUGGUGUGGGCGACAAGAGAAAGAACUGCUGCUUUUCUUGAACAAAGAAGAGACCGCCAUGUGCCUAGCUGUCUGCAUGGCUUUGGAACUUCGAUGCUGUCCGCGUGGCUUUGCUGCUGGCUGCAUGGCUUUGGCUUUGCUGGAAAUUUCCUGCUAUCCGCGUGGCUUUGUUGUGGGCGGUGAGUUUGUUGUGGGCGACAAGAGAAAGAACUGCUUCUUUUCUUCAACAAAAGAAAAGACCGCUAUGCGCCUAGCUGUCUGCAUGGCUUUGGAACUUCAAUGCUGUCCGCGUGGCUUUCUUGUGGCCGGUGAGUUUGCCGCUAUGAGCUGUCUGCAUAGAGGCAGGUUUUUGGGAAGUAAGUACUGGCGCAGGGAAUGGAGUUUUAAGAACAGACCUAUGCCCUUGGGCUGUUGAACAGAAUUCUUUAAAUAACCCCAUCUCCCACUAUAAAAGAAAGUCGUAUUCAAACUCCCCUUCACUUCCUCUUCCUUUGGUCGAGUGAGCUUUCGCUUCCUCUCCUAACUAAACACUAACUUCAAAAAAACAGCCAGUAAUCCUCUUUUACUUCAUUCCUUUCCAAGAGCUUCACUCCUGCCCGAAGACAUAUAGGAUUUGAGUGAGUUUUGAGCUUUUCUUACAGGAGAGCAUACGGCCUGGCAGGCCUUCCCUUUCCGCCGGAGGGACGUAACUUCUUAUUACAAAAAAGAAUCGGAUGCCGUGGAACGAAGGUCCUUGCUUGCUGGCUAGCGCUAUUGCCUUCCCUGCUUUAUAAACGUAAUGAAAUGGAACAAUGCCUUUUUGUUCAGUUUCACUCUUGUCAAUGACAGCCUCUAUCCUUUCUCUGGAUCUUAUGAGACUUAAUGCCCAACCAGUCUCGAUUUUGGGACUCUCCCCUAAUUUUCGCUACUUUGAACUUAUCUUGUGUUAAAGGCCCGAGGUAAACCUCCUUUCGCCCAAAGUAUGGACUACUUUACUAUCUAGGAAGUAGUAUAGUUCGACACGCGUUGAAGAACUCGUCUCCAUUAUGGAAUUAUAGAGAUGUGUGCUUUGAGAAGAGAAGAUUACACGUAGCUUAUCAAUUACGUGUGUCAUGCAAGCAGCAGCACAGGUGUUAGUAAUACGAGCAAUUGGAACGUGUGAUGUAUUGUGAGUAUGAGUAAAGCAGAGUUUUGUAGUGCUUCUAACAAUUAUUCGUCUAUAUUAUAUACCUGUUUUGUUUGAUGGAGUUGAAUUGUGUCUUGAGUGCGCUGAAGAGAAGCUUCCGAAAUCAACGAGAGUGAUUGAUAGUAGGGUCUGGUAUUCUUUUUGUUGAAGUUAGUACUGGUUUUUGCUUGUUUCUCAGAGGGUGUAUAAAUUUCUGAUAAGCGUGGGACUGGUUGGAAAAUGGAUGUCAGGUCAACAGGCAUAUUGGUGCUUUGGUGUCUGAAUCGUGCAAAGUUUUUCAUAGAUAUCUUUCCAUACUUUGUUCCAAAAUCGUAUAAAGAAGUUACUUUGUACUUGAUUGUUUGAAUUAUAUUUAGCCGCAUUAGUCUGUUGUGUACGUAAGCCAGGAGACAGUUUUGAUUGAUUAAAAAUAAAAUUCAAUGCAGUGCAGGAAGAUAUUAGGAAUUUAAUAUGCCACCAGAUAGGCCUGGGAAUUCGAGGAAAGAAUGAAUAUUUAACCUCAUGGAUCGUAAAAAUAAAAGUUUCUUUCUUGUUGCAGUAAUCAGAUUCUUUAACUGAAUCAAGAGAUACAGUGAUCAUAUUUGUAAAUACAAAAAUUGAGAAUCUGGCCUUCUCUAAUGUAAAAAUAAAUAUUUCUAUGCUGUCUUGGUGAUCAGAUUGUGCAAUAUUUAUACGUUUUUGCUUAACAGAUGCCAAGCUGUCUUGUUUUUCUGUGAAGUUUGAAUUUAAGUGAGAUAUCGAGCGAAUUUUUUUUUUUUUAUGCUCGACAAUUUUGAUCUCCUCACUUAGAAGAAGGCGAUCAUAUUGCUGGUUCAGAGCUCAAAAGGAAGCAUUGAUUGUUCAUCAUAUCAGUAUAUCAGAAAAUUGUUUGUCUGUUGCUUGAUUAAAAGAAAGGUUAUAGAUAACAUCUCGGAAAUUGCUGCAUUAAACUAAUUGGAAUCGUGAGAUCAGAUGGAGCUGCUGGAUGAUAUAAAGAAAAAAGAAAACGUGGGCUGGGGAAAGAAUCUAGAGUCUCUCGCAUCCUCAAGUGGUUAUCAAUAAGUUUAAUUUAGGAUUGAUCGUAUUAGAAAUUCUUUUUUAACUAUUUUAGAACAAUGAGUUGUUGAUUAAAACAAAAGAAUCGUGUUCAUCCUCGAAGAUGGUGCUGCGAAGGAUUAGCAGUAGGUCUGAUCUAUGACGACAUACAAAGUAGUAGCUUGGACGAAGUGUUUCAUAAGAAUACAAGUUCUGCAAUUAUCCUCUUUUGAAAGCAAAGGUUCAAUAUAGUCAUCAGAGCUGCGUUUUCGUACUUGAAUCACAUAGAAGAGCUACCUAUUGUCUUGUGGCUAGGAGAUGUCAACUGGAAGUUCAAGCUCGCGUUCCAGGCAUUGGGACAAUAUGUGCAAAACGUUAGAAACGUACUUGGCCCUAUAGCUUCGGGCGGGUACCUCCAUACCCAUACUCUGAGCACUUUACUAAUCUAUAGUUUCUCAUUACAAGUUUUUCUAGAGAAAGUUUUUCGCACAAAUCGUUAACACCAAACUACCUACUAUCAAUUACAUUAGAGUAACACAAAUUUGGGGCAACCUCGAGCGUAGCGCGAGGCUAGAAAAACUAGUAUAUAAAAAUAUAUGAGCUGAUACAAAUGGAAAAUGUUUGUUUAUUUGUUUUGCCUGGAAAGGCGAGACCGUCGAGGAAUGCUGAUAGUGCACCGAGAUGGGUGCUCGGACCUCAACGUGGAUGCCAGUGGGGAUCCGACAUUUGUUUAUUCAUGAGGCGGGCGGCGCCGGAGUCCGGGAUGUUGUCCGAUCCGAUCUCGACCUAAACGCCCAAAACAAAGCACACUUUCGAGAUUUGAAUAUAUUAAAAUGUAACAUAGGACGGAGUGUUUGUGUAUUACUGUAGUUGAGAGCCGCAGUACUCUAAUAAUUCUUGCAUGGCACGACUGAGGAAGUAGUGGUUUUUUUUUUUUUUUUUUUGAGUAAAAGACCCGGGGAAACUUGAAACCAUCAUUGUUGUAAAGUUUUUGGCCCCUAAAUCUAAAUUUUGUAUCCAAUUGACCCCUGAACAAUUAAAAGCACAUAUAAUUUAAGGAUUUAUGGUCAUUUUAAACAUAAGUCAAGCUGGAACCAAAGGGUAUUUUUGUCCAACCAUAAUCGAAGCAUACGUAAUCAUCUCUUGCUCUUGCCAGUUUCAUCUUCUUCUAUCUUAAAUUUUAGGUUUUCUCUUGGAACCGCAAGAUAAGAGAAGCGAGAAAGGAGAAAAUGAUAUUAUUUUUCUACUUAGUUUUUCUUCUAGACUAAAACCCAACUUGGUAGUUGGGAACACAGGAAGAAAAUGGAAAGAGAAGCUGUGUAUGAUAAGCAUCAUACUAGCACUACAGAGUUCAAAAACGUAGGACAAACCAACAAUAUAGUGCUGCAACUCUCAUAAUAGUACUCCUAUUCCAUCAAUCUACCCAUGGUUCACAUGUCAUUUCGGUGCCAACCUCACUCUACACAAAAGAUGCAUUACUUUCAUUGUAAUGUGGUAUUGCAAAAACUAGAUCUCUUUCUAUUCUCAUUUUGAUAUUUUUUUGCUUAGUUGGAUUAGGCGGGAUGAAGAAAAUGAUAGAGGCUGAGCAGUUUAGCACUAGUUGUUGCCAGCAGAAGAGGAGGAAAAGAGUGGUUAGUUUAGGAGUGAAAGUGGUCGUUUUGUCCAUCAUUUACUUGUGUGGGGUUAGUACUAGUAGUGGUGCGUGUUUUAUCUAACUAUCUUGCGUUGCUAGAUUGAUUGAUAUUUCCUCUUCUCCAGGUUUUUAAUUCUGGUCCCAAUGCUUCCAUUAUGGUUGAACAAAAAUACCCUUUAGUUUUGACUCAAUUUAUGUCUAAAAUGAUCAGAAGUUUUUAAUCUUUGCACUUUUAAUUAUUUAGGGCCAAUCGAAGAUAAAAUUUAGAUUAGGGACCAAAACUUGACAAUAACGAUAGUUUAGGAGCUCCUUAAGGUUUUUUUUUUAAAAACUUUUUUUUUCCCUCGGUCCCAUCAGAAAACACCUGAUUCUGAGGUCGCAACCGUAUCAUGAAAACUAGGAGGGGUCACCGCGCGAGUGCGCGGUGUGAAAUUUUAAUUUUGCCCAGUUAUUUUUAAUGUUGCCUAAUUAUUGCCCUCUAAACAAAAUUUCUAUGAAAAAAAAAUAUAAUGUUGCAAUUGUAAAAGAUUUAAACUAAAAAAAGUUACAAUUACAAUUUGUCAUACAGUGAAAACUUUGAUAUUUGUUCAUAGUCAAGGAAUUCAUAAUAAAUAGAUGAAACAAUAAAAUCAGUCUUGCAAAAUCUCGAAACAUGAAGUCUAACUUUCAUGAUUCCAAUAGAAACAUAUUUUAACGCAAACCAAAAACAAAAAUUUCUUUCAUUCGUACUCGUCCAAGUCCAAGAAGUGUAAUGAGCAACUUUGGAAAGAAACUACUGAAAGAAACCUGCCAUGUAUAACACCGAGAAAGUAAGAUAUAAUCCAUCAGAAUUAGUUUACUAUAUAACACCAAGUUAAAAAUAAAUCAAAAGAAUUGAAUGAUGCCACCAAGGACAGGACAAAUUCAGCAAACAACAGCACUUGUGGUUACUCAUAGUCCAAUACAAAAUUUGUUACCCUUGUUUUUUUCAACCCAUUUCACAAUCAGGAAAUUUUUUUCCAUUUUAUUUGGCUACAAUAAUUGUUGAAGUUGAUAGAUGAAAAGAUUCUUACACGCAAAGCUAAAGUAUCUUGCUUGCUAACUCGGGUUCUGACUGAAGUGAAAGUAUUGGAUGUGCUACAGUGUUAGAUCCUUAGAGAGUUAGAGAUGGUACGCAAGUAAACUUGUCCACAACUUGAUCAUGCAACUAUGCAAUUUACACAAAAUGCCAAUGGAAAAUAAGGUGAAAAUGGAAAUAAAAUGAUCAUGCAAUCAAAUAGGCCAGGAAGAUCCUAAAACGUUAAAAUGAAGCAGAAGCUUCUUCAGAGAGGAUGUCUUUAUAUUCUAAUGACAUACUCCAACCCAAAAGCCAAAAUACAUGCAGCUCUAAAUAAGGUUAUGUAAUUCGGCUUUUAUUUCCAGUAAGGUUCAUAUUACUCCAACACAGGCUAACCUAUUUCCUUAUUCCCUUUUUCUUUAUAAUGACAAAAGUCAAAUCUUGACAAAUCAUUGAAUAAGUCAUGUAGAUAGCAUACUUAGCAAAGCGAGCAUGAUGUUAUAGACUUUCAUCAAACAAAAUUGAUACAAAUUCCCAAAAAAAGGGGUCAAAGAUGGAAUUUCACUCACUUUAAGCAUUAAAAAGUUGUCCACAAAGUGUAAUAGUUGGCUGCAAAAAGGCGAAAAAUGACAAAGUCAUUACCAAAUAACUAAAACAGUUUAAUAGAAACAGUCAAUUGACACCAUCUUACACUAAAUUUCUUACCUGUAAAGAGUUGCUGGCAAUAUCAACUUGGAAAAAUGAAACUUUCUAAGAACAUGAAAAGGAAGUCAAACGAUAUUAUCUAAGGACACAAUCAUAAGUUCCAAUGCAAAAGCAUGAAAGCAUAGAAUAUUGGACCUCAAGUAAGGAUGAUUACUGAACGGAACUGUUUAAAAAAACCUUGACAACCUCUUAAUCUGUUAAUCAUGACUUCACUGGAAUUUUAGGGAAUACUUUAAUAAGAGGCAAAAUUUUCCACACUCCAUUUCUCAAACAGCUCUGAAAUAGAGAUAAAGAUAAUAGAAAAUUACAUUUGAAAAUUUAAUCAAGAGGAAAAAAGUAUACAUCGAACAGGAAUGGAGAAACAAGCAGAUUUCAGAGAGAAAGAAGGAAAAAUAAGAAUAGAAGGGAAUUUUGAGACAAAAGGCUCAAGUUCGAGAGGAUUGAGCUAUGAAAAAUUUUCAGAUGGGAAUUGAUUAGUCUUCUCGGUGUUGAACCCAAGAAAAAGAAUGACUGAAUAACAAACCAUACCUGUUAACACCAGCUAUUACUUCUUGAACGAGUGCACCAAAUGUAGCAUUUGAAGGACCUAAAACGCACAAACAAAACCACAUAAAAGUUGUUGCAUUCUGGAAAUAUAAGCUGGGCAAAUAGAUAUGAGACCCAAAUUCAUGCCUUAGUACAAGAAGUCACGAAUGAAGUGGAAGGGAGGCAUCCAACCUCUCAAGUGAAUACAAAGAUUUCUAGCCUCGAACACUUAUAAUCCAAAAUAAUACUCUCUGUCCCUUGGGUAUGGCGAAACCUUCAAGAUUUUAAUCCACUUUUAAUUUAAGAAAAAAAAGCCACUGAGAUGUCAAAGUGAAACACAAGAAAAAGAACGAUUGAAUAACAAAGCAUACCUGUUAACACUAGCUAUUACUUCUCGAAGGAGUGCAGAAGAGAGGUUUACCAAAUGCAGUGUUUGAAGAAGUACCUAAAUCCACAAACAAAACCACAUAAAAGUUUUGCAUUUUGGAAAUAUAAGCUACUAACAGAUGUAAGACUCAACAAUUCAGAAAUAUCCUAGAAGUUGUGUAUGAAUCAGAAUUGUUCACUUUAGUAAAGAAGCAUUUUUCAUGUGAGAUUUUAAAGUAAAUAAAACAGAAUAACAAAACCGCUAAACAAAAAUAGGUUACGGCACAUAAGUUGCCAUCUUUACAGACUAUUAAAUACAAAUUUAUACACAAUACACAUCAAGUAGUCAGGACAACCCAUCAUUUACAAGCAAUAAUAGGCCCCUAAAGAAUUAUAGAAUGACAGGUUUGACAAACAAAGCAAGGAAAGGGGAAAUGUAUAAACAACAGAUUAUCCCAAAACUAUAUGCAAGCAAAGGAAAAAGAAGAAUUUUAAGAAAUCCACAAUAUCAUAUAAAAAUAAACUGCAUUUGAUUAUGCAAGGAGCAAACAAAGAAUGGAAGGUUGUUAGAAAACAAAUUUAAGAAAAUAAAAUCAAGCUUCUAAAUGCAGAAAGAAUUCAGUUAAGAUUUAAGAAUAUUAUCGAAUCAAUUUGCCAAGUGGCCAGGGAAAAAUAUGCAUUUACAUGUGAAAAAAAAAGAGCAUAGAUUUCAAGUAAAAUGAGAAGGAAAAACCUGGAACAAGAAUAGUAAGUUGGUAUUAGGAAUAAACCGACAAAUUAAAAUGAUACAAAUAACUAAUUCUGAAAAACAAAAUUACAGAACACGGAGAGGCAAGCCAAACCGGGAGGUUCAGAAACCUACAAGAUUUCUCAAGCCUAGGGUCAGAGACCUUGUUUCAGGAUUUCCUGACUCGUUAGCAAUUUUUAUACCUCAGAAAUCAUAUACCCACCUUCCCUAUCAUUUAAGAGUCCUCAACAUUGUACACUUAAAAAAAAUAUGCUUGUAGUAAGAAACCAUUGAUAAUAAACCCAGCAGGGCCUCGUAUGGUUCUACUUUGACCAUCAAGUAAGAUCACUUACUUCAAAAUUUUUCAAUACAAAAAAAUUAUACUCCAAGCAAUUUAAACUACCAGUAAUUUAAAGCAAAUUUUACUAACAUAAGGAUAUUUGCACUAAAAAAAAUUCAUAGUUGAAACUUAAUUAAUCAAAAGUGGAUUUAACAGAUAAAAACGGACACACAGAGAGAGAGAGAGAGAGAGAGAACCCUUCUGGGAAGCUUUAACAGAUAACCCUAAACCCGUCAAAUUCUUCUCUUAAUUCUUCAUUUAUACCCUAACAAUAACAAAUAAACAAAUGAAAACACAAUAAAUCAAUUCAUACAAAUACAUAAAACGGCACUUCAAAUUUUUCUGAAAGAUCCUAGAUCUCUUAGAGCAUAUUAGUUAACAAAAAAAUACAAGAAAAUAGAAAGUGACAAUUUUUUCCCAUCUCUUUUUCACAAAAAAAAAAAAAACUACAAGUAGUCCUUAGGCAAGAAAAGGGGAAAAGGGGUUUCCUUUCUAAAGAGAAAGAGAGAAAAGUAAAAAACUCUGACUUUUGCUUCUCCAAAUAACCCAUAUAAAACAUCAAGACACGAGAUGGGGUUCCAAAAUUCUAACCAUAGGAUUUAUGCAAAAUCUUGACAGUAAGGGCUUCUUUGGAUCCCAAACUCUAACCGGAAAGCUCUUUAACAUAUACAUUCCAGAGGAUUCCACUACCAGUUGCUAAAAAAUCAGGCAAUAACUUAGGAAGGAAAUAGAAAAACAAAAGAGACGCACUUUAUAAAAAAGGGAAAAAAGUUACACAAACUCACUCUCAUCGGGAUGCUGGAUGCUAAAAGACAUUUCCAUUUUUUUUGCACCUGCAACAUCAAAGAUAUAUACAAAUUAAUAUUUAAAAAUUUGACUGCUAAACCCCCACACAAAAAAAGAUCCAAAAGGCUAGAGAGAGAAAGAAGAAGAGAUUAGAAACCCAAAAAAAAUCCCAACCAUCCUCGUUGUUGUUGUUGUGCUCAAUCAAAAUCGGAAAGAAAAAAAAAAUGACGAAGAAGAUGAGAGAGAUGAGGGGAUAAUUGAAGAGAAAGAUAAGGAAAAGAGGGACGAUGAUGAAAAAAUGAAAGAGAAAAAAAACCGUUUCUUAUUUUUUUCAAGCCAACAAACCUCCAAGCAAAAUAUGGAACCAUUUUUUUUCUUUAUCAUUCUUCUGGGUUAGAUUAGCUUAGAAGAUAAAGGUAAAGAAAACAUAAAAAUGAAGAGAAGAUGAGGGCUUUCUGAAGAAAGAAAAAGAAAGAGAUGAUGAUUGAGAGAGGCGAUUGACGGAGAGAGAGAGGAAAGAAAGUUCUUCUGAAGCAUCGAGCCCAAUGCGAGAGUCAAAUCUCACCAGAAACUCUGAUAACAGGUCAAUCUGUCCACUGGGUUUCUUCCCCCAACAAAAGAAAGAGAACACGUUAGUGGAUGACCAAAGUUGACGCCUAAGCCACAUUACCAACACACCCUUGUUAAAACAACGAACCUGUAUAGAUAGAAGGACGUAAAUAGGUGAAGGCCAAAGGGCUACAACCAUAAUAUUAACUAAUCUCCUAGCCCAACGACCCAUUACCAAAUAACAACUCUACUGUUUGUGACCAAACAAAGAAGCAACCGGGCACCACCAACGUCUGACAAGAUUCAUGUCAUCAGCAGCCAACCAAUCACCCGGCGACACACCCGAGGACGACCACACCGACGUCUGCUACGUUUUGAAAGACACAAAAACAGAAGAAGGAACAGACGACGUCGUUUGGUUUAUCGGGGGAAGAAGAAGAAAAGCCCUCAAACAAAUACAAGAGGGAGGACAACCAAGUGCCAUAUCACCUCCAGCCAAUCUCCAGUUGCCACAUGGGCGGACGACCAUCCUAGGUGGCAGGGGGCGGUUCCCUCUUUAUCUAUAUGGUUAAUGGUUAAUGAGGAAAAUGCAAAGUUCCUCGCUGGUUCCUCCCGUCUCCCCAUCUUCAGUUUUUGUCCGAUUGGAUCCACAGCUUUAAAGCCUUGCCUUCAAUCAAAAGUCCAAACAGUCCUUUUCUAGCCAUUGCUUCUUUCUUCGGGUUGAUUUUGCCAUUCCAACUUGCUUAUGUAGUAGUAGUACUUGAACUCCUACAAUCCUCAGUACUACGCACCCAAAAAUCACCAAACAUUUCCCCUCCAAAGUCUCCAAUCGGGACCAUUUUUCCUACGCCAAGCUAUCUAAACGUCAUUCUCUAUCAACCCAAUAAAACCCAACUGGAAAAAAAAAUGGUUGAAAGAACCCAUCCCAAGAAAAACUCCAAAAAAUUCUCUCCUUUCUUGAAUUUACAUCUCUUUUAAAGUAAAAACCCAAGAGUCUGCUGAUCAAUAAUGGCAGAGAACCCGUUGGCCAAUUCCAAUACUUCAAUCCAGAUCCCAUUGAUGGCAGAGAACCCAUUGCUAUCAUCAUCAGAUGAUCUAAAGGAUACAGUUCUAGACAAGCACUUAGCCAAGCUGGAAACUUUCCUCAGAGUUUUUGGGUUCUGCCAAGACUCUCCUUUUGGUUCAAUUUUGUCUUGGCUGGCUUUUGCUAUAUUUGCUAUUUUGCUUCCCCUUUGGUCUAUUUACUAUGCUUAUUGCUCAAACUGUGAGCAUUAUCAGAUCAGAACUUUUGAGCUUGAAAUUUUCACCUCUCAAGCUGUGGUGGCUGCCAUUUCUCUGCUCUGUAUUUCCCAUAAUCUGAGAAAACAUGGUGUCAGAAACCUCCUCUUUGUUGAUCGAUGCCAUGGAAACACGGCCCAGUUUAGACAGCAGUGCAUCCAAAAAAUCAAAGUAUGCUUCUUUUGUACUUUUUUUCUUUUUUUUUUUUCCAUUAUUCUUCAUUUCUAAUCUAAGAUUGCUGGGUUCCUUAAGAAUUUAUUCUUUAGUUUAUAUCGUAGUUUAGUGGGUAGAAAGGCAUAAGUGUUGAUAGGGAAGCGGACGAGGAAGACAGAACUUUAACUACUGAGCCACAUGCCUUUUUCUUUUGUGUUUGUACUUUAACUUUACCUUUUCUUUUUAAUGGAUACAUCAUAAAUCUCGUUUCCUAAAAUUUUCCUGAUCAGUACUUUUUUUUUAGGAAAAAAAUUUUGGGUUAUAUUUAUGGGGGUUUUGGCUUUUGUUGUAGAGUUAGUCUUAGCUGAGUAAUUAGGUUCCAAAUUUAUGAACAGGUCUUAUUUGAGGAGGUUUUAGAUAUAGCAGCACUAAAUUGUUUCUAUUUUAAUUCUCAUUAUUUGUGUAAUUCUUGUUAUGAUACUUUCUUUGACAGUUUUUUCUAAGAAAAAGGAAUUAACAAAAUUCCAAUAUUCCUGAUAUAUAGGUUAAUCUUUUAUUUCUUUCCUUUCGGUGUAUUACUUAAUUGUUUUCUAAUUGUUCUAGUAGUGGGUUGGGGGAGGGGGAGGUGUGGAAGAAGCACAGAGAGGGAUGGGGACUUGAAAUCCAUCCCUUUUUUAGAGAUUGCAAUUAAGGCCCUUAAUUACUGGACUAUAGUGGAUCAUUGUGUUGUUGAACAUAUAGACCUGAAGCAAUUAUGCUAAUGUCCUUUAUUUGCUUCCUUUGACUUUUUUAUAAGUUAUUUCUCUAUCAAUCUGUCCAAUGUCAGUUUUGAGUUGCAAAAUGGUCCUACGAGGUACGCAUAAAGUACCUUUUUUCUCCAUUUAGUAUGAUAAAUUUAUCCGUUCUUUGUGCUGGGUGUGCGGUGGCCUGGUGGGCUUGUGGGGUAGAACAAUGUGAUGUAGCCUACCAAGCUAUUUGUACACCAGCAGUCCCAAGAGUUCUCAUGGCCAUAGAAACCUACAAAUUCCAAAGGAAAUUAUAAGAGUGGCAUACUUACCGCUUUUGCAAUUUUACAGUGUAAUCCAGUUCAGUUACAAAUAUAUGGACAACAGCUCUUGAUAAGCGAGCAGAAAUGAAGAAAACAUAGGUUGAUUAAAACUUAGUAAUACUUUAGGAUACAUGUGUCUAACUAGCCAAAACUGAUUAAACAUCGCUAAAAUUCCACCUUCAAGUGACUUAACUUAUGUGGGUGAAAAGAACUCUCAUUGUAAGUUUGUGGUGUCCCACAAACACGUCUUUGAGUUUUUCUGUUAUGAAAGUGACUGCUGAGAAACUUAUGAGAUUUCUUUGUCCUAGGUUGAGUAAAUGCAGUCUUGAAAUUAUCAGUCAAUGCAAAAAAAAAAAAAGAAGGCUUUGUUAUAUCCAUGGUCAAACACGGCUAUUUUUGAAGAUUUCUUGUCCCACUAAACUUAGUUAUUAAAUGUUAAGUUUGGAAACAAUAUAUGGAUCUGGUGAUUUGUCUUAAUGAUGGUAAAUUACCCUUCUUGAUACUGCAUCGAGUUUACCUUCAUAUGAUGUUCACAUGAAGAUAGUUCUUUUGGCUAGUAUCAAAAACACACUUAUAAGCAGUACAUGUAAUGGGGGUUGUCACUGUAGUUGAAAUUGAUGCACCAACUAAUGCAGGAAUAUAUUUAUCUUUUUUCCUUUAAAACUCGAGAGCAGAGGUCUGUCUGCAGCUUUGCUAAAGAUUGUGGCCUACUUGGUUUAGCCCUUCAUCUUCUAUGAAGAUUCAGUAAUGGACCAUGUCCUUGUUGUGAAGCAUUCUUUUACUAAUUCUCUUGUUGGAAAAGAAUUUAGAAUUUUGACCAGUGGUGUUAAAAUCUAUGCAGUUGAUGGUUAAGAAAAGCAGUUAUCUGAUUUAACUUGGUAAAACUGUCAAAUGAAACUGUACUCCAGUUGGUAUAGAUGGUAAUUUUUUUUCAGGGUUUAAUGUUGCUUGUAUUUCUAGAACAGUGUAAUUAAUGGACAUCGUUCAUCGCAGGGGUCUGUGUUUAGGAAAUAGAAGCAUUUUAUUCAUUGCAGACAUCUAUUUUAGAAAUUAAAGAGAGUCAAAUGGGUUAACGUACAUGACUUUGCUUCAGCACCUGCCAUCAUGUUCAUAGCUGAUGUUCAUUUUCUGCUUAAGGUAUAGUGUCAGAGUAAGAGAAUGAAAUAAAAGAAAUAAAAAAUGAUAUUUACUACCUACAUAGCAAAAGGAAGUGGAUGGGAAGAUCUUUCCACCCUCCAAACUUGAUAACUUAUGCAUACAAAGCUUUACUUCUGAUCUACAAAUUUUAUUGUAAACAGGAGAAACUAUGAACUUGUGAAAGUAAAACAUUGAUAUCUUGUGCGUACUAGGCCAAUUCUACAUAAAUUUAUGUGUAUGAAGAAGUAUUCUCUUGCUUCCAGGAUACUAGUUUGCUAACCUGCUUUUGUGGACUUUUCUUAUUAGAUCUCGUUGUUCGCUGCAAUUUUUUGGUUGACCUUCUGAAUUGAACUGCAAACUUUUGAACUAACUUUUACUUUUGGUGGUGAUUGCCCAGGCCUUUUACCGUUCAGUGUUCACAUGGGUCAUCAUUUGCUUUGUCUUAAAGACUGCUCGUGAGGUCACUCGUGCCGUAUAUCUGCGUGAUAAACUUUGGUGGUGGCCUGUUGUGAUUCUGGUUGCUUCACUUGUUUCUUGGACUUACUCAACUAUACUCUUUCUGCUGGGGACGUCACUGUUCAAUUUGGUAGGGAAUUUCCAAGUGAUACACUUCGAGAAUUAUGGAAAGCUUUUAGAAAGGGAUCUGGAUCUUUCAGUUUACAUUGAAGAGCACGUGCGUCUUAAAUACAACUUAUCUAAAAUAAGUCACAGGUUUCGUGUUUUUCUUCUUAUGGAAUUCUUGGUUGUCACAGCCAGUCAAUUUGUAGCUCUAUUGCAGACAACGGGAAACAAAGGAAUAAUCAACUUCAUCAAUGGUGGUGAUUUUGCAGUAAGCCAUUGUAGCUAGAUUAUCUUAUGCUAUGGACAUGGUUUCAGUUUUUAGGUUUGUGUGCACAUUUGAGGAUUAUAUAUAUGGAAACUCGUUUACUUGAGGAAUAGUCUUUGUCAACUUGAUAAUAAUUGAGUGCUCAAAGGCAUUUUUUUCCAACUUUUAUUACGUGGAUGAUUUCUACAUAUUCUAAAAUAAAUGGAAAGGUUAACGACAUAUCACUGGAUGAUGUCCUUUUGCUACAUAUGAAAUCCCAAAACUGUUGAGGUGACAUCUCAAAGCAAUGGUUGCUUGAUUUUCCUGAUGACCAACUUUUUUUUUUGUGCAUUCCGUUAUAUUGAUCUUUUUCAUGAAUUAGGAAGUGGUUUGGACUCAUAAUUGUUGCUCUUUUAUGACUGUAGGUAUUAUCCAUUGUUCAGCUUGUUGGAAUAGUGCUUUGUCUAACUGCAGCUGCAAAGAUGUCACAUAGAGCUCAAGCUCUUGGAGCAGUUGCUAGUAGAUGGCAUAUGCUGGUUACAUUUAGUUCUAAUGAUGCUUGUGCAUCUGGCAUUUCAACCAACGGUGGAAACUUGGAAGUUCCCAAUCCCAUGGGUGCAUUGUCUGUUAACUAUUCAGAAAGUGAUUUGGAGUCCAGUGAUUUUGUGUCUUUGCCUCCUCGACUACCACUUACUCAGAUGACAUCAUAUCACAAAAGACAAGCCUUUGGUAUGUAAAUAUGUCAAUGAUGCUUAAUUUUUCUAAUUUUUUGGUGAAGGAUUUUAUUCUGCAUAGUCCCUAGCAGAUUAUUAAUACUCUAGAACGGCUUGAGUUGGAUAUUGCUUUCUGAAUAUUUAGCCUCGUUGAUAGGCUUACUCAUGUUAAUAAGUAAAAGAACUGGAAGCUCUUGUGUAUCAUUUAUCAUGUUAACUCGUCACUAACGCUGUCAAACUGGUAUAUGCAUUCUGGAACCAUGUUCUCUGUUGGCUGCAUUCCUUCACAUCAUCUAAGUUUGGUUUAGUCAUCUUUCAUUACUAUUAUUAUAAUGCUUGAACUUCUUUAUCUUGGCUGUUAUGUUGGGAAUGCAUUCAUUCACAAACUCAUUCUUAAUGUGGCCUAAUGAGCUGCCAAACACAGCUGGUGUUGAAUCGAAAGUCAAUUAUCAUUCCUUGACAUUUUUUUUAUUUGUUAUGAAUGUCAAUGUUAUGUUUUGAAUAAGAUUUUUGAGUUUCUAGUCUAUUUUCCUUGUGAUUUUGAGGUUUAAUAAACUUGGUCUUGCACAGGAAUUUCUACACAGUAAUGUUCCUCUUUCAUGCAGAUCCAGUGGGACAUCGGUUUCAGUUUUGGCUCCUUACAAUCUGUAGGAACCCUAAAAAUGUUUUGCAUUUCUAGUUUUUUCGUCGCAAAGCAUCUUAAUCACUUUGCGAAAAUGGGCUAGUAUGAGUCUUGUAGAAUGUCUAUUGAACCACACUAACAAAUGCCAGUUGCAUGUCCUGGAGACGCCUUAGCUGAGAACAAUGGAGGAUUAUGAAUAUACGGUUUGUGUUUUUUUGUUACUACAUUUUGCAUAUAUAGUUUACGCAGUCCCGGAUACUACAUUUUGUUUCUUAGCAUCGGCGAAAAUGCAGUUUAAGAUUCCACUGUGAUGUGCUAGGUAUGUAAGGGACUCGUUUUAGGAUUGCUUUUGAAAUCCAUAUCUGGCUCUUAUUAUGGAGCCUAAUAAGUUGGUCCAAUUUUGUCCUUGGCUUCUUAAAUCCCUGUUACCUUAGGAUCUCCAAUAAGGUUUUAAAAGACCUUUCCUUUGCUUCUGAAUUGUAUUUCCCGCUGAUUCCUUUCAACUAUAUGCUUUUUUGCAGUAUCAUAUGUGCAGUCUAGUGCUGGUGGGUUUACCAUUUUUGGUUGGAUAAUCGAUCGGCAUCUCUGCAACACAAUUUUCUUCAUCGAGCUCUCGCUCGCCUUCUUUGUACUGGGUAAGACCAUCACCAUUACCACCAGAUGAUGCAAAUGCCUCGAAAAAUCAUCGAUGAGAACUCGGCCCCCAAAUUUUUUUUCAUAGUUGGGGCAUCUGAUCAAGAUCACAUUAACAGGGGUGAACUUUUCUCUAAGAAGGAGACUUAUCUUUAUUGUACCUGAGAAUUUGGUCCUGCUUGAGCUUUGGAUCAUUAUAUUGAUGAAGAACCUUGGUGUAAUCAGACACGGUGAUUGUUUUGGUUGAAACUCGGCUAAAUUGUUGAAGUGUAUUACUAACUUUUUGUCUGAUAUGCCAAUUUUCAGUCAUGUAUCAAACUCUUCUGUUCCCUGAUUCAAAGAAUGGCAUUUAUGCUUUGACAAGCCCCUUUUGUUCAUUUCUUGUUAAUAUUUCUAGGUUCAAUUAUAUUGGGUACAAUUUCAACAUUUAUUCCGGCAAGAGCAAGUUCAGUCAUCGACAUUUCUGUCGUCACAUCUUUUGACUGCCAUUAGACCUUUAAUGCAAGUAUUUGAAGAAAAAAAAAAAAGGGUAAAAAACAAAAAAGUCUCCCGUGGUAAACAUAAUAUACAGAAAAGCUUUUCAUAGUUUUAAAAUGUACUACACGACACCUCAUACUUUGAACUAAAUUGUAAAAUUGAUAGAAUUCGUUAAACUUAACGGAAAUGGAAGAAAUGAUCAAAAUGCCUUGAUAUAAUUAAGCAAAGACAGCUCAAAAAAAUCAUUUGUUUUAUUCUCUAGAUAGAGAGAAUUGAGAUAUAAAAAUUAGGUAUAAAAUUUUUUUUUUAGAUUCCAAUAAGUUAUUUCAGUUAAGUUUAACGGAUUCUAUCACCUUUAAAAUUUAGUUUAAAGUAUGAAUUGUCAUGUCGUACGUUUUGAAAUCACGGGGGUUUUUCUGUAUAUUAGGUUUUCCACAGAAGACUUUUUUGUUUUGUACAAAAAAAAAAAAGGAUCUUUAAUGCAAGUUUUGCUUCCACAUUAAUCUCCGAAUAAGUUCAGUUAAUGUUUUUUAAGUGGAACGUGUUGAAUUCAAAGUCUUGUACUUGUAAUUUCUCGUAUCUGAUCAUUCUAUUCAAUCCUUUUAUUAGGUCCAGUUAAAUUGACAUCGUAGAUAUAUUAAUUAAAUAUGCCUUAGCUCUAAAAUGUUGGUUGAUGUAGUUCUCCAAUUUGUCUGCUUAUCGUGUGUAAAUUUGACGAUUAGUGCGUCAUACAUGCUUAAAUAUUAACUUAUGGAUAUCAACUUGUUCAGUUUUUGGUUUAGCAUAUAAUAAUAGGACGAGUUUUACCUAAACCCUUGAGUAUCAUUCUUGUUAUUUUUUUCAAUAAAAAAACCAUAAUCUCAUUGUAAUAAACUUGCUUUAAUCUCAUUGCAAUAGACAAACAUGAAAAUCAAUUGAUACAUAUUAUCUCAUUGUAUCAUUCUUGUUAUUUUUUCAAUAAAAAAACAUAAUCUCAUUAUAAUAAACCUACUUUAAUGACAGAAAAUACACCAAACGUGUAACAGACAAAUAUUCUUGUUAUUUGUAAUUCACUCAUUUAAGAAAAUAAUGCUUGUGGUAUCUUGAAUAUGUGUACUAUGUAUACCUGGCAAUUGGCCAAUUAAUAUUGGAUUUUCAUUUAAAUGGGUUACAUCCAGCCUGCCUAACUUUAGAUUGGGUUAAUUUUGGAUUGGGUCAUAUUUGGUCAUCUCAAAUCCAUGACCUAAAUAUGACCCAAUAUAUUAAUUAAUAGAUUUUGAUACAUAAACUCUCUCAAAUAUAUUUUUACAUACAAAAAAAAAAAAAAAAAUUUCGCACACAAACACAUUUUCGCAUAAAUAGAGAUAUUUUCACACACUAAAACACUCACAGAUAUAAACGCACACUCACUUUUUAAGUUCUUUUGAAAUAUUUUACUUUUACACAUAUAAACACUCUAAAAUACACAUGUAUGAUAUGGGAGGAGAUGGGGGGUGUUGGCGUGGGUUAGUGGUGUCAGAAAUGGAUUUAGCGUAGCGUGUAUUUUGCAGUAAAAUGAAGAAGGAAUCGUGUUACGAAAGCAAGGGUAGUUGCCUUGAUCAAUUAAGAUUUCUUUAAUGUCCAACUCUGCUCUAGUCUAUCAGAACUGAGAAUGGGAAUGGCGUACUAGUACAACAAGAAGUGGGAAAGACACACAUAUGAUAUGGUGUCUACAAAUUUUUUCUGAUUGUUAUUUUUUCCCAAAAUUUUUUUUAUGUUUUAUUGAACGCAUUUUUUAAUUAUUUUGUUAUUAUAUAUAUUAAAUUGCUACAGUAUAUUUUUUUAUAAAAUUUUCAAAAAAUAACAAUUCAAAUGGGCUUAUAUUUAAUUGCAUGACAAAAGAAGAAGUAGCGAAAAAUAUUAUGGAAGUAAAAGGAGUGAAAUGCUCUGAAUAUAGGAAAAUAAUAAAACGUCGACGCAUGCAAGUAAGUAUUAUAUCUAAAUAGCUCAUAUAAUUUUGUUAAGUAUCCAUACAUGGAGGCCCUGUUUUGACUCAUGUCUCAUGCUGUUUCAUGAACAAUGAAAUAUUUCUGUACCUCAUAUCCCAUCCCUUAUAAUUUGUUUAUUUGUUUUUUUAACUUAAGCUGAGUAAUGGGUGCACAACACAAAUACCAAAACCGUCCAAAAUAUAUGUGGAUUUUUAUUAUCCAAUCCAAAAUUGACCCAAUACCCAACUUACCCAACUCAACCUCUCAAAUUAGUGGAUGAGUUUGGUGAGUUGUUGGAUUUUGGAUAUAAUUGCGAGGUCUAGUGCUAUGUUAUUGAAGAUAUGUUGUUUGUCCUUCAUUAAAAAAAAAAAAGAUAUGUUGUUUGUCGCAUAAUGCAAGUGAUUAGUGACUAAGUUCCACAAUUAAUAACUUUUACACAAAUUAACAAACGGGUCAAGGAUAAUGGGGAAAGCCACUGUAAUGGCACGCAUAAAAUACUCCCUGAGAAUAAAGAGAGAGCUAUUGCAGAUAAGUAUUGCAGACUAUUUGGCAUUUGCAGAUAAGUAUUGCAGACAUGGAUGACAUCAAAGCUCCAAAUUUGCUGCCCAUGAUUGACCCCAGUAAUCCGCCAAAGCACGCCUUCCAAAGUAGGCACAAGCAUUAAAACUUAUAUCCCAUAUCCUUGAAUUUAUCAAGAACACUGCCUGCUGAAUCAUCCUUUAUGGCUUUAUCAUCAGCUGACGCGCAUAAUUCCAUGAAUUCUCCUGUAUUUGGCCAUGAAGAUGACACCCCUUGUAGCUAUCCUUUGCUUCCCCGCAACCCAAUUCGUCAACCACCAUUAUUUAAAGGUGACGUGCCGUUUCUUGAAUUCUGCUACAGUUGUUCACUCUUUAAAACUAAUUGUACUCGAGGGGUUUGAGGAAAGGUCUGUGAGAGAAAAAUGCUGGGAUUUGGGACUUUCAGCCACUCUAUUUCCGCCGGAAGAAAAACUGGAAUGGGCUAUGAUGUACCAGAGGGUGUGGACAUUCGGGGUAGAUAUGAUCCUGAGUUUGCCAGAAUUCUUACCAGGGAUGCUUUGCAAUUUGUUGCUGAUUUGCAAAGGGAGUUUAGGAACCAUAUUAAGUAUGCCAUGGAGUGCAGGAAAGAGGCAAAGAUGAGGUAUAACAACGGGGCAGUGCCAGGAUUUGAUCCAGCUACCAAGUCUGUGAGGGAUGCUGAGUGGGCUUGUGCACCAGUGCCCCCAGCUGUUGCUGAUAGGAGGGUUGAGAUAACAGGGCCAGUUGAGAGGAAAAUGAUCAUCAAUGCACUCAACUCUGGGGCCAAGGUUUUCAUGGUAAGUUUAGAAAUUUCGAACUUCGGAUUUUCAUAUCUCUGACAUUGCGUAAUGAUGGACACUGAAAUUAUUUGUUCAAAAUUCGGAAACUCAGCUUUUGGCCGUAGUACUUAUCUUUUGACGUUAAUAUGGUCUCUGUAUUCUAGAAGAAUGAAAGUGUGCAAAUUAGAAUUGAUUGGACUAUAGUUGUAAAAUCAGACUUACGCAUUUAUCAAUCUCAGUUAUCAAUCCAUCCUUGAUUAAUUCAACUAUCUUCAAAUCCUCAGGCUGAUUUUGAGGAUGCAUUGUCACCAAGUUGGGAGAAUCUUAUGAGCGGACAAGUGAACUUGAAAGAUGCUGUUAAUGGAACUAUAAGCUUUCAUGACCAAGCUAGAAAUAGAGCUUACAAGCUCAAUGAGCACACUGCUAAGCUUUUUGUCCGCCCAAGAGGUUGGCACUUACCCGAGGAUCAUAUAUUAAUUGAUGGUGAACCUGCCACUGGUUGCCUAGUUGACUUCGGCCUCUAUUUUUUCCACAAUUAUGCUGCAUUUAGGCAGAACCAGGGUGAAGGAUGUGGUCCUUUCCUUUAUCUCCCAAAGAUGGAGCAUUCAAGGUACUUGUGUCUUCUUUCUCUAUGCUUUCUUCAGCAUUUGAGUAUUGAUGUUAGGAGUAGGACUUAAAAAAUUGAGAUUUUACGUCUUCUUGGACAGUUCCAUGGUCAUGCUUAUUUCACUGCUCUGCCAAUAGCUUCAAUAUUACUGGCAAUGCAAUGCUUCAGAUAUUUUGAGCUUUAAGAUUAAAUAGAGUAUUUGCUUCUCCAUAUUUUGUUGUCCGCCAUAAUAAUCAUAUUCAGUCCUUUUUUUUUUUUUUUUUUGAGGUUCUCCAAUUGUUGACAUUAAUAGCUUGCGUUGUUAUGGCUGUGAAAGCUUCAUACCCCAUGCCAAAUUAGUGGUUUAAUGUUUUUUUGUUGCAAGUGUCAUGAUCUUGAAUCAACUUGUCAACUUUUAAAGGAUGCAUUUGUAAAGCAUGCAUCUAAUAUCAGCGAGUAUGUCCAACUCUUACAAGUAGUUAAUUUGCCAACAGAGAAGCUAGGAUAUGGAACAAUGUAUUUGAGAAGGCAGAGAAAAUGGCUGGUAUUCAAAGAGGAAGCAUUAGAGCUACUGUUCUAAUUGAGACACUUCCUGCUGUCUUUCAAAUGGAUGAAAUCCUGUAUGAACUGAGAGAUCACUCUGUUGGCUUGAACUGUGGAAGAUGGGAUUAUAUAUUCAGUUAUGUCAAGACCUUCCAGGCUCAUCCCGAUAGACUGCUGCCAGAUAGGGUCCUAGUAGGAAUGGCUCAGCACUUCAUGGAAAGUUACUGUGAUCUACUGAUCAGGACCUGUCACAGGCGCAGUGUGCAUGCCAUGGGAGGAAUGGUAAGUGACAGCAUUCUUGGAAUAGGUGCAAUAAGCAAAUUUGAAUUAAAAGAAAAAAAACUAUGGAACGUAUUCUAAAUUAAGACUAUUGAGUUCUGAAACGUGGAAUAGAAGUUAGAAUUUGUAAUAUGUAGCAGAAGCCUGCCUUUCUUUUCUGUCUUAAUAAUUGAAACAGUUACAUUAUACUACCUCAUAAAAUUCAUAUAUUUUGAACAGGCAGCUCAAAUUCCAAUUAGAGAUGACCCAGCGGCAAAUGAAGCAGCAUUGGAGCUAGUAAGGAAGGACAAACUGAGAGAGGUGAAGGCAGGGCAUGAUGGUACUUGGGCCGCACACCCAGGGCUGAUCCCCACAUGUAUGGAAGUUUUUACCAACUACAUGGGCAAUGCUCCAAACCAAAUUGAAACUAUGAAGCGAGGAGAUGCUGCUGUCAUAACUGAGGAAGACCUCUUACAGAUACCAAGAGGAGUUCGAACCAUGGAAGGCCUUCGUCUCAAUACCCGAGUUGGCAUCCAGUAUUUGGCUGCAUGGCUAACUGGAACUGGCUCAGUCCCUCUUUACAAUCUUAUGGAGGAUGCUGCAACCGCUGAGAUAAGCAGAGUCCAGAACUGGCAAUGGUUGAAGUAUGGAGUUGAAUUGGAUGGUGACGGCCUAGGUGUGAAGGUGACCGUGGACCUCUUUGGGAGGGUUGUCGAGGAAGAAAUGGCUAGGAUCGAGAGAGAAGUUGGAAAAGAUAAAUUCAAGACAGGCAAGUACAAAGAGGCUUGCAGGAUAUUCACACAGCAAUGCACAGCUCCAGCAUUGGAUGACUUUCUGACUCUAAAUGCCUACAGCCACAUUGUCAUGCAUCAUCCUGAUGGAUCUUCCAGGCUCUAAAUGGUUCCUUCCUUCGUUCCCCUAAUACCUGGAAUAUCAUGUUGUAUUGUCUAAAAAUUUCCUUGUUUCUUAUGUUUCGAUUGGAAAGUGUUCUGCUGCUACUUUUGAGUUCAUAUUAUCUGCAAUAUAAUAAAUUUGAGUCUGUUUGGGUGUGGAUUUAAUCUCCAAACACUAUUUAGUUUGCAUUAUAAGCACAUUUUUCAAUUAGCUUUUAACAUUCUCGGCCAUCCUUUUGUCUCAAAUAUAUCAUACCACAAAAAUUGCUGAAGUGUAAUUCAUGUUAUUUUUCCAAGUAUCUCCUGUCGAAACAUACCCCGACAACUGGGGUUGAAUGAUAUGUCCAUGUGGACAACUGAAUUAGUUUCUUUUGUAGCUAGAACUUCUGUGAUUGGUCAUUAUCGAAGCCUAACUAAUAUUGUAGAAGCUAAUUGACGCAUUCGAGGAUAUCAUAGUUGAAUGCUCUCGACAUGGCUGGAACCAGAAAUAUCACGUUUCGUGCAGAACACCUGGCAGGCAAAGGAAAUCCGAAAUCACCAAUUAAUCUUUUUCUGCAAUUAAUCUUUUUCUUCCCAAACAGGUUCUUUAUUAAUAAUCAAAUAGUCUGUAUUUGUAGUACUUGAGACUUGUACAUAGCUGGGAUUCAAGAUGGGUAAAUGCCAAUAUAGUCACUUUGCCAUAUGAUGAAAGUUCUGCAAUUGGAAUUCUGAAGCUUCAUGAAAGGAAGAAAGAAUUUUUAUAUAGAUAAAUGCUUCAGUUUUGAGUAACAAGCGUUUCGUCUUGAAUGGGCACCGGAAAGCAAGCACGAGUGAAGUCAGAGAUCAUUGAGAAGUUUUUGUAGUGGUUAAUGAUUGCAUAACUCCAAAUGAUAGCAUGUCUAGUUGAUGGUGUGUGUAUUCAUAUGCAUCCAUAUGUAAGACAAAGUGGCAGCAUCAAACUGAAAUUUUGAUGUCGAUGGUUUCCUUUAAAACUGCAAUGCUGGAGCAAGAGCUAUUGACGAUGGAGUGGAAUGUUGCUGGAAUUUUAUCGUUGCUAUGAACAGGGCUGCAAACGAAUCUCGCAAGCGCUCCCCCGAGUGAGUCGAUUCGGUCAAAACUCGACUUGAUCUCAGUUAACAUUGAACUCGAAUCGAAUUUGAAUUGAUCAAGUCGAGCUCAAAUUUGAGCCGUUUGUUUGUAUAUAAAUAUAUAUAUAUAUGUGUGUGUGUGUGUAUUAUUUAUCAAGAAAAUAUUACUAUUUUAUUUAUUUUUUAAAAAUAAAAUAAUUUAUUUUAUAUUUUUUAAACUUGAACUCGAGUUUGAUUUGACUCAAAUUUGAAGUCGAACUCGAGUUUAGUAAAAUUGUGACUCGAUAAGAUUAGGUCAUAUUUUGAUCCAAUUCGACUAAUUUACAGCUUUAACUAUAAACAUUCAAACGUGAUUUUCUCUAAAAACAUUCAAACUUCUGAUCUGGCAACUUAAGUUUGAUGCCGUUGAAAAAAAAAAUAUUUAAAACUUUCUUUGUUUGGCUUGAUAAUCUUUGCAGCUGAACAAGAGAUUUUUCCUGAAUUUUAAAUUUUUACUUCCUCCAACUAACUAUGAAUUUCCCAGUCAAUUGAGGAGGGCCAUUUGGUGGCCAGCCCCCUCAGUCACAUCAUGGCUCCGCCCAUUCAAUCAUUCAGGCAUCUAACGGGGCCAAUAAAACGGUAGUUGGUCUUGUAGAAAGGUGGGACCUUUGCCAUUGCAGGCCAUGGUUGAUGUCUUCCAAGUGUGCGCUAGUGAUUGUACAUUUGUGAACAUAUUUUCUUUUGGAGUGACAGUUUGAGUAAAAGCAUUAUUGGACCACAUCAAUUGUUGCUCAAUCAAAGUUUUCAGGUAACAAUUGUAGAGGUUCCCAAUCCUCAUUUUAGCAUGACAGCAAAUUUAUGGUACAUUUUUUUUUUCUUUUUGGGAUAAUUUCAGAAACUUUCCUAGAGGUUUUUUGACAAUUGCAGCCACCUCUCUUGAGGUUUGAAAAGUUACGAAACCUCUCCUAAAAGGUAUGUCUUAAUAACAAUUGAUGAUGUAAGAAAAAAAAAAGGUAAUUCAAUAAAUAUUCAAUAUUAACCCUCUUUGAUAUGUAAAACAAAUUAAAUACUAAAAGGUCAACUAUCACCAUUGUUUGUUGGAUGAAAAUUUCAAGUUAGAUUUUUACAAGAAAAAUUAAGUCAUGUUUUGAAAGUUUUCUUUUCUGGUACUACUUCGGACAUUUUUUUUGGUUAAUUAAUUUUUAAAAAUACUUGUUUUAACAAAUGCCUCCCCAAUCGGUUGGUCGACUUUUAAAUUGAUAAAUCCAGUCACAAAAAUUUGAAAAUGAAGAAUAAUGCACUAGAUUAUAUGACGUUAGAGUUUUAGAAUAAAUAAGUAUUACCAAAAAAAGAAUUUUUAUUUUUCUCUUUUAAACUCAUUUUCACUUAAAAAAUUUGUAUAGUUUACGAAAGCUAUCACAGCUCUUUCAUAGCACCAAGGGAGGUAACUAUCAUUUUUCAAACCUUGGGGAAAGUGGCCAUGAUUAUCAGAAACUUCAAGGGGGGUUUUCGACAUUAUCCCUUGUUUUUUUUUUUUUUUUGUUGGGGGGUCCUAAAAAGAUUAAGAGGAGGGAACCCUACUUACUGAAUCCUCAUUUUAAUGCAAACUUUUUUUUUGUUUUGGGGUCCCAAAAGGUGAAAUAGGAGGAGAAGGUUACACCAUUUCAAGGUCAGAGCAGACUACUAACACAUUUUUUAAUAAUUUAUGGUAAUUCUUUCAAUCACCUAUCAAUGAAAUUAAGAAUAAGCCGAAUCAAUCCGGUCAGCAAUGCAGGCGAAUAGAAACAACAAUAAUGUUGUGAAACCAGAAAAUUCACAUCCCACGUUAUUUACUCAGUCAUUAAUUGGAUAUCGAAAUUUACAAGUUUGAAUCCAAUUUCAAAUAUAUCCUGAGACAAUAAAAAGACAAUUGCACAAAUUUUUCACACCGUGGCAAGCAAAUUUCCAUAGACAGUGACGGUAAAGGCUUUUUAUGUGCAAAUUUUUUAUGUUACACACACUCAUAUUCUCAAUGAUUUUUUUUUAUGUGCAAAACUUGAGGCACAGUAGACAUAAGACACUGAACUAACAAAUGUAGACACUAAGGUUGUGUUUGGAUUGCAUUUUCCGUCAUUUUUCAUAGAAAAAAUACUGUAGCGAUUUGAUAUAUGUGAGGGAAAAAAGUGAUAGGGAAAUGUGAUCACGAAAAACGAUAAUAUUUUCCGACAGAAACAAGCAAUCCAAGCAUGGCCUAAGUUCAUGACACUGAACCAUUAAUUGCACUCUGCAAUUGCUAACUGUAAUUGCAGAGGAUUUGGAUCCAUUUCCUCAAACAACAUGAGAGGGUUGUAUUCUAUUCGUUGAAACACAACUCUAGCCUCUUUCCCUGCCCCUUAGGAUAUUAACUUGUAACCAUGUACAUAUGUGUUGGAUAUACCUUUUUUUUUUUUCUAUUAUUGACAUAUUUUUUAAUUACUUUUUUCUCCUAAUCACUUUAACUUUUAAUUGACGUACAUAAUAUCAUAGAAAGUGCUAUCAUGUUCUUGCGGAAUUUUUUUUUCCCAAAUGAUCAUCAAUCCAAACAAACCUGCACGUGAAUCAAAAUCUAAUGUUACAUGUUUCGCUAAAAUAAAUAAUAAAAAUAAAUUUUCCAAACAAUCAAACUUUUCGAUUUGGAGCCAUUAGAAGACAACUAAUAUAUUCAAAAAUUUCUAAUAACUAUGCACAUUAAAUAUAAGUAUGCUAGUAAAACAACAAACUAACUACUCUUUAAAAAUGAAAACAAGCCUAUAAUUUAGAACAGAUCCCUUUUCAUAGUUCAUAGAAAGGGGAAAAUGAAUUUAUUGUUAUAUUUAUUGGAUCCGUCAAGAUUGUCGAGGCUUAGACCCACAACUUACAUCUUGAAGGGAUGGUGCUGUAAUCAAUUGAACUACAAUUCCAGUGAAAAAAGAAACAUUGCAGACAAUUUUAUUCUUUUUAUCUCCGCAUCGAGUCUUUAUGAAAAAUAAAUAGGAGUUAUACCCUCCCCUCGUGUGAUAGAUUGGAUUGGGGGAAAAAAAAAAAGUGAACCUAUAUGUUUGUGAUGCGACGGAGUAAGAGAUUGGAAAAGAUUGGACGUGGGGCUGGAGCGAUUGUCAGAACAACCGCUCGGGAAGGUGUAACACCAUUUGUAUAUGGUAUAAUAUCAUCUGUACAAGAUGUAACAAUUGAACAACAGCGAGUAAAAUAAAAUAACAUUUUUGUGGGUUUCACACGACGUGAAAAUCGAGUUAUAAAACGUGAUCUGAAUCACACAAAUUUUUAAGGCUUCAUCCAGAUCGUGAACUGCCUGGACGGUCGUCCGAAGAGAUUGUAGUUUCACAGGGACUACCAUAGAGUAUGGCAACGGUAAAAAGUCAAGUACAACCUGACACAUUGCAUCAUUCUAGCCCAUUCCUUCCAACUUCUUUUGUAGCACGAAACGGCUAAGGUCUAACUUUUCCCAUCCUCACUUGAGUCAAUUCAACUAGAACAAUUUACCAAGUCAAUUCGUUACCCUUUUUUUCCCUCCAUCUGGGCACAGUUCAUUGCAUUCCACCUAUGUUAUAUGGUCCUUGUCCUAAUACACAUUUCGUAAGUGUGACGAUAAUGUUAAUGACACUUCAUCUCUUUUAUAAUUUUUUACAAAAGAAUUUGAAGAAGUACGUAGUGGAAGGUCAAUUUUUUUUUUUUUUUAAUCGUGAGCCUUUUAACAAUAACUUAUAAUUGACUGUUCUUUAGAAUUUACUAGUUGUUCCAUUUUGAUUGGUCCAUCGGCUUCCAUCUUUUGCAUGUUGAUAGCUUGUAUUCUUUUAUUAUAUGGUUUCAAUUCCUAUUUUUAUCGAUAAAAGAGAGAGAAAGAUUUGCAGUUGCUACAUGGGCUCAACAAUUUUAAGACAAAAUAUGAACCACAGAGUUCAAGAGUUGACUCACGCAAAAGCGUUGCACUUAAUAAAAACAGACUGGGUUGGUUUGGAUAAGAGGUUAUUUAAAAUAUUUAUUUGAAAUAAUUACUGUAAUAUUUUUUUGUGAUAUAAUGUAUAUGAAAUAAAAAAAAAUUAAAAAUUAUGUGUAUAAUACAAGCAAAACAAAAUUUAAUAUUUUUUUUAUAAAAAAAAUCUUGUAAUCCAAACACACCUAGAUACGGUUAAGGAGGCAGAGAAAAUUAGGAAUAUACCGGACUAGUAUCAAUAAUGAUCCCCAAAGGAAAACAAUUUCAUUGACCGACAAUUCACAGUUUCUUUUUUUCUUUUUUUUUAGUGUAAACAGAAAAACUCGAACCCGAGACUCUUGCUUACACUCCCCUCAACGUACCACGCAACCCAUCCCUCCCCUCACAGUUUCAUUCUCUUUUUCGAGUAUAACAUUUUAUCCUUUCGAGUACAACAUUUUUACAAAUGAUCCGUAUUAAUAGAGGAAUAGGGGAUGGAAAUAAACCACCUCCAAAAAUAUUUUAAGAAAUUCGGGACUCAAAAUAAUUCGGAAAAAAUUAAAUCACUCUUUAAAAUAUUUUAAGAAAUUCUGGACACGAAAUAUAGGUCAUACAAGAGGUUUCGAAUCUCUUACCUACGCCCUCUUCUAGCUCAGUUGGCUAAUUAGCAGUUUCUUGGUUCGAUUGUGAAACGUCUUCUUUCUUUUCAUUUCUUUUUCUCUUUGUUUGUUUAGCUUGAACCGGAAAAAAAAAAAAAAAAGAAAUUUAGUACAUCGAUGCAUCAUUUGAACAGCAAAAAGAGACACAAUAUACUAAUACAGACCAGAUCUACCUAUAUUCCAGGGAAAAGACAUCAUGAUGUGAUAGUAUUAAUACUAGUUUAAUAGGUAGAUUAAGCAAAAAAAAAAAAUCUAAAAUUGAUCAUCAUCAAGAAUCAGCUAAGUAUCAAUAAUGAAUCAAGUUUAAGCUGAAAAUCACUACCAGAUCAAUAGUCAAAACUAGUGAGUAGCCAUUCUUCUUGUUUAUUAUAUGUUCUUCUUGAUGGAAGGUUUUACACACACCAUAAAAAACACACACAAAACAGGAAGAGUGUUCAAAAUCAGUUCUUGGUAGCAGAUCCCAUUAAACACACAGAGUCAAGCCAAGAAGAUCUUCUUGGACUUCUUUGUCGCACCAAACAGUUGAUACAACCAGCUUCGAUGUUGUUCCACAAAAAACCAAAAAUAGUUCACUAAAACAAACACAAGGAACAAAAAACUAUUAACAAUUUCAACUGUUUGUAUCGAUCCUUGCAUGUCCUCGUCUCUCUUUUUCUGCAUUAAAAACUCAAAAUAUUACUGCAUCUUCAUUAGUUUUUCUCUUUUUUUUUUUUUUUGGGGGCCCGAUUUUCAGCGACCGAGUGAAAGAGCAGCCUUAGUAUCCAAUCUCCAUGCAAAGCCAUGGCCACCACCCAGCCUCCACACAUCACAGGGAAGAGUCAGGGAACUAUUCCCCUUUCCGCACGUGACCACCCUCACCCUGCACGUGAACGCCGGCCAGUUCUUUGGUGGCAGCUCAAAUCCUUCCUUCAUUACCAGCCAGACCACCACCUCCUCCUCCGAAGACUCCGCCUCCUCCUGGCCCACGACCAUCGCCCGGUACGCCCUGUUAACCCAAACUACCCUACUCAAGCCCUCCGUUACAAACCCCGGACACGUGUCCCGAUCUAGAUUCAUCACCUUCUCCUGGUCCGUACACCCCAGUCCACCACCGUACACAUCAUCCAACCCAACCCCAGCCCAUGUUUCAGUUACGCAUUCCACCCUCACCCACGUCCCUACCACCCUGACCGGCUGGCCCACCAUCCCACCCGCCUUCCCAUCCCGCUGGGACGACCCUCCACCCUCAAAAUUCAACCACAUAGGGACUUUUGCUUUCUCAACGCCGCGAGAAGAAGCCCCUCUUGCCGGACGCUCCUGGGACGAAGAGGAAGACCGUUGAUUCGUCUCAGGAGUCUCCGGCAACAAAGGUAGAGUGACAACUCCAACCCCAACACCGUCUCCACCGGAUACCGAUCCCGUGGAGACGGUGCUUCUACCGCCAUUCAUCGACUCGUUUUCUUCGGGAGAAGGGGAUUUUCUCUUCCUUGCGCACCUACACUUCUUUGUCACCCCACCAUUACUACAACUAGCAAUCUUCUUCUUACCACUAUUUCUUACGUACCUUCUUUUUGCUCGGCCGGUUUUCACGUAAGCUCCACUGUUCUCCGCCGUAGAGCUCCCCGAACACGAGCUGUUUGUAGCCGGCUUCGGCGCGAUCGGCCGAUAUCUCAGCAUUAUACGGUCCAUCUUCGACAUAUCGUACGUAUUUCCAGCAUAUCUAGCUAUGCAACACCCUCCUCUUCCAUCCAUUUACUCACAAAAAUUCUUUUUUUUUUGGGUGGUAAAAAAAAAAAACGAAAGUUGAAAGUUGAAACCCUUCACAAGGGUGAGAGCUGAUAAAGGAAGGAGAAGGAGGAUUGGAUAUAUAAAGGCAAAGAGCAGGAGAGUCCGACGCGUGUGAGAACUGCUCCAACACGUGUGAGGGGAAUGGUACGAACAGAAGAAGAGGUGAUUGGUUGGAAGAGGAGACGUGGCGCUGGUACAGAUGGGCCCCACAUGAAGAGGAUGCAUAACGGGGUCCCACGUGAAGGUUGCGUGAUUGGGCCCCACGGAAGGACCAAUCAGAAACAAGGGAGUGUCCUUAAGUACUAGGGGGCUAAAGGAGGGGGCCACGUAAUGGGGGGUCUCAUCGGUGCCUAGAGGAUCGUGUAAGUAGGGAUUGUGGAAGUUCCAGAAAAGGGACACGUGGGCGAAUCGCAGUUUGGUAGGAAGGCUAAAAGUCGAAAGCCUUGGGGUUUCUUUGAUUUGAUUGCUCCACGUGGACGGUGGACGAGGACAAGAUUUAUGGACUCUAAAUGGGUAUCUUAACUGGAUUUUAUUCAACUUCUCCAGGACCAUUAAUUCCGCUAAUGUCCACUUUUCUCUUUUUCCUCUCUCUCUCUCUCUCUCUCUCUCUCUCUCUCUCUCUCUCUGUUUUUAAGUACCACAUUUUACGGUUCCAUUGAAAAUCAAGAGUAGAUUUAUCCUAUAAUUGUUAGAUGCCAUAACAUUAGGAAUGUUUACUGUAGCAUUUAGAUAUUUCAUUGUUUAGAAUAAUAGUAUAACAUUUUUUAUAACGAAUGUGCGAAAAAAAUGAUUUGAAAAUAUAAAAAAUAACAAAAUAUACGUGUAAUUAACUUACUGUAACUAUUAAAGUAAACCUUUUAUAUAAUUUUUAGAUUUAUUUAACGAGUGCCCUUUCGAAUAUUAAAUUUUUAAAAAUAUAAGAUUAAUUAAAAAAACAUAUAAAUACAAGAAAAAAUAACAAUUGUUAGUAUGUAUAUAUACCUGGUAGAUUGAGUAAAACAUAUGUGUGUUAACGAGUAUUCAUUGAGCACCCAUUAAAAAACUCCUCAAUUUUUCAAUAACAUGGAGAAGAGUUUCCCUUUUUUUGGGUUAAUUGCAGUUUACACCCCUCAACAAUUCAACUAUUGGACUUAACACAUUAAACUUUCAAUUUCAGCAAUCUAUUAUCUUCAACUUUUAAUCUAUAGCACUAUCAACAAAUCAAGCUAAAUCUCAGCAAGAAAAGAAUGAUUGUACUGGUUUACCCUCAAUUUCCCACUAAACAUCCAAAAAAUACCGGUUUCAUUUUCAUAUUAGCAGAGUCAAAUAAAUCUUUAGGAGUGCCUUCAAAUACACAACCAAAAAAAAAAAAAAAAGAAGAAACAUAACCCAUGUCAAAUUUCACCAUCAACAACAAGUGGACUACCACCAUAACUUCUUCUCACACCACCAUAACAUUUUCACCAAUUUACCACCAUACCACCUUAUCAUAUCAAACAAUUUAAUACCAAAAAUUAUACUAUACAAGGAAAAAAGACCUUAUUAUCAGACCAAGCAAAUUUAACACCCAAGAAAAUCAUUAGACAAGAAAACAAAAAAUAGAUAAAAAAAAAUUCCAUAUCCAAAUCUUGUCACCGUAAACAGCCACGCCACCACUACCAUCACCUCUGAACUUUACCACCAUCAAAACCUCUUAAAACUUGUCCGAUGAAUUAAUCCCAAAAAAUCAAUAGACUAAAAGAAUCAAUAGCAAAAUAUCCCACAUAGGUGGACCUCUACACACCGUUACCAUAACAUUUUGACCUCUUGAAUCUACUAGUAUGACUAUCUUUCCCUCCAGAAAAAGUAAAACCUUUGUUCUAACCUUUUUUUUUUAAAUUCCAAUCCUUAAACAGCAUAUCUUGAUUCUAACUCCUCCAAGAUUCACUUUUUUGCUCCAAAAUUAAAAAAAAAAUUCACACCACCCUCACUCUGCUCCUCGUCUCUAGGAUGGGAGGUGCAAAACCCUUCCCUAGGACAAAAAGUCAGAAGCAUGAAGGGAAUGGAGGGGGGGAAAGGUGGUGGUAUUAUUCCUUCUUCUAUGGGGUUAAGGGCAAUUGGACAAAAAGUGGGGAAUUGAUUUUUUUUUUUUUGUCUCAACGAUAACAUUUUUAUAACAUAUUCUAACCAAUUCUAGGAGGAGAGAGAACCUAAUCGACAGGAAACACCAUCGGGGAAGUUGGGUUUUGCUACCAUUGUUUUACGAGAUAAUUCUACAAUAGGGUUUUGUGGAACUAUGGUGGCUAAUUCGCAAGGCAGGUUUUUUUUUUUUUUUUAAAUCCUUUACUAAUUAGCUAAUUAUUGGUGCCAAAUUUGUGUGUCUAUUGUAUGGAUAAAAAGUUAUUUUUGGAACAAAAGAUGACAAUGGCCCUUUAAUUGCCAAAGUUUAGUUGAUUGUAGUAGAUUGCCAAAAAUCACAAGUUCAAAGUUGUUGGUUUUAGCUGUAAAGUGCAAUUGCUGAAUAGUUCAGGGGUGCAAACUGCAAUUAACCCUUUUUUUGUGUUCUGUUUUAUUUAUUUUUUAUUUUUUCAGUGCGUGCUCAAUAAUGCCUCUCGGAGUCAUAUUAAAAAGGCACUACUAUAUUCUUUUCUUUAUCCCAUCCCCCAAGUUCGGUGAAACGACAAAUUGGCUUUUCAAAUUUUAGCUUCACAUAUGAGAAGCAAAAUCAUUAAUGCAAACACAACUUUUAGACACUGGAAAAGUCCCAUAUUUGACGUAAUACUUCUAUGAAAAUAUGCUCCUCAUAUACAGCAAGUAGCCUUUGUGAAAGUUACUCAGCAUUUACAACGUAUUAUUAGGCAGGGUCAGCUUUGAAAAUAUGCUCCUCAUAUACAGUAAGUAGCUUGUUUUAAUGCUUAUACUUGCAAAAAAAUAAUAAUAAUAAUAAAUUAGCUCCCUUGAUAAUAAUUUAUCUUUCUUCUUGUGGCAAGUCAUAAUUAAUGAGGAAACUGACGUUCACGGAAGUCGAAUCGACAGACAGAAAACUGCCAACCGUAGGAAUGGAAGGACAACGAACGAGAUAGGAACAAAUUUGUGAGAGUUCUUUUCCCCGUUUUACAUAUACGUGUCGUGCAUUCAACUAUAAUAAUAUAUACACUAUUAGUGUACAUAAAAUUUACUGUUAAAGAAGAUUAAGCAUCACUACUAUUGUUUUUUGAUGAUGUUUAAACAAAGAGGGAAAUUUAUUGAUUAGGCAGUCAUCACUACAUUGAAUUUGGUGGGAAAAAAAUGUGAGAAGAUUGGCUGUGAUGAAAUUCAUGAUUCCCAAAAAAAAAAAAAUGAUUUGUAUCAUUUUGCUGUUUGAUAGCCUAGAUAAUCCAUAUUACAAUGGUGUGGCUAAAUCCACCCACACCCUUAUAACAAAAUUGACCAAAGAGUUCAUAGCAUUUAUGGGGCUGGGUAGAAACUUUUUCAGUAAAAAAAAAAAAAAAUUAGCCUUUUUUUUUAAUGAAAAUAGAAGGUGUUGGAUUUAAAAUUUACAUCAUUAUGAAUUGUUUUAAAAUUUAUCACAUUGUUCAUUCACUUAGAUGGCAUUUAUUUUUCCCUCUUCUUUAUUAGAGAGAAUUUUUUUAGGAAAAUUUUAAUGACAUUCUCAUAUUCCUAAUAGUUUUUUUACCUUUGAUCUUUUUAUCACUUGAAUUGAGGAAGAAUACCCCUAUCUUUUAUUGAAUUUACAAUCACCCCUUUUUAUAUAAUUGGAAGAUAAACAGUAGUAAAGGCAUUUUUAUUCUUGUACAUGAAUUUAAAAAAAAAUGAAGAAGAUUGUCAUUUUUUUUUAAAAAAAAAAGAGAUGUCAUCAACGUUUCUCUAAAUACAAUAUAUAUAUAUAUAUAUAUAUAUAUAUAUAUAUAUAUAUAUUUCUUCUUUUAAUCUUGUUUUCUUGUAUCUCACCUCCAAGCCAAACACACUCAGUACAAAAGAUUCAAGGAAUAGCUAGAAUGUCUUUUAGUUUUCUUUAAUUUUUGGAGCAUGCUUGCAAUCUUGCAUCAUGUAAAUCUUUAGGGGCACAAAAUUGCCCUUUUGUUCGUUUCUUUUAGGACUGUGACAUUUACCUAAGAAGGACCAAAUAUUGCUGGCUCCAAGGGCGCGUACCAUACUACAAAUAUGAACGAGAAUGCAUUACAUCAUUGGUCAAAAGCAACUUACUCCCAAUUCUUCCUGCCGAAGUGAUUUAAGAAUACCACAAAACAAAACACAAAUGUCACCGGAUUAGCGAAGCAACGACGGGCCUAGAUUUUUGUUAUUCCUUUUUAUACCACAAAAAUUCGAUGGAGUCGCGGCCACGAUUUCGAGCGCUCUUUUUUUUUUUUUUUUUUUUUUGGAACUGCCAAGAUUUAUGGAUCGAUGUCAAUUUAUCUCAGAAAGGCAGCCUUGUCUUGUGCUGAGACAUUUAGGCUGGUAAGUUCUCAUAACUAAAAUUCUCAUUCUGUUUUAAAUAAAAGGAAAGUUGAGUUUUUGCGUCAUGAAUAGUCAUGCAGGUCCCAUGGGAUAAUAAUUAUAUGCCACUUAUAUGGCCAUGUAGCAAAAAGCAACCUAGUUUACGUAGAAUAGCUGAUUCAUGCCAUUCCAACAAAUGAUCAAUGACUCUCUCUCCUUCAUCAAUCUAAAUUCCUAUGGGUCAUAUUAUAUUGCCACAUCACCCCCGGUUGGCUCGACUAGUGUUGGGGAAGUCUCUUCAAGUCCGGGGCAUCGAGUGAUCGCGGUUCAAUCCCUAUUAUCGUCUUUUAUAUCUUCUUAGGGGGUGGGGGACAAAUGCAGUGGAAAUAAUCAAAUAAUCGGGUUUUUAAAAUAUAAUCCGUCGAAUCCCGAAUACCCACUGUGUCAGCAAAAAAAAUUAUAUAUAUAUAUAUAUAUAUUGCCACAUCUCUAUUCACGAAGUCAAUUGGAGUUUGUCACGCAAGCAAUUUAUCGUUAGGAGAUAUCAAUUUUGCCUCUUUGAGUACUUGUUUCGCACGGGAAAUAUUAUUUGUACUCAAUUUUUUAUUAUUAUUUACACUCUUACUAUUUAUUUUAUUAUUUAGGUUGAUAAAUGAAAAUUAUGUGAUUACAAUGAUAAUCGAAGUGCGGUUAACUAAAAAUAAGAGUGCAGAUAAUAUCUCUCUUCGGAGAGUUCUAAAAGAUUUUUCUGGGCUUACAAAUUUUUUUUUCAACUCAUAUUAGGCAAUUAUCAAGAAGGAUGAUAUUUCUAAGAAAAUGAAGAGCCCAACACUUUUAUAUGUCAAAACAAUAUUCGUCAUCUUGUCCUCAACCGACAGUUGCAAAGGUUGAUCCGUACUUGGUUUUUUUCUUCUCUUUGUUAGGUAAAAGUUUGUUAAUUCUCCAAUUGAAAGACUUAAAAUUAUUUAUAUAUAUAUAUAUAUAUAUAUAUAUAUUUUCCUGCAGAUUAUUUGUACCAAAAUAUUCACCUGCAGCUCUCCUUCUAUUAUUGUUAAGACAUUUGUGACCCAAAAUUUUGCUAUUAUAAUGCUGCGUAGACAAGAAAUUGUCAAAAGUAGAUUGUUUAUACCAAAAUAUGGACCCCUCCUUUAUUAUUGUUAAGAUAUUUGUGACCCAAAAUUUUGCUAUUAUUAGAAUGUCCUGCUACGUAGAUACACGUCUUGACUUCCUUAAUUUAGUUGCAAAGACGUGUCACUCUAAUCAACUAAGUGGAGAAAUGGCACUAUGCAUGGCAGUAACUUAGAAGAUCCAGCAAAAUAUACACUAUCAAAUCAAAUAUACGGUGAUUUAAUAGAUGUUGGGACAGAAAAUGGUACAGGACAGAAGUUCGUUCGUGUCCUUUUUUUUUUUUUUUUUUUUUGGCUAUAACGACUCGCUUAAUCUCAAACUAUUCAAGUGUGACAAAUUUCUACUCAAGUCUCAAGGUGCUUGAUUAAGUCCAUUUCCAGCAAUUGAUUCUCCUUUGUAGCAUCAAUAUUGGUCUGCUAUGAUGUAUAUACUACAUAAUUUAUUUGCCUAGCUAGGAUGCAGAUGUUCCUUGUCUGAAUGCCUGGAUAAAGGGAUAAAAAAAAAAAAAAAAAAAAAAAGUUCCUACUCUAAUAGGGUAACAAAUAACUUAAUGAUGAUGUUAAAUGAGAUAGUAGGUUUAAAGGGUCAAGGAUCUUUUUUAAUUUCAUUGUGAUUAACAAUUCAAGCGUAUAAGGUGAUUUGGAGCAUUUUAAUAAGUUUGGUGCAAAAAAUCCAUCCAAAGUAAAAAAAUUCAGAAUCCCAAGUGGGAAUUGCAAACGACAUUUUGAGUGCAAGUAGAAUUAGUACUGUAUUUCACUUCACACUUUAUCACAAUUGGUGAUCCCACCAAAUCAUCAACUGCUAGCUCCCACUAUAUUAUUGUCCACUUUUGUACAAUUUUUUUACUUUAAAUGUUGUUGCACCUUUAGUUUUGUGACUGCCUUGCCUUAAAAUAAUAAUUACAGGAAUUAAUUAUGACUCCUCCCUUGCUGUAAUCACGUUAUUGGAGCACAAUUAAAAUAAGUACCAUGUUCUCAUUGUCCUUCUUGUGCGGACAUGGCAUAAUAAUUAGACUGGUUCGUAAUGCAUCAGAUUCCUGAGGUUGCUGAGGAUAUCGCCGGAAGGACAAUGGUUGGAUUGGAGGAAACGAAAGGAAGGAAUAGAGAAAGCAAGAAAAGCAAAAGGUGGUCGGCCAAGCCAAAAAUGUUGUUUACGUACUAGAUACUGAGACCUGGAAUGUAUAUAUAUAUAUAUAUAUAUAUAUUUAUAUGGAAAUCACAGUGGCCGGUUUAAGAAUUUCUACAGUGAAUAUAUAUAUAUAUAUAUAUAUAUGUAUAUGGCUUACUGCAGCACAUUUACAAGCUAAAAGUUAGUCCAUGUCUCUAAGAAUUGUAGGUUGAUCCUCCUCUCAUCUCGACUUACAUGACCAACAGCCUACCAAUGAACCACUUAGAUUUUGCAAAUGAUCUUUCCUUUUUGUAGCAUAGCAUGUCAUGGUUUUGGCCAUAGAUAAACUUAUUGACAAUUAGGUAUUAAGAAUAAAGUUUUGACAAAGGUUAAGAGCAAUCAACUUCUUGUUGAGCUUGCAUCCUAACUUUUACUAAUAUCCAAUUUAUUUGGAUGGGAAUGUUUUUUGAAAAAUUUUACUGUAGUAAUGUAUAUGAAAAUUUUUUACUAUAAAAAUUUUUUGAAAUAUUUGAUAUAUUAUAUGGAUGAGAUGUUUUUUGAGUUAUUGUGUAUUACUGUAAUAUUACUGUGUUUGAAAAAAUGGUCAAUCCAAACAGAGCAAGUCAGUCUUUUUAUCUAGACUAGACUCUCACCCGUUGUCACUCACUACCAUACGAGAUAACGUAUGUAUUAACAAUAGAGGAUGUGGAGGUUAUGUUAAAAUUGACAACAAAUGCAGACGCUAAGAGAAUAACGUACGUGUAAAAAAAAGGCGACAAACUUUUGCCUUAACUCAACUCAAGAGGUUUUCUUUUUCAUGCAAUUCAAAGAUUAGGUGCAGUCUAUCUGAUAUCAAAUCAAAUCAAAUCAAUCAUUAUAUGUAUACUAAACUCACAAGUGUGUGACCAGUUAAAAAACUUCAAGUAGUAGUUCAUCUGAUCAGGUAAUGUAUGUGCUCUCAAAAUGUACAAAAUGGAGCCAGGUGAGAGGGUGCCCAAACCUUUGAUGCACGCCAUAUGGUCAUCAAUUAAUCGGCUGUUUGGCACUAUGAUUGGAUUUCAAUACCAACUUAAAAAAAGACUCUAAUUUAUUUCACGUCGCAGCCAAAAGUAGGAUCCAUAUAAUUCCUUGUAAGACCAGAUGGACGAAUGGCCAACUUCCAGGUACAGCAUCCAUCAGCCAUCACCUGUUAUAUUCUUUUCUUUUCUGAGAAAAGCCCAGAAGCCAAAAACCUACUGCACUAAAGGCCGAGCCAGAUAACCCUAGCAAAAUUGACCUAAGUUGUUGCGAUUCAAUCAGGGGGGACUAGUAGUAGGUGAACAUGCAUCCAAUUUUCAGUGAAAAUCAUGUGAUACAGCUUAUUUAUUCACGUCAAUUUUCAAUCGUGCUCCAGUGAAAAGGGAUGAAAAGACUAAGAAAUGACUUGAGAAAAAACCCCAGAUGGAAAUUUACCAAUUAUUUCAUCAUGCUAGCGUUGAAUUGGGAAUUAAUUUCCUUCUAAAGAGUAAUCUCGGAUAUUAAAUGCUCGCACUUCCACCUUAUUUUUCCUUUCUGCAAAGAUUUUAGGUCAUGAUCCACCGGACGAAUUAUAUGUUUCUAUCAGCAGUGCGCAAGCGCAAAAUUUCAGCUGAAAGUCUGGGCAGCAAAAGAAAUUCAUAGCAGGAACCAUCAAAUUCGGAAUCUCUCACUUACGCUCUCUUCUUUUAAUCAAUCUUUGAAAUGUAAGUGAGAGGAUUCAAACUCAGAAUCUCUCACUUAUACUCUCUUUUUCCGAACCGUUCAGCCCAUACGUUCUAAUUUGUUCCAGAUCUUUUUCUAUUUGUUUCGCAAGCAACUAGGGCAGCCCAAAAUGGAUUUGUUUGUUUAGGUACUAAUAUAAUAUAUAGCCUAAAUUUAUGCAUAAUAAGAAAGACCAACAUAUAUAUAUAUAUAUAUGUAUAUAUUUUUUUUUGGCCAGAACACAGCAGUUUCUGAUCCUAGUUAAACUUGCCCACGGCACAGCCGCAUGCUUCAACAUUGUCAAACAUUUAGAUAGCUUAUGUUUCCAACUUUCAGUACCUGUCACAUGGCAGGCCGCUUUACCUCAAAUAGAUAACAAAAGUGUCCUAGUCAAAUUAGCAUUUUAAUACUCCUAUGUCAACACCCCGGAUCGGGUUAAAGAUGUUGUGUAAAGCAGACGUAAUUAUGGAAAAUUGACAGAUUUGGAAUCAUCAAUAUUCCUGGUUUCUUCUUGAGAUCGUUAGGGAGGAUUCUUGAAAGCUACUUCAAGGGAUUUACCACUUUGGUGUAGUGCUCUUAGGAAAAUGUUUGGUCAUUUAUGGAUGCACACUUUCAAAUGUUUCACGUUACUUUACUUAACUAGUAGUAUGCCUUUAGCAGCACCAACCAAAACCCUGCAUCUGUGCAGAUAAUAGUCUGUGUCAAUGCUUGCCUCAGAAUCUUCUCACAUGGAUCUCUAGUCAUUCGCCAAGAACUUGUCAAUAAAGUAUUCUCUGCAGAUUAACUGCUGCCCACCUAUGUAUAUUAGCCUAAAUUAAUGUUAUGAAGAAAAAUCCAAAGAAUUAAUGGAUGGAUUCAACCCCUCAAUAAUGUUGCUGCAUGAACAACCAAAAUUUUUUUUUUCAACCCCUCAAUAAUGUUUCCUAUCAUUCUUUAACCAUAUUAUUGUUCUGCAUGAACAACCAAAAUCCUUGUUUUGGUCUAGCAUAUUCUUUAACAAUAUUGGAGUAACGGAAUAGUUUGAUCCCAUAAUUGGCUACUAAAGACAACAUUAUUCUUUUUCCCCAUUAUGAAAAAGCUAAAAUCUAACACAAAACCAGUGUGUUUGGACUGUAAGUUAUUUGAGAUAUUUGUAUGUAGCACUUUUUGUAAUGUGAUGUAUGUGAGAUAAAAAAGAUAAUUGGGAAGAUAAAAAGGUGUAUUGGAAAUUGUAAUGGUGAUAUAAGCAAAUAUAUUUGGACAAAUAACUUACAAUCCAAACACAUAUAAGAAUAUAUACAUUUAUGAGUGUAUAUAAGAAUAUAUACACUCAUACAAAGAAAAAGAAUUUUUGUAGGAUUCUGAUUGACAAAACAUUUAUGGUGUCUCCCUAUGUCAUAGAAGAAUAUAUACGGUUACUAUUUUUCUUCCAAUUACCUUUUCACCUCAUAUAUAUCUUAAAUCGUUAUAAUGUAUUUUUUUUUUUUACAAAAACUCCAAAAAAUAGCAAUCGAAAAGGUAGAUUUUACAAAAAAAAAAAAAAAAAAAAAAAAUCCUCCGCAUGGUAAGAUUUUCAAUUUGAUGUUAUCUUGUGCAGACAACUUCCUAUGCUAGAAGCCAAUUAAAUCUAGCUUGCGCAGCCAAGGCUACGGUCUUUGUUUUUCUGUUUUCAUUUGGUAUUUCUGAGGCCAUCUUCCCGAGCUUUCCUAGAGGGAACAUCAUAAGACCAUUGACAAUGCACAUUAAACCGGUAUACGUCGCUUUUAUAGGUUGCAGAAGGGCAAGAGGAAAAAAAAUACACAAGACUCUAAAUUAUAAUUCUUGAAAUGGAAAAAGAAUUCUUCAGCAAUCAUUAUUAAUCAACUGUCCACGUACUCGUCCAUUGUCCCAUAUUUUUUUGACCUGGGACUAAAGUUUCUUGCUCCUCUGUGUAUUAGUCUACAUUGGACAACAACGACAUGCAAACCUAGCCAAUGCCGUGCAUGCGCGUAGUCUAUCACUAAGUCUCUAUACACAUCAUCUCAUAUUAUAUAGUAUUAGUAUUAGAAAAAAAUUUUAUGGUCAAAUUAUACACAUACAAAUGACGCGAAAUAAGUAUAUAGUUAUGUAAUGAUCGAUGAGAAAUUUCCAUGUAGUUUAGAAAAUUAAAUCAAGCAUCACAAAAGCAUAGAUGCAUGCAAGGUUUUUGGUAUACAUAUUUGAUUUUUCAAUGGUACGUAGUUCUCAAACCAUAUUUGCUUUUAGGCAAAUCGAUCGUAGUUCUUAAAGCAUUAUAUUGUACUCAAUCUUUAACCUUCUUAAAAUCUUAGGCCUUGUUUGGAUUGCAUUUUUCUGAAUUUUUUUUUUUUAUAGAAAAAUUACUGUGAUGAUUUGAUGUAUGUGAGGUAAGAAGAUGAUAGGAAAAUGUGUUUACGAAAAACGUAACAAUUUUUUCACAGAAGAUGACUGUCCAAACACAGCCUUGUCAUACAUCUCAAUCUCGUAUAAUCUUAUUAUACAUCUCAAUCUUCUUAAAAUUAUUAAAACCAUCGUUGCAUGUGUCCUUGCAUAAACAUCGUAUUUUGAGUGUGAUUUAUGCAUCUUUUAUCUAGCAACUCAUUGCUUAGUUUAGUGAUGUGAAAUCCGAUAAGGAAUUUGACUCAUUACUAAAUCUAUAAGCCACGUACUUUGAAGUUCUCCCGACAUUACGCUUGCUAUUUCUUACUUACCCAAAAAAAUAUUGCGCUUACUAUGAGUCUUACCAUGCUAGGUGGCACAAAAUGUCAUCCAUACAAUCAUAUUCGGCUUUUCUGGUAGACAUCAUGUGAUGGAGACUUCCAAGACCCUUUUUUAUACAAGACAUGAAACCAUAUACACUCACGAGAGAUUGUUGAAAUGGCAGAAGUGUAUACCAGAUUAUUAUCCGCUUGGAAGGGAAGUUUUUUGUCUAAUUUUUCUCUACAAAAAUUUUAACAACUUUAUUUGUAUAGUGGAUUAUUUGAGAUAUUUUUACUGUAACACUUUUUGUAAUGUGAUGUAUGUGAGAUAAAAAGAUAAUUGAGAAGAUAAAAAGUUGUAUUGAAAAUUAUAAUAAUGAUGUAAGCAAAUAUAUUUGAAAAAAUAAUCCACUAUCCAAACACACUUAUAUAUUUUUUCAAAUACACACCUCAAAUACUCGUACACAUACAAAAAUAUUUACCCUUCUUUCUUCUUGUACCUCCCCACACCUCAAUCUACCACCACCUCCACCGUCAGCAGCCAUCAGCCACUCCUUUUUUUUCCCCUUCUUUCUUCCCCCCUUUCUCUCAUCCUCCCUCAACCUCCUCUUUGCUCCCCCUCCUCCUUCCCCCUUCCCCAGAAAAAAGAGGAAAAGAAAGGGACGAAGGAGGAGGAAAGAGGGAGGGAAGAAAGAAAGAAAGAAAAAAAAAAAAAGAGCCUCCGGCACCAGUUGCUGGUGAGAGGAGUGGGGUGGUGGAAGUGGGAAUGGAGGAAGACCAAAGAAAAAAGAAAAAGAAAAUUUAUAGUAAAUUAUAAUAAAAUUUUAUAUAAACACCGAAAAAUAUACCUCCCAAACGGACCUGUAUUAUUGUUGGUCUAGAAAAUAGGGACAACAUGCAAAAGUACAAAUUCUUCUCGAUUAUUGUGGUCUUUGCUUCUUAAAUUCAGCUAAGUUGGGCCCAAGUCUCCAUAAUUUGACAAGAGAUAACCACUCAGAUUAAGCCACAGUAGACCAAAUGUCGAGCCUUGAAUGAUUAAAAAAAAUACAAGUACAAAGAAGGAAGCUUGAAGUGCUUUUCUCGAAGGCCUCCAAUAAUUUUUCCCUGUUUCCUCAAGUAGGAACCUAGCUAGCUUCGGUUCGGACACGUGGUAACGUGGGUACCGAACGGACUUGGAAUUUUUUCACAACGGAAAGCGAUCAAGCUUUGACCUCCUAAUUGGCUAGAUGCCCGAAAAUGGUUUAGAUUCUGAGUUUUCAAUGCCCACGAAACCAGAAGCAGAAAUGUAAUCAAAUCCCUUUCCCCUUCAGGAUAUAAGCUAGAUUUGAGGCCACUUGGGUUUGAGACCUCGUACCCAUAUAGGAAAAGUUUGAACAUUAUCUGAUUUUUGUGAUUGUCUAUGUAAAGAGAAGAGUUGAAACAUGAUCGAAAAGUAAUGCCAAACUGCCUCUUGGGAUUGGUUCGGAUGAUUUCGGGCAAGUUUAGUUAGAUUUCAAGAUCGUGUGUUCGAGUUGCCUCUCUAACGCUUGUGUAUUUUUGGAAGAUGGGACGCACGGACACAAGAAAAUUAAUCUGAUAAAUUAAAAUACUCCUUGUGUUGAAAAAAAAAAAAAAGAGAAGAAGUGAUGCCAAACCAACCAUAAGUUGGAGAACAAGUCCGAGAUUAAUUAGAACAGUGUUGAACUGAAUUUACCGUUUCAGACGAUGAACAUAAAAUGGUACCAUAAACUUGCUAAAAAGGCAACGUGAAAUACUUAAACUCAAUUAGUCACUUGCCUCGAUAAAAGCUCUUUUAAACUUGGGUUGAGUAGUAAAUAAAAGAGCCAAACGUUUGCAGAAUUUCCAACUUCAAAAAAAAUUAAUAAAAAAAAAUUGAAUUGAUAGUGCUUUAAGUCAAGUCAAGGGCUCAAUCAUUUGGAUGAAUAAUACCUAGUCUUCUAACUAAAAAUACUCCCCCGGUUUCAUAAAAAUAGGUCUAUAUAUUUUUUACACAGAUUAAAAAAUUUAGUAAGGGGUAUUACUAUUAGAUCAAUCAUUUAGAGUAAGAGGCACAGAUUACUAUGUUUUAGAAAAAUGGUAAAUUUAGUUAUUAAGUGCUGUGUUUAGUAGUGCAUUUGCAGAUAAUUUAUGUGCAUUAACUAUGGAUAUGUUAAUAAAAUAACAAUCCAACUACUCUUUAGAAAAAAAAAAAAAAUAGGCCUAUAAUUUGUGACAAAUACAAAAGGAAAGUAAAUAUAUUUUUGUGGGACGGAGUGGAUAAUAGUUAUCUUUGGGAAUCUGAUCAUUUUUUUUUUCACAAACACGUAUAAUCAUUAUAUUUAGAUGAGUCGGAUUGGGGUAAAUUGACAAAUGCGAUCCCUUAAUCCGACAAAUUCACUCAUUCGUAAGUGUAUUAGAAUGCAUGAAAAGUUAACAAUGUUUUUAAUGGGCCAAAAUUGGUAUGCAAUUAAAAUCUUUUGUUAAGUUUGGCGGAGAUGCCCAAAUUUUGACACAAAGAAAAAAAAAAGACUAAAAGAUGACAUUUUAAUAAUGGACAAAAGAGAAGAUAAUUAUUGUCCAAUUAAAGUGGACUUAACUUGUAACAAAGCUGAAGACACGAAAUCAUCUUUGGAAUAUAUCCAUCUAAUGAGCGUUGUCAUCGCUUCGAGAAUCGAGCUGCAGCCAGCCCAGCUGAUCAUCAACAACCACCGAGAUAUUCGAUAGCGUCAAUUUCAAUUUCGUUCCGUCUUUUCGAAAGGAAGUGUUACUAAUUAGUAAUUAUGGAGGGGAACGUGGCAGUUCUUUUUUCUUUUUUAGGACUUCUCACAAACCAGAAUUCCACUGUACUUUUUUAUUUAACGUCCGUGCGUCUGCGUGCGCCUUGCCUUGCUUUCUCCGGUCAUAUCCUCUUUCCAUCGAUCAGUCUUGUUUGGAGUUACGUGAGCCCUCCUCCAUGAUUAAUGUGUUUUCCCUAUAGGCCUUACCCAAAAAAAACAAAAAAAAAAAACGAUAUUCAAAGAAACUAAUAUGCUGUCCAUACUUAUCCGUAGGGGUGUACAAAUUGACCUACGUAUUUGAAAAUUUGCGAUACACAAAGUCAUAUCCAAUCCAACCCCGUUAAAUCAAAUACCUGUCUCGUUAGAUCUCUCGGAAAAUCAAAUAUGAGUUUUGUUUUUAUACGAAGUUGAAUAUAUUAAGUAGAUUUUAGUAUUUUUUUUAAAUGACUAUCGAUAUCUAACCGUACCCGUAUAUAAGGGUGGGCGCGGGUCGAAUAUCCCGUAUCCGCUACAUUCACAAUUUGGCUGAACUGACCCGCACUUUGUGGGUUAGCCAUUUUCUGACCCUUAUCCGCCCCGCAUAGAUAGGGUCGGAUCAGCGAGUACUCGUCUCACCCCAUUUAUCAUUUAAUUUUUUUUAAAAAAAAUAAUUUAUACCAAUUUAAUUUUAUAUUUUACAUAUGCAUAUAAGAUUUAAUAACUUUUUUUCUAAAAAAAGGUUUCCCACCAAGAAACAAGCAUAUGAAGAGAAUAUAAGAUAAAGGAAAAAAAUUAAAAGAAUUCAAAAUCAAUAAAAGUUUGAAAUAAGUAGCACAAUUUUUAAUAUAUAUGUUCCACAUUAAUUAAACUUUUUUCUAUAAAAUAUAAGAUCAUGGCCUUUACAAAUGAAUCUUGUAAAUAAACUAUAGUCUCUCAUAUUUGUAAUGCAAUUUGUUCAAUAAAAUUACUUAUUUAGUUCUAACUUAUUAUUUUAUAGUGUGUGUAUAAAAAUAAAAAAAUAUAUGUGCGGGGCGGAUCGGGUACCCGCAGGUUUUUAAUUAUGUUAUCCUAACCCGCCCCGCAUCUUAACCGAUACCCGACCCUCUUUUGACCCGAUCAAAUAAUAAAAAUCGGAUAUUCUAAUUUUCGGAUCGGACAUGACGGGUUUUCGGAUUAGCGGAUAAUUUUGCCCACCCCUACCCGUAUAUGAGACUUUAGCGUAAUUUUUAAGGUUUUGGGAUUCUUUGUAUAAUAUUAAAUUAGUUGGAUAUAUACGGUAUGCUAUUUUUACUCGCCAAAAUAUUGGAGUCUUGCUAUUGUUGCUUACUUAACUCUUCCUUCUUUUUUUUUUUUUUUUUUAAGAAUUUGGUUAAUACAUCUGGUUACCCAAUUUGUGAAAUGUGUAAUUUGUUUGGAAUGAUGUUUUUUAAGUGAUACACCUUAUUGUUUAAGUGGUUUUGUUAAAUUAAUUUUAUUUAAGCUAAUUAUUAAAUUUUGGAUAUGGAUCAGAUAUCCGCUUUCUUGACUCGGUAUCCGACCCGCUUGCACCCUUACUUAUCGGUGUAACUUGCGACUACACAUGAAUAACAUGCAUUUUUCUCGUUAUAAGUUGAAUUAGAAGUUCAGGUUUGGGGGCAGGAUUACUUAAAGAUAUAUAUUUAAGAGCAUACUUUUUAAUUUUUUAAACAAACUUUGGGAAUCAAAAUCUAGUACUGAAAAAGGAAUAUUUUUAAUGUUUUAAGAUAGGAUAUUAAAGGAUUUAUAAAAAUCUUGAGAGGGUAAAGUCUAAUUUUUACUAAGAUAUAGGCGAAAAUUUUCAUUAUUUUAAAAGGAUUUUUAAGGUAUAGGUGAAAAUUUUCAUUAUUUCAAAGGAAUUUAAAAGGAUUUCUGAAAUCUUGAGGCCACCCGCCUUUACAUCCGCCAGCGUUCUUCUAGCAAAAUUGACUCAACAAUAUGCAUCCUUGACUCAAAUGAAUCAAGAGAAUGAACAUUCAACCAUGGCUCAAAAGAAUCAACAGCCACGGCAAAUCGAAAUCAAAUGUUUCCCAAAAAAAGAAAAAAGCAUAGGUGUAAGGGUGGCAAUAUGGAGAAUUUCUCACUUUAACCUCUUUCAUGUCUAGAAUAUAUAUUUAAAAUGGUGUGUUUGGAUUGAAUAGGUGCAAGGGUGGCAAAAUUGCUACGUUUUCUGUGGACAUAUUUUUCAAUCACCUUUUUACCUCACAUAUAUCAAAUCGCUACAAUAAUUUUUCUACAAAAAAUCCAGAAAAAUGCAAUCCAAACAAAAGCUGACUUGUAAAUGUUUUAUUUUUCACCCAUUAAACAGCUAAUGCUAGAUUGAAGAUACUAAAAAGAAAAUCUUUGUAAGGAAUUAACAUGCAUAUGAUAGGUUUUUUUUUUUUUUUUUUUUUGGGUGGGCCGUCAGAGGGAGAAAUAGUGCGUAAAUCAGUCAGGGAGUAAUCAAUCUCGUCUUAAUAAAAUGUCAUAAGAUUUAAUGGGCCGACCUUGAAUUUCAAAAUGAAAAUUGGGCUACAAUUUUUUUGUCCAUCAUGUUAGGAUAAAUUUAGCCCAUUGUAGUAGUGACAAUUGGGCCAACUUAUAACACCAUUUGGUGGACUCCGGACCUCAUUGUUUUGCCAUUGGUUCACCCUCCAUACAGAGGCAUGCACCUUCGGAAUGGCAGAAGAAUGCAAGUAACAAAUGGCCACUUAAGGAAAUAAAUCUUUAAUUACCUUUGCCAAAGUUGAUAUAAGUAAAAUAAGAUAUGGGUUUUGGGGUAUUUUCAAAAAGUAUUAUUGCAGGUUUUUUUUUUGAUAAAUAUGUAAUUUAACGAGGAAAGAUAGUGAGGGUGUUUACUGUUUCCAAAAACAAGAUUUGGGAAAAACGCUUCCAUCCAAAUAAAGCAUAAAGUCGUUAGAAAAAGCUCGCCAUUUAAAUUGGGAAAAGCGUUUCUCAAAAAACCUCAAACACUUCUUCCCUUUUUUUUUUUUUGCAUUAGAUGAAGUUUGAGAAGUGUUUAAGAUUUUUUGAGGAGUGCUAAUAUUGACUUUAAUACUUCCUUUAAUUCUUACGAAAUGAAUCCACACACAGCAUUCCUUACCAAAAAAAAGCAAAAAGAAUUCACGCGUAUAUAUUACUUGUUCGUGCAUAUUUCAACCAUGAGGAUUUAUUUAUAUCUCUCAUAUGCAUAUGCAUGUGCUUUUGGUUAUUCAUGUAUUUUUUUUCGUCGAGAUAAUAAUUUUUAUUCUAUACCUACUCCUACUUAGGAAGAAUCCAAAAAUGACUGAACCACCAUCGGAUCAAAUAUGUACCUCUGCAAGUGUUGGUGAAACUUUCACAAAAUUUCGGAGAUAAAUGCAGGUUAAGGGAUUCGAAUCCCUUGACCUGUACCUAAAAAGAACUUUAAGACUCUAUGUGGUGAUCGACUGCUCUAAAAGUAGUUGGUUGGUUGUUCAUGCAUUUUCUCAACAGGAACAUUCAUUUCCUAGUUAAGUGCAUUUCAUGUAAAUGACUGCUGUGCAUGCACCUACCUUCCUAGAAGUGAUGAGGACAAACGUGCAUGCGAAGAAACGCGUAUCUUUUUCUAAUUUUAGUAAGUUACAAAAUUACAGGUGAGGCAUCGUAUCAUUAUCUAAGUUAAUUUUAUUUGUCAAAAUAAUUUUUUCUCUUUAAUAAUAUUUUGUCGCUUCACCUAUGAGUUCUAAAAACAUAAAAUUAGCAAAUGGUACGUGUGCAAUUUUAAGCCUUAAUCACUCGUAUUUCUUUCUCUAAUUAUUUAUGAUGCAUUUGAAUCUUUGACUUAAAAAUUAAUUACACUCUUCCACCCCAAAAAGAAGAAAAAAAGGUUACACACUUAUUUAUUUAUUUUCUAGUAUCACUCACGAAACCUGCACGUGACCAAGUGGGACAAAUUUUUCCUACUCGACUACCAAAAGCAAACAAUUUAAUAUUUUCCAUAAUAUCCCAGAUCUGGAAUUUCCUUCCUCAAACAAACCCUUACCGUCCGAUCUAAAUUCUUUACUCUCCAGCAGAAACAAAUCUCAACCACACGAUCAAAUAUCAUCAACGGUCACGAUUCACCCAACUGGGGCGGGCAUUGAGGCAAAUCUGGCCUUUAUAUAUAGACCAGAAAUAGCCUAUGAGCGUCGGCCAUUUCAACUCUUACUCGUAAGUCCUCUCUUUCUCUCUCCUAUUUUUUUUCUUUUUCUCUUUCUUCGUCUUGCCAUUUUUCCCAUUCGGAUUUUUCUUUUUUCUUUUCUGAUUUUUUUGAUAUACAUAUAUAUUUAAUUUUUUUUUAGUGUUUGAUGAAGAAAGAGGGGUUUCAAUUUAGGGUUUCUUUGUUUCGUAAACCUAAUACGGGGCCGGUUUGAGAUCCAUUUGGAUAUUGCUCGUGGGAAGCUUUUGCUAGGGUUUCUGUUUCGGCGGCCCUUUUUUUUUUUCCUGGUAUUUCGCAUUUGCCUGCUCUUACGGUUUCUGGGCUUUUAAUUUUGUUAUAGACUUUGGGUUGGAUUAUGAUUGAAUUGGAUUAAAUUGAGCUCCGGAGAAGGACGGAAUUUUUUUAAAUUAGGGUUUUAUUGAAUUGGGCAUAUGCAUUUCCUGUUAGGGUUUAUUUGUAUUUCCUGGGAAUUCUUUAAUUUUUUGCUAGGAAAGAAACGAGAAAAAGAAAAGAUUUUGGGCUCAACGUUACUGGGCUGAACAGAAUAUUUGGAAGAUCAGGACUUUUAUGUGAUUUUUUUUGCUGAAUUUUGGAAGGGGCGAAUUUUGAAUAAAGAAAAAGUUGCUAUGUGCAGAAUUUGUGGGUUGAUAAGCUUAUGGCACCUACUGUUCCCAUAGAGUACAGUGGACAGAGGGAAUUGAACUUGAUUUCGACAAAGGGUGGAAUAGGCAAAAUGAUGGGGAAGUCCCGGAAAGUUUCAAAAGGAUUUUCAUCCGGUUUUGUGCCAGAUUAUCGCCAUGCGGUCGAGACAAUGGCUGAAUCGGAAGGGUUUGGAAGUUCAGGGAGAGUGGAUACAGAAAUGACUGCAUCCGAGGAUUCAUGUGCUCCGAAGAGGAAGUGCGUGAAUUUGAAUGACCGAGAAGGUUGUGCUAGAUUCAGUGUGCCUAUUCACGUUUUGCCACUGUCUAAGAUGUCUCGCUCAGAGAGGAAAGAUAUGGAGCUGAGGUUGAGAAAUGAACUUGAGCAAGUCAGGAUUUUGCAGAGAAGAAUUACGGCUAUGAGCUCGUUCAGUUUGAAUGCAGUUGUCCAUUCACCUGCUAGUGAUAUACACAGUUGUACUGAUGGCCAGAGGAGACCUCCCGUGGACAGUUUUCGGAGGCCUGUGAAGGAAGUGCCUACUCCACCUGGAAAGAAAAAAGGUCCUCCUGGAAGAAAUGGGCCCCGUACCAAAGGAGCAGGUGCUAAACGCAGUGAGCCUGCAAAGCAGACUUUGCCUUCUGAUCCAAGCAACUUAAUGUUGAUGAAACAGUGUGAGGCGCUUCUAAAUCGAUUGAUGGGGCAUGAAUUCGGUUGGGUAUUCAAUAAACCAGUUGACGUUGUGGAGUUAAAUAUCCCUGAUUAUGUCAAUGUUAUCAAGCAUCCGAUGGAUUUUGGGACAAUAAAGGCCAAGUUGCUAUCUGGUCAGUAUUCAGAUCCAUUGGGUUUUGCUUCUGAUGUGAGACUUACUUUGACAAAUGCAAUGACUUACAAUCCACCAGGAAAUGAUGUCCAUUUCAUGGCUAAGGCACUCAGUAAAUUCUUUGAAAUGAGAUGGAAGUCUAUCGAGAAGAAGAUUCCUGCAGCGGUUGAAGAAAUUUUGCCUCCAAAUUCUGGUGCUAUGAUAGAAAGGGGGACUGCUAUUGCGAUGCCUCCUUCUAAAAAGGCAAAAAGUACUCCUGUAGAGAACAUAAAGAAGCCAGAAAACAAAGUUAAGCAAGAAAAUAUCAAGAGGGUUAUGAGUGAUGUCGAGAAGCAGAAGCUUAGUGCAGAUCUGGAGCCCUUAUUAACAGAUUUACCAGAUCAUAUAGUUGACUUCUUGAAGGAGAGUAGUUUCAAUGCAAGUCAAGCGAGUGAGGACGAGAUUGAGAUUGAUUUGGAUGCCCUAGGCGAUGAUACCUUGUUCACGUUACGGAAGCUUUUAGAUGAGUAUUUAAUGGAUAAACAGAAAAACCAGGGAAAAGAUCCACAGGCUGUAGAGGUUAGUUCGUAUUAGAUACUCAUAUAUGCGGAUUUUUCUUUUUGCUAUGCAUUUACAAUGGGAAAAUAAAUUUGGUGUCUUUUUCCUUUGUGCAGGUUCACAAUGAGUCAGGCUUUAGCAAUUCGUUUCUUCAACCUCAAAUAGGUAACUUGAGGUUUUACAUAUUGGUUUUGGCCAUUUAAGUUUUGUUAUUAUCCUGUUUAAGUGCACUUUUUUGUAUAAGUUGAGUUUUAGUUGAUCCCCUUUUGAAAUUAGGAGAUGAGCCAGCUGAUGAAGACAUAGAUAUUGGCGGUAAUGAUCCACCCUCAUCUAGCUUCCCUCCUUUAGAGAUUGAGAAGGAAACUAUCCAUAGGAACAGCAAAUGCAGUGGUUCGAGUAGCUCCAGUAGUGAUUCAGGUUCUUCAUUAUCUGUCUUUAUUGUUCUAAACUAUGAUGCAUGUUUGCUUUAUGAAAUGUGCUAUUUUGCAUCGUUUUUGUGAAGCUUGUAAUUUUUCAAUUCUGCCUCACUGGUUAACAUGUCUAUAUUAUUACACCAUGAGUUGUUGUGUGGUAUAAAUUGACAAAAAAUUGACCACAAUGAGUUAAAAAUUAUUGGGAUUGGAUUCAUUGCAUUACUUUCAGUAGGUUUUUAGUUGCAUCUAGAAUACCAAGUCACUUGUGUUUAGAUGAGUUUGUGAUGGGCAAUGAAUUUAAUUGGAAAAACUUAAUUCACAACUAAAACAAUGAUUUAGAUUUUGUAAUUAAAUGAUCUUAACAAAAAUCUACUACUGAUAAUUGUUUGUCUAGCUGAUCUUGUCUUGAAAGGAGGCAUAUUAUUUUCCAGUUGUAAGUAGUUCAUGGAAAUCUCAUGCCAAUUACCUUCUUUAAUGUUCAUGUUUGUUGUGUUUAUUUAUUUAUUUUUUCCCUUCUCAGACUUCUUCACGGUUAUUCUACCAAUAUGUAUAUGCUAGGAUCAUGAUCUUUGUGAUCACAAUGCUGAUUGGUAACUUUUUGUCCUCAAGAAGUCAAAACUUUUUAUGAGGUUGAUAGGCGAAUUAUUCAUUGAGAAUACUAUAGGAGCUUUGCCACUACUGCCAGAUUUUUAUGCCUAGCUGUUUUUGGAUCAAUUUUCCGCUUUGCAGAAAUGCAAUGCUAAAGAAAAUGCUAAAAAACAAAGUUGUAAAUUCUGCUCAAUCUCCAAGAUAUCACUAUGUACCAUUUGAACCGAUAAUAUAGUAUUUUCCAGAUUCAGACACUGGAAGUUCUUCUAGUGGUGAGUCGGAUGCUGCGAAAGAUCUUGCUGUUCUGGAACCCUCGAAGGCAUGUCUUGCUUCUCUUAGUUGAAGUGGAAUUUUAUCGGUUGAUUUAGAUUUCUGGGCAUGCUUAUCAUCUUUAAGGUCUCCAGCAGCUCAUGUUAGUGCUCUUAAUUGUUUAUUUCUCUCAUCAAUUUUUCUUGAAUAACAGGACAACUUAGGUCAUGGGGAAAAUUUAGAGCAAAAGACAGGUGAUCCAGAAACUGCAGGUACAUUUUCUCAGGCUUUGGUGGAUGCUUCUUGAUUUAUAUAUUUAUAUUCUUAGGUUUCUUCUGUCUUUUUUUGCUUUGUACAGAAACUAUGAGUGGGCUUGCCAGGCAGAAUCCAGAGUCAAUUUUGGAUCCUGUUGAGUCUGGAUGCCAUCAAGAGGGUAAGCAAUGAAAAUAAAUGAAGAUACUGUGUGCUAUUACUUUAGCAGCACUAUCUCACGAAUCAUGCUGGUACGUUUUAGCUGAGAGUGCUCCACAAGAGAGGCAGGUCUCGCCUGAAAAGCAAUAUCGUGCAGCUUUAUUGAGAAGCCGUUUUGCAGAUACUAUAAUAAAGGCUCAAGAGAAGGCUCUUGAGAAGGUGAGGUUCUUCAUAUGCUGACUCUGGAUAAGAUAUAAGGUUCAUGGUGCAAUGCUCUCAGUAUUCCUAUUCUGAUGUUCAGGGUGAAAAGUUGGAUCCUGAGAAAUUACGGAGGGAAAGAGAGGAUCUUGAAAGACGGAGGAAAGAAGGUUAGAGUGUUACUAAUUCCUUGGAAUAUCCGAAGAUUUGGUUCAACUGUGCAUGUUAAGUUGGAAGUGCUUUCAGUUUUAAACCAUUCUAUAAUAUAUUUUGGCCAUCCACUGUUUUUCAGAAAAAGCUCGUCUGCAAGCAGAAGCUAAAGCUGCAGAAGAUGCAAGAAGAAAAGCAGAAGAAGAAGCAGCUGCAGAAGUGAGACGGAAAAGAGAACUUGAAAGGGAAGCUGCCCGUCAAGCUUUGCAGCAGGUAAAUUAUUCAUGUUUCAUCAUUCUAUUUUGGAUGUAAAAUUUUACUUAUAUUUUUGCUGUUCGCAGAUGGAAAAGACAGUUGACAUCAAUGAGAACAGUCAGUUUAUGGAAGAUCUGGAGAUGUUCAGAUCUGCUCCAGAUGAACAAUUAGUGAACUUCAUAGAGGAGACUAGUCCAGAACACUCCCAAACUGGUCUUGGUAGUUUCAAAUUUCAGGGAAGCAGUAAUCCAUUGGAGCAACUUGGUUUAUACAUGAAGAAGGAUGAUGAAGAAGAAGAAGAAACUGAUGUCCAUAGCGUUCCAGAUGCAUCAGAUGAUCCAGAGGAAGGAGAGAUUGAUUAAAUGAGAUAUUUGGUGUUGUAUUUGCAACUGCACUAUGAUGCUUGAGUCAUGGGACUAAGGCUGUUCAUUCCUUUUUGAAGACUCAAGGAGUAAUCUUUGUUAUGGCCUGUCAGGGGGUGAGAGAUCCUGGAAAAGUAAAAUGGAUUUUUCAAGGGCAGAACUCCCCUUACUGCUCUUGGCCGUGUUGAUUUCUCUGAUUGUACAGUGAUGAUUUGGGGAAAAUGAUUUUCUGCACUUGUCUAAAUCACCCCCAGCCCCAAGAGGUCUUGCGGAGUGCAACCUUCGGAUGUUCUGUUUUUUCGUUUUCUAGUUUUUUUUUUUUAAUCUUUCUUUUCUAUUAUUUCAUUUCAUCGGUUGUGUAUUUGCCUUAGACGGGAAUGGAAUGGUAGCUAGUAGUCACCUGUCUUCAGCAUUUGCACGUAGGAAUGAACGUGGUGCUGAGCCGGGAGCAGUUUUGUUACACUAUACGUGCCAGCUUUAGGAUGAUUAGGAACAUUUGUAAUACGAGAUCAGUGCCUAACAUUCUAACAUUCGUAAUCUCUCUCGUCUCUUCUCCUUGGUUUCUUGUCUGGCCAGCCUUAUCGCACUUCCCUGUUAGGCUGGUGGGUUAGGACCAUGGUUCAAAGGUGGAUUCGGCCGAAUCGUCACUGUCACUGGAACGGCCCCUCCCUCCUGAUACGAUACUAGCAAAAGACGAUUGUAAGUCACUUGUCUUGUUCAGAACUCGAUGGCCGACAAGUCAUCACGAGUCACACGAGGGUUGACUUGAUCGAGUCAUGUCGGGUCAUAUCAAAUCCAACAAAAAACCUUUAGAAAAAAGUAAGUGAAUAAAAAAGGAUAAAAUUGUUGGGUGGUCUUGAUUUUGUUGUUUUUACCUUUGUUCAGCCUAACAUCCCAGCGGAAUAUCUCACUCUCACGAUGGUGUAUAGAGGUACAACAGUUGAUUCACUCCCACUAUAGAAGAAGAGUAUUGGUCCAACAGUUGAAGGUCCAUUGUAAGACUUUGAAGGAACAAGAUAUACAGUCCAAGGGUUACGUGAACAAUUUUUAUCGAUCUCCGACUCGUGUUGGGAGGAUACUGCAUUUGAUUAGUGAACAUUUUAUCAAUGGCCGACUUGUAUGGUAAGAAUACUGAUUUGAUUACGUGACUAUUCUAAAAGGAAUAUUCCUCUUGUAUAGCAGAGUGGUAGUAGUAACAAAACAAGGCAUCUUGUGUAGUAGAUAAGGCCUGCAAUUAUCACAGUUUCAGCUUUCACUUCCCAGUUUUUCCCUGUUUCCAUCCAUUGCAAGCAAAAACAAUCAUUUCUUGACAUCCAGGCAAAAUAGAAACAAAAUUUGCCAGUUUAAGAUUUUCUACCCCACCGAUGUCUUCAGCAAUCAAAUUCGGAUGAUCAUCAAUCCAAUCCACCAAUUCUUUACUGCAAAAUUCCUCCUACACACACUCCUGUGCACUAAUUUUUUCCACAGACCUCCAAUCCAUUUACAAUCCCCCGGAUGGCUCUACAGAGUGGAAUCCGAUUCAGCUCUACAGACUUCAGUGGGGUAAACAGUUUGUUAUGUCUUACCAGCCACGAGAAGAACUGCCACCUACCUACCUAGUCCUCGUUGCUCUCCCAUUUUCUACUCUCUUCAUCAUCUGCAAGUUCCAACAAAUAUGUUAUGUUGGGCUAACUGAAUAUGCGCCAUUAGCUUCAUGGGGUUUGGAUUGUCGGCUACCAACAAAAGCUGUAAUUUGUUGAGAAUGUCCGCUGUUAAGUACUCCGUCCGACAAAGAAUCCCAUGGUUCCAGUACACAUUAACUUUCUUCUUCUUCUUCUUCUCACAAUCUUGGUGGUAUAUCUUAAGUAACUGAUUGCUUCCUCCCCAAGAGGCCAUUUCCUUUGUCAAUUAAUGCAAUACUUCUCUCCCAGUAUGUGAUGCCCCUGGCUUCUUUUGGAACACCCCACUUUGUCUUCUUCUUCAAUACUUCCGCCUACAGAUAAUAUUAAGUGCUACAAACUGAUGCCUCUGGACUAAGUUCUUCAAUAUUUCAUGCCUCUGGAUUUUUUUUCUUUUUUUUGCCAUGAUAUUAAAUGCUACAAACUGAGAAUAUAUGAUAAGAAAGAAAGACAAUAAAGAAAAAUUUCCUAUAAUGCAUCUGCUAAAGUAAAUUGGAAAUUCUAGUCAAAAAUUUUUUUUAUUGAUCCCUAUUAAAAUUGAUACUAGUUCUGCCCAAAGCAUAAUCUACAAUAUAUAAAGGGGUAGCACCACUGCACUACACAGUGUUGACACACAUUUGUUGAUUUUUUGAACUUCGUAUUACAUUUUUCUCACAUAUUAAAUUAAUGGUUUCUAAAAUAAUUUGGUGACCACACUCUCCUAUUUUUAAACAGUUCAUGUAAAAAUAUCAAAUUAUGUUAGUAUUUAUCCAAUAUCAAAAUUAACUAGCAGAUAAAUAACUAAAUACCAUACAAAAAAUUUUAUUCACCACAGAUUUUUUUUUAUUUUCUUAAAUUUCUUUUUUUUUUUAAAAAAAAUACUUUCAAAGGGUAAAGACCUUACUAACCAAUAGAUUUUGUCCAAUGAACAGAAAUUACUACAAACUGUCUUUCCAGCACUUGUUUCAACUAGUUUAUUGGGGCCUCAUGCUUCAUGUGAGAUUGUCCAAAUUUCUGCACAAUUUGUGGAAACAGGAAUGGUAUGAUAACUAGCUUGCAAACUAGUUUGUUUCUCUUGGGAAUGUUUCAUUUUUUGUAAUAAUAAGAAUAAAUGAGAACAAACUAUCCUGAAAAACCAUUGAAACAGCUUUUCUUUUUCUUUUUUUUUUUGCCCUUUUUUUGGCGACAGAAUGCUAAAUCAUUCAAGUGCCAGUCGUAAAAAGAAUAAAAAUUUGAAGAUAUUCUUUUCAAAAAUGAUAUUGUAAGAAGAUACAUAAAAAUAAUUAGGAGAUAUUUUGGAAAAAAAAAAAAGAAUUUGUACAAAGACAAAAAUAACAUAUAGUCCUACAAUUUGGAUAAUAACAUUUUUUUCUUGGAACUCUUUCAGCCUCGACUCAAUCAUGUACUCAAUACAAUAAUCCCAAAAAGUUUUUCAAGAAAAAAAAAAGGAACAAAAUAUAAAACAAAGUGUGUGUUUGUGUGUGUGUGUGUGUGUGUGUAUGUAUAUAUAUAUCUCCACAUGAUAGUAAUAUAUUAGAAGAAAAGUAACGUCAUUCACAAACUCAGAAUCAGCACCGGCAGAGUCUGUAAUAACGGUCGAAUUUGUGUUCUUGCUAGCUUAGUGCUACUAGAGACGCAUAUAUGCCAUUUUGUGACUUUAGCAGAGAUUCAUGAGUUCCAAGUUCUGCAAUGACUCCAUGCCUCAUAACUGCUAUAAUGUCUGCAUGCUUAACUGUUGAUAAUCGAUGGGCUGCCACUAUUGUCGUUCGAUUCACCAUGACCUCGUUAAGUGCCUCUUGAACAACUUGUUCAGAUGAAAGAUCAAGUGCACUGGUUGGCUCAUCCAGCAGCAGGAUUUUUGGUCUCCUCACUAUUGCUCGUGCUAUUGCAAUCCUUUGCUUUUGUCCGCCAGAUAAUUUCACCCCGCGUUGUCCAACUUCGGUGUCAUAACCCUACAGAAAUUUGGUGCAAAUUCACAAAGUUGAGCAAUCAAAUCAGAGUACAAAGUAGUCGUAAAUUUAAGAAAAUAGCCAGUCCAUCCUGCAGGUUUUUACUCACAACUAGCUCCAAGAAAUUACCUGUGGCAGGUUACUUAUGAAGUGAUGAGCAUUUGCUAGGCUUGCUGCAGAUAUAAUCUCAGCUUCAGAUACAUCACGGUCCAAUCCAAAAGUGAUGUUGGCCUUGAUUGUGUCAUCAAAUAAAGCUGGUUCCUGAGACACCAAAGCCAUUUGCUUCCUCAACCAAUUUAUGUUUAGCUUCUGAAUCUCAAUAUCAUCAAUCAGAAUUAGGCCACCGUUAAAGUUGUAAAAUCUCUGAAGCAAAGAAAUUAUAGUUGAUUUUCCGGAACCACUUUCUCCCACGAGUGCUGCAGUCUAAGACACGAGACAUAGUGAAAAAAAUUUCAUAUCAGUAACAUGAAAAGGGACUGCAUGCAUCUUACUUAUUUACCACACUAAGAUCUUGCCUUCUAGUUUUUUUUUUCUUUUCAGUUUGUGAAUCUAAACUAAUACCAGUCACUUUGACUAUUCUCUUACCUUGCCUGCAGGAAUAGACAAGCAAAAAUCCUUAAGCACUUGAAUGUGUGGCCUUGAUGAAUAACUGAAGUUUACAUGCUGGAAUUCUAUACUUCCUCUUAGGCUCUCAAUGGUCAAGCCUGUAUCCAAUGAUGAAUCUAACUUUGAUUCAAGAUUGAGAAUGGAAGAGACAGAUCUCAAACAGGGCUUGACAACGUUGAACUCUUUUAAGAGUCCUAGCCAGUUGGUGACAUUUAGUACUUCAUCUGUCAGUGCAAAAAGUGCCUGCAAAGGGACAAAAUUCAAAGGUCGGACAAAACUUUGAGCAGGGAAAUAAAACCCAUGGAAUCAAACCUUCAACUGUAAGCUUUUACUGCUAAGUUUGAUAGCAUUAUUUCUUUUACUAACAUUCCUUUCACUUGCAUGUCAAUUUCUUUUCUAUGUCAGAAAGCUAAAUUAUUCUGAAACUAAUUGCUGUUGUUAGACUCUGACAUUCGCAAAAAAAUAUGUUAUGUCCAAAUAUGGGAUACAUACAAGAUAAAAAGUAGUACUAGUUGCUCUUCCAUCCCUUAUAAGAGUGGCCCCAACAUAAAAAGUUGCUCCAUAGAUGAAAUACAAAAGGAAGGAUGAUAACCCAUAUGAAGCUCCUUCAGCAUAAGCACAUUUGAUUCUCUUCUUCAAGGGGCCUUCACAUUUGAUCUUGAAUAAUUGCAGCACCUGUUUGUCAGCACUAAAUGAUGCAACAGUCCUGAUAUGCUCAACUGCAUCUUUUGUAACUUGUCCUGCUUCCUCAUAGAGAACCUGCCACCAAGAAAAGCAUAGCUAUUAGGUGAGACAUCAAAGUUAAAAAUGGACAUCUUCUCUAAAUGAUAUAGCAAAUGAAGCAAAAUCGAGGAGUGGAUCAUUAGAUUAGAUAAUCAAAUGUCAGUAAAGAAAAAUUAUCAGGGUCUUUCAAAUAUGCAAUAGAAGCUCUUUUCACAAAUAAUCUAGCAAUAAACCAAGACAUUUUUAAGAGAAGAACUCUAUAUUGUGAUGAAAAUGUCCAUAUGAGUCAUCUCUAUUGGUACCUUCAUUUCCAAGGAUUUAAUGGAUUAAAAUGAUGAGACAUACCUUGAUUAUUUUACUGGAGUUUCCAUUGAAUUUAAGUUCUAUCCAUCCGUUGAAAAGAACUAGAGGUAUAAAUGCUAAGCUAAGAACAGCUAGCUGCCACGAUCCAGAUAAAACCACAAGAAGACCAGCAAUUACUGUAACUGCAUGCUGAACAACCUGUGGAGCUGCGUCCCUAAUAAAUUUGGUUAGUGUUUCCGCAAUUGUGGACAAUCUAGAGCUAAGUGCUCCACUUGAGUUAUCCACAUGAUCAAACCAAUCAACUUCCAUGUGCACAAUCUUGUUGAAACAUAGGGGAUUUACUACCCUCAAUAACCAACAACUAGCCUGAAUUAGGAUAUAUUUCUGACUAACUGCUGCCACCGGUGAUAUUAGAGCAACUACUGCAAUGAUUAUGCACCAAAAUUUGAUUUCCUUUCGAAGCCUUCCAGCUUCCAGAUUGAAUGCUCCAAUCACGUAGGCAAUAAUAACACCAAAAAUUAUAGGUAUCAAGGCCUUGGUUAUAGUUGCAACGAGACCAAGAAAUAGAAAAAAAACCUGUUUCAAUCUUACAAAUCUCCAAAACUUAAUAAUGGUCUUCUUUGAUGGGUAUGAUAUUUCUGAUGAUGGAAAAACAUCUCCCGAAGAUUUUCUCAAAGAUGCCCUUUCUCUCAUAGAGAAAUGACCAAUUGAGUUUUCUUUAUUGGAUUCUUCUCUGAUAUUCUGCAUCAGAAUCAGUUGACAAAAUGGACCAUUUUGAUCCAUAAGUUCUGAGUAUGUACCUAAGGCACAAACCAAUAAGCAAAACAUAUUGAGCUGGUAUAAAACGCAACGACGUGAAUGAAAAAUCACCAAUUUUCUUAGUUUCUUGCCUUAUUUUAGUGAAAAAUAUUCAACUACAUUUAGUCAACCACAUUUAAUCUACUACCUUAUGCUUAUCUAUUCAGCUGUCCUCUAAGACGUACCUUCUUCAACAAUGGACCCACGUUCAAGAACAAAAAUCUUAUUUGCAUUUGCUACGGUACUCAUGCGAUGAGUUAUAAGCAAGGUUGUUCUGCCAACAGAAAUCUUGUUUAAUGAAUCCACGACUAUCUGUUGUGACUCUAAAUCCAAUGCACUAGUCGCUUCAUCCAGAAGGAUUAUGCGUGGGUUCUUCAGAACAGCUCGAGCUAUGGCGAUUCUUUGUUUCUGUCCUCCUGAAAGCUGAACUCCAUUUUCACCAACCAUUGUGUCAAGUCCCUGCACAUUUAGGCUUGUGAAUAGAUAAAACAUGGAUUCUUGAUGUGGUAGUUUCAACAUCUAGUAAGACAUCAAUAUAUUUCGUUGACUAGAUAUAUAGGGAAUUAGAUCAUGCAUGCUUAAUCCUUUCUUAACCAACGAAAUGAGAUGAAAAGCGGUGUUAGAAUAAGCAUUAUAUUCUUAUCAUUGAAAAUCAAUCAAAUGCAGAAAUGUCUUACGAGUUAGAAUUGAGAAAGAAAACCAUGCUUUUUAGUUUGCACAAACUUUACGCUGGAGUCAAGAAGAGAAGUUCUAUUAUUUUUAAGCUGUAAGAAGGUUCUAAUGUUAGAGUAAAAUCAACCUGAGGCAACUCUUUGAGAAACUUUUCAGCGUUGGCAAGUGCUAUGGCAGCUCUUAUUUCUUCGUCUGUCACAUUGUCCCUUCCAAAUGUAAUGUUGUCCUUGAUGGACAGAGUAAAAAGUACUGGUUCCUGGCUGACAAGUCCAAUCUUUUUUCUUAAAUGUUCUAGUCUUAAUUCCUUCAAAUCAAAGCCAUCUAUGAAAAUGCCACCAGAAUCAGGAUCAUAGUACCGUUGUAUUAGGCUAACCACUGUUGACUUCCCACAUCCACUCUUUCCUACUAAAGCGGUUUUUGAGCCAUGGGUUAUGGUUACUGAGAAAUUAGAAAGAACUUCAAUAUUCCUUCUUGAUGGAUAUCUAAAAGAAACAUUUCUAAAUUCAAUUUCUCCUUCAACAUGAUCUAGAGUCUUCCCAUGGGAAUUGAAUGCAUCUAUCCUGGACUCUCUAUUGAUUAUACGGAAGAUGUUUGAUGCAGCAACCCGUCCUCGAGGGAAUGCUGAAAAAUUCCCAAUUGCAUUUACCAGACAACUGUUUCACAAGAAAAUUUUAGUGAACAAUAUUCUCAUUUGAUUAAAUAGAAGCAUCAUUUAGAGGAAAUUUUGCUUAGUGGUUAACAAAUAUAAUGCAAAGAUCCACAAAAAGAUUACUAACCUCGUUCCAGAAUUUAUGUAUGUUGCUACUGUGAUCAGAUCACCUCUUGAGUAACGAUCGUCCAGGACAAAACGUGAGCCAUACCAUAUAAUUAAAGAGAAACCGCAAUACUCUAUGAAAUCUAUCAAAGAAAUAAUACUCCCCCCUGCAGCAAUGCCAGCUCGUGUCAGUGAUCUUUGAACCUCUUCUAGAGUUUUCUCGUACUUGCUCAUAGUUUGUCUCUCGCCAUUCAGUGAUAUAACCUGGAAAUGGACAGAACAAUUUAGGCACCACAUAUCCACAGUCAAAUACAAUUCGACUGGAAUCUAGUAGAAACGCGUGAGAUACCGUUCUUAUAGAAGCCAAUGCCUCCAGAACAACCGAAUCUCCUUUAGCAUAAGCUACCCCUUCAUUUACACACUCUCUAAUCAAAAUCUUAAUGCCAAAAUGGCCAAACAAAGUGAUUGGCAGAAUUGUCCAGCACAUAACUGCAGCCAAUUGCCAUGCUUGGCUGAAUGCCAUGAUCAUCCCUCCUAUGAAUGUUGCCAUGAGUUUUAUGAACAAGCCCACCUGUUAAAGGCAACGGAGCAUUUCCAGACUUAGUUUGAUACAUUUUUAGCAAUCCUGAAAAAUUAUAUUCUGAAGGUGGAUUUAGAAGUGAUAAACAGGAACUUAUAAUAACAAGAUGAUAAAAAGUACUACAAGUUAUUCAGUAGUGUUUUGCUUCUCAACCACCCAUGAGGUUUUUAUUCGUUGGUACUUAAUGUGGUUGAUAGUUUUUUUCAUUUAGCAAUGCUAACUUCACGUGCUAUAGAGCAAAGUAGAACCAAAGCACAUUCAGAUUCAAGAUUUCCAAUUUACAGUCUUUAUAAAUACAACUAGGAUUCAUACGAGUCUAUGACUUCCAAGCAAUUACUGACAUAUCACAUGCCUAAUUUUUCUCUUGCUUCAUUGCAUUUAGAGUUGAGAAAAGUGUGCUGUCUUAUAUUGAACACCCAAAAAAAAAAAAGGCUACAGCUUAGCGGGAAAACCAGUUUUUGGCAAACGUUAGUAGGCUAAAAACGAACCCGGUAACCUAUGGCUGCAUCAGUUCUGCCGAUAUCUCUUGACAUAUUACCAAUAACUUGUCCUGUUUUUAUUUCUUCAUCAAAGAAUGUAAUAUCUUGUCUGAGGAGGCUUCUUAAGUAGGAGUAACGCAGAUUUGAUACUUGUCUUUCUGCAGAGACAGCCCAGCAGAUUCCUCCUAUGAAAGACCAUUAACGGAUUAUUAUUUUAGGUAUUAUGUUCAUAACACAAUGAUAAUUAAUCAACAUAAAAUUAGAUAAAGCGCCAGUUGUGCAUGAUAUACAGAUUAAAGAAACAAUAGGUAGUCCAAUCACAAUCCUAAUUAUCAUCCUUCAUAGCUUCACAAGGGCAAACUGAGAAGGAGCCUUGACAGUGCAUUCUUUUGCUAGUUUUACUAACUGAUCCUUAAACGUAAAAGAUUUUGGCUUUAUCAUCUUCCUAGGAGGCUAUACUUUUAUUCCCUAAGUUUUUGAGUCAGCCGAUAAAAGGCUUUUCCAAAGUAAUUAAAACGUACCCCAUGUAUAAAAAUGUGUGCAAAGGUUUUUGAAGCUUUGCUUUGAACUAUGUUAGAGUAGAAUGAAAACAAGGACAAGACUUACUGAUGAAAGAAGCUACUGUGGCAGCAAUUCCCAUGUAGAGUAGCUUUUUUACAACCUAACAAAAUACAGAAAAAUGAGCAUCAGUAACAUCAUUUAAGACCUGUUGAACUUAAUUAGUGCAUUGCUUUUUUCAUGAUUUGAAACAAAAAUAUUAGCUAGUUAACAAACUCGAAUUACUCACUCGUAUUGGCACCAGAGCUUUAGAUCACGUUUUUGGUGAUAAUACAGGAGAAUACAUCUCAAAGGAUAUAUGGCCAAUUUUGCAAAUAAUGGAAAGAAGAAACAAAACAAGCAUUGGUGCAUGAUAGAAAGGUACUUUUCUCCACACCUCCCUACCUCAGAAUAAAAAGGCCAAAGGAUGAAUACAAGAGAGUUGUCUGAGGAAGAAAUUCAACAUUAGUUGAAAAGUUAAAAAUCCUGUUUACCUAUCGAAAUAUAUGUUGAGGGAUUAAGAACAACUAAAAUGCUGACUCUCAAACGUGCUCCUCCACUACCUAUAAAGACGUUUUAGUAUCGAUGAUUGGGAUCCGAAUCCAACCCUUAAUAGUUUUUAUCUGCUGCCAUUAGUUCCAUUCUCAUCAUCGUAAUCCCAUUUUCCAAAGUUGGUCACGGCACGAGCACAAACAAGCAAAACAGAUUUGUGUUGUCUUUUCAUAUAGAAAUUCUUGUGGAGUCCAGUAUAAAAUAAUCAAGAACUAUUAUGGUAUAUGUAUUACUCUAAGGUCCAUACAUAUCAUAUACUCAACGAAGCCAUUAUCUAUUUCGGCCACAUGAAUAUCAGGUUAAGCAGAAGAUGAAUAAAAAUCAAGGAAACAUACACAACCUCAAUGACUUGAUGAAACUUCUCAGGUUUUGCAUGGAGGUCACUUAUGAAAUCAAUGGUCUGGCCCCAGAAACGAAUUCUGUAUACCAGAAGAAGGCCAUCAACAAUUGCAGCAACAGUUCCAAUGAUGAUGAGGAUGAUAUCAAUUGUGUCUGCACAUGAAUAGAGUUUGUAGUAAGGAAUGACUUUUGAAGGCUGAGUAUUGGCCUUUUCUGAUCCUUUUUGUGCUGACAAUGGUUCAAACUUUGCAUCUAGAAUGACUCUUGGUGAAGCCUCGGUAAUUUCUUCACUGGCCUUUUCGUCUUUUCUUGGUCCUUCCUGAGCUGGCAAUGCUUCAGGAUUGGCUUCUAAAUCAUCAUGAUGGCUCAUUGUGGUUUGUGCAGGUAUCUCUUGUUUCUUUCUGAUAAUCUGAUGUUAAUAAUCUCCUAGGAAGAAAAAUGGAAAUUGAAGUGAAAUACGGGAAUAUUUAGGAGAAUGCGCAUACAGAGAAGAGAAGUGGGCUUUUGGAAUUUGAAGGAAUAUGAUACUUCAAACUUCAGCCUUCCAUAAAACCUUAAACAGUGGGGAAUAUUGAGACUUUUUAUUUAAUUUCUUUUUUUUUCUCCCGACAUUAAUAACAGAAUCCCUUCUGUCUCCCCACCAUUAUUCAUAAAUUUAUGCACCAAUUACUAUUUCGAGUUAAAGAUUUUUUCCCCUUUUCUUCAUAAGAUGGCAAUGUCCUCGGUCCUCCUCAUAGUUAUUAAAAGAAAUUUAUGUGCCAGUUGUUUAUCAGUUUGGCUAAUGUGGAGGCAUCGGUUAAUAGUUUUAGCGGGACAGAAGAUCUGUUGUGCAGUUUUCGCUAAUUAGAAAAAAUAUCUAAACACAAGAGUAUAAUAAUUUACAUGAUGAGUUGCAUGAUGAGUUGUAAUUUAGGUGUGUUAGAAAAAAUACGUUAUUUUACCUGAGCGAACCAUUUUUGCCCAUUUAUAUAUAUAUAUAUAUAUAUAUAUAUAUAUAUAUAUUCAACAUUAGUUUGAUUAUACUCGUAUUCUCAGUCUUUCACGCUCAUUCAACCUCAUCUACUAAAACUCCUGAAUUUUUGCAUUCUAUUCACUAGCAUUUAUAUUCAACAAAUAGUUGGAUUAUACUCGCAGUCCCUAAUCUUCGAUGCUCAUUCAACCUCAUCUAUUAAAAUUCCUUAACUUUUGCAUUCUCUUCAGUCAUAGUUCGUAUUAACUCUUCCAGUGCCUAAAAAAGAGUAGAGCUUUCCAACACAAUAAAAAAAAAAUAAAAAUAAAAAUCAACAAACCCAAACUAUAACUCUUUAUAAAAUUCAAAUACUGAGCUUUUCCUCACAUAAACUGUUUUGUAACAGGGAAAACGAAGGAGUCCUCAAAUUGUAAGCCACCAUUUGCUGUGAGUUCAUUAUCGCACUCUGUAUUCUUUACUGACUGACUGCAGGUUAAAAAAGCUUUUCAUUAUGUAUAAUUUAAUUUAUAGAAUGAGUUUGAAUUGCUUUAAAUUUAAUAAAGUAGUCAUCUUUUCCAUGUAAAACAUGUAGUAAAGAAACAUGUCUUUGAUUGUCCACAUUGAGAAGCAGCAUCACUUUUAGGCUUUCUCUAUGAAAGCCCACAAAUCAUGUGUUCAUGUUCAUCAACAUCUAAUUCUAAUUCCAGGAGUUGAAUGUUUUGCGUCUAGUUGUACAGUAUCACGACUUGUAUGAGGACAAAUUCUUUGAUUAUGUGCAACGCAUGAAAAUAAAAUUGGGUAAUAGAGGGUAAGAAAAUGGGAUAUCUAGCUAGUGCUUUUUUCCUAUAGUGUUAUAGCUUAAAAUUCGAGAGAUAUUUUAUGAGUAUUUUUUUUUUUUAAGGAUUUGGCUAACAGAUGCCUCAGGGUAUUUGUUUAGGAGUCAAUUGUUUAGUAAGAGCAAAACUAACUAAGGAAAGUAUCCAAAUAAAUAUAGAGGUGUGGAAAAAAUAGGUCUGUUAGAUGAUAAUAGCAGGUAGCAAAUGAUCUUUUUAGGCAAUUUUAUAGUUUCUUUCAAGUCCAUGAGUAGCGAUUUUUUCUUUUGCUUUUAUUCAAAAGAAUAUAUUUUGACACUGAAAUUGACACCAUCUACUUUUCUUUUCCAAAUGACAUUUUUUAACAAAAAUAAGCUUAUUAUUUCGAUUUAAAAUGUUAACCCUCCCCCUAUAAUCCAAAUAUAUCAUAUUUUUUUCAUAACAACAAAGGAGAUUAAAGAAACACAUUCAAUCAGUAACCAAAUAGAAUGGAAACAACAUAUGAUUAGCUUACUAUUGAACUAAAUAUGAUCUAUAUCAAAUAACAAAAAUUUUAUCUUUCUUGCAUUUCCUCCAAAGGGGCUAAAAUGUUAAAAAAAAUGUCAAUCCGAGGAAUGUAGAUGAGAUUUUAAAAACCUAAGUUAACUGAUAUUAUAAGAAACAUCAAGAGAGGUCUCUGAAAUUAUCCCAUAUACAUAUACAUAUACAUAUAUAUAUAUAUAUGUGAAUUUAAUUAGACUCAAUUAGAUUUGAUUAAACUCGAGUUCAAGUAAUUGUUAUUACGGGAUGUUAGCAACGGCAAUUUUAAUCGAUGGAAGGGCUUAGGUCAAGACUGAAGAUGUUGAUAUUAGAGGAAACUUCACUCGGAUCAUUGUCAAGUUUAUCUGCUACAAAUUUUUUAGAAACUUUAGCUAUAGUAAUUUCAAAAAAUUUCUCAAAAUUUAAUUUUUAAACUAUACACUUCAAAAUAUUCAAAAAUCUACACAUUUCAAAAAUUUUUUUAAAAACUUCUACAGUAAAUUACAGUAAAAUUUUAGACAAACUUCCAAAAAACUCACCUCUCCCAAGCAGGGCUCAUAUUUUUAGAAAAAAACAGGGAAGUACCAGUUAUAUAUUGUUGAACACUCACCUAACAAACAUCGUUCAAGAACAGUAAAGAAAUCUUUUUGGAAAUGUAAAACGAAAAAGGUUCACUGGAUUAGUAUAUCCUAGGCUCCAUAUGGAUUCCUAUUUUUUUUCUCAAAAAAUGUUUUAUUCAUGGAGUCUACAAUAUCAAAUUUAAAAAAUUAUCCAAAAAACACACAAACUCAAAUACACCUGAAAAUAACACAAGAAAAAUUAAAUAAGAAAACUCUCACAUUUUUUCUUCCAUACACCAUCCACAGUCCUCACCCACCGCCACCGCCCUCCCCCUUCCUCUUUUUUUCUCCAUUUCCUCCUCCCCCUUCCUCUUCCUUUCCCUCAUCUCCAUUCUGCCUUUUCUCCCCCCUUCCUCACACAGGAGGGGAGGAGAGAGGAGGGGAAAAGAAAAAGAAAAAGAAAAAUUAGCAAGGUUGACUGGUGGUAAAUUAGGACGUGUAUCAAACUAGGGGCGGAAACAUUAAAGCCCCCCCCCCCCCCCCCUCACACUCGUGUCAUCGGUUGGUACCCAUUCUGGUCCUUAACAAGCACAUUUGAUUCUUUUCUUCUUCAAGGGGCCAUCACAUUUGAGCUUGAAUAAUUGCUGCACCUGAUAUGCUCAAUUUUAUCUUUUAUAACUUUUUUCCUGCUUCCUCAUAAAGCACCUACCACCCAGACAACCAUAGCAAUUAGGUGAGACAUCAAAGUUAGAAGGGAUAAUUGCAGAAACCUCCCCUGAGAUUUCUGACAUUUGCACUGACCUCCCCUCUAGGUUUUGAAAUUGCAUUCACCUCCCCUGAACAGUAACAAUUCGUUGCAGAAACCUCCCUGACAGCUUUUGUAGAAGUGAGAUAAGAAAUUUCUUUCAAUUUUGCCCUCUUCUUGCUUGACAAUUGCUUAACUAAUUAGUUAAUAGUUAAACUAAUUAACUAUUAACUAAUUAUCUGAUUAAUUAUUAACCAAUUAACUAAUUAACUAAUUUCUAUUUAUCUAAUUAACUGCUUAACUAAUUAACUAAUUAACUAAAGCUGUUGUCUGUCCGAAACUAACAAACUAUUUGCAUGUUAAACUAAUUAACUGCUUAACUAAUCAACUAAUUAACUAACUAAUUAAUUAACAGACUAUUUACAUGUUAAACUAUAUGCAGUACGCAUUACCUAUUUAAAGUAUCGGCUCUUCAUGGGUAUUUUACUUUCAAACAUUUAAUUUAUGAUAAAAACAUCAAUGUUUGUAAGUAAAAUUCAAAAAGUGUUACAGUAAUAUUCUUACAAAAAGGGAGGGGCAUAAGGCCGUAAAUUAAAUGUUUGAAAGUAAGAAUAUUGAUAUUUUUGUAACACUUUUUGAAUUUUACUUACAAACAUUGAUAUUUUUAUCAUAAAUUAAAUUUUUGAAAGUAAAAUACCUAUAAAGAGCCGAUACUUUAAAUAGGUAAUGCGUACUGCAUAUAGUUUAACAUGCAAAUAGUUUGUUAAUUAGUUAGCUAAUUAAUUAGUUAAUUAGUUUAACAUGCAAAUAGUUUAUUAGUUUCGGACAGACAAUAGCUUUAGUUAAUUAGUUAAUUAGAUAAAUAGAAAUUAGUUAAUUAGUUAAUUAAUUAAUUAGAUAAUUAGUUAGUUAAUUAGUUAAGCAGUUAAUUAGUUCAUUAGUUUAACAUGCAAAUAGUUUGUUAGUUUCGGAUAGACAAUAGCUUUAGUUAAUUAGAUAAACAUAAAUUAGUUAAUUAGUUAAUUAAUUAAAUUAGAUAAUUAGUUAAUUAAUUAGUUAAGUAGUUAAUUAGUUAAUUAGUUUAACAUGCAAAUAGUUUGUUAGUUUCGGACAGACAACAGCUUUAGUUAAUUAGUUAAUUAGUUAAGCAGUUAAUUAGUUAAUUAGUUUAACAUGCAAAUAGUUUGUUAGUUUCGGAUAGACAACAACUUUAGUUAAUUAGAUAAACAAAAAUUAGUUAAUUAAUUGGAUAAUUAGUUAGUUAAUUAGUUAAGCAGUUAAUUAGUUAAUUAGUUUAACAUGCAAAUAGUUUGUUAGUUUAGGAUAGACAACAACUUUAUUUAAUUAGUUAAUUAGUUUAACAUGCAAAUAGUUUGUUAGUUUCGGAUAGAUAACAACUUUAGUUAAUUAGAUAAUUAUUUAAUUAGUUAAUUAGAUAAUUAGGUAGUUAAUUAGUUAAGCAGCUAAUUAGUUAAUUAGUUUAACAUGCAAAUAGUUUAUUAGUUUCGGACAGACAACAGCUUUAGUUAAUUAGUUAAUUAGAUAAAUAGAGAUUAGUUAAUUAGAUAAACAGAAAUUAGUUAAUUAGUUUAUUAAUUAAUUAGAUAAUUAGUUAAUUAGUUAAUAGUUAAUUAGUUUAAUUAUGCAGAAAUAGUUUGAUUAGUUAAUAACUAUUAACAAUUAGAUAAUUAGUUAAUAGUUAAUUAGAUAAUUAGCUAUUAAUUAAUUAGAUUAUUAGUUAUUUAGUUAUUUGGUUAAUUAGUUAAACUAUGUAGAAAUAGUUAAUUUAUUGUAAUUUUUAUUAACAAAUGUUUUGUUGGGUUUGAUGAAAGUACUCAUCAUAUUCAUUUGGUAAAAUUAAAUCAUGUCAGGGGUACUUUAGUAAAUUGAUCCACUUUUGCCUAUUAAAUUGCCUCUAACUUUUGAUAGGGGGAGGUCAGUGCUAUUUCAAAAUUGAUAGGCGAGGUCAAUGCUAUUACUAUAAAAGUCAGGGGAGGUUUCUGCAAUUAUCCCUUUUCUUUACUGACAUUUGAUUCAUUCCACGAUUUUUACUUCAUUUGCUAUAUCAUGCAAUAAUUGUCCAUUUUCUAACUUGGGAUAAUUGCAGAAACCUCCCCUGACUUUUAUAGUAAUAGCAUUGACCUCCCCUAUCAAUUUUGAAAUAGCACUGACCUCCCCUAUCAAAAGUUGGAGGCAAUUUAAUAGGCAAAAGUGGGUCAAUUUACUAAAGUACCCCUGACAUGAUUUAAUUUUACCAAAUGAAUGUGAUGAGUGCUUUUAUCAAACCCAACAAAACAUUUGUUAAUAAAAAUUACACUAAAUUAACUAUUUCUGCAUAGUUUAACUAAUUAACCAAUUAACUAAAUAACUAAUAAUCUAAUUAAUUAAUAACUAAUUAACUAUUAACUAUUAACUAAUUAACUAAUUAUCUAAUUGUUAAUAGUUAUUAACUAAUCAAACUAUUUCUGCAUAAUUAAACUAAUUAACUAUUAACUAAUUAUCUAAUUAACUAUUAAAUAAUUAACUAAUUAUCUAAUUAAUUAAUAAACUAAUUAACUAAUUUCUGUUUAUCUAAUUAACUAAUCUCUAUUUAUCUAAUUAACUAAUUAACUAAUUAUCUAAUUAACUAAUUAACUAAAGCUGUUGUCUGUCCGAAACUAAACUAUUUGCAUGUUAAACUAAUUAACUAAUUAGCUGCUUAACUAAUUAACUACCUAAUUAUCUAAUUAAUUAAUUAACUAAUUAACUAAUUUUUAUUUAUCUAAUUAACUAAUUAUCUAAUUAACUAAAGUUGUUGUCUAUCCGAAACUAACAAACUAUUUGCAUGUUAAACUAAUUAACUAAUUAACUACUUAACGAAUUAACGAAUUAACUAAAGUUGUUGUCUAUCCUAAACUAACAAACUAUUUGCAUGUUAAACUAAUUAACUAAUUAACUACUUAACUAAUUAACUAACUAAUUAUCCAAUUAAUUAAUUAACUAAUUUUUGUUUAUCUAAUUAACUAAUUAUCUAAUUAUCUAAUUAACUAAUUAACUAAAGUUAUUGUCUAUCCGAAACUAACAAACUAUUUGCAUGUUAAACUAAUUAACUAAUUAACUGCUUAACUAAUUAACUAAAGCUGUUGUCUGUCCGAAACUAACGAACUAUUUGCAUGUUAAACUAAUUAACUACUUAACUAAUUAACUAACUAAUUAUCUAAUUAAUUAAUUAACUAAUUAACUACUUAACUAAUUUCUGUUUAUCUAAUUAACUAAUUAACUAAUUAACUAAAGCUAUUGUCUAUUCGAAAAUAACAAACUAUUUGCAUGUUAAACUAAUUAACUACUUAACUAAUUAACUAACUAAUUAUCUAAUUAAUUAAUUAACUAAUUAACUAAUUUCUAUUUAUCUAAUUAACUAAUUAACUAAAGCUAUUGUCUGUCCGAAACUAACAAACUAUUUGCAUGUUAAACUAAUUAACUAAUUAACUGCUUGACUAAUUAACUAAUUAAUUAGCUAACUAAUUAACAAACUAUUUGCAUGUUAAACUAUAUGCAGUACGCAUUACCUAUUUAAAGUAUCGGCUCUUUAUAGGUAUUUUACUUUCAAAUAUUUAAUUUAUGAUAAAAAUAUCAAUGUUUGUAAGUAAAAUUCAAAAAGUGUUACAAAAAAUAUCAAUAUUCUUACUUUCAAACAUUUAAUUUAUGGCCCUAUGCCCCUCCCUUUUUGUAAGAAUAUUACUGUAACACUUUUUAAAUUUUACUUACAAACAUUGAUGUUUUUAUCAUAAAUUAAAUGUUUGAAAGUAAAAUACCCAUAAAGAGCCGAUACUUUAAAUAGGUAAUGCAUACUGUAUAUAGUUUAACAUGCAAAUAGUCUGUUAAUUAGUUAGUUAGUUAAUUAGUUGAUUAGUUAAGCAGUUAAUUAGUUAAUUAGUUUAACAUGCAAAUAGUUUGUUAGUUUCGGACAGACAACAGUUUUAGUUAAUUAGUUAAGCAGUAAAUUAGAUAAAUAGAAAUUAGUUAAUUAAUUAAUUAGAUAAUUAGUUAAUUAGUUAAUAAUUAAUCAGAUAAUUAGUUAAUAAUUAAUUAGUUUAACUAUUAACUAAUUAGAUAAUUAGUUAAGCAAUUGUCAAGCAAAUAAUAAUUGUCAAGCAAGAAGAGGGCAAAAUUGGAAGAAAUUUCUUAUCUCAUUUCUACAAAAGCUGUUAGGGAGGUUUCUGCAACGAAUUGUUACUGUUUAGGGGAGGUGAAUGCAAUUUCAAAACCUAGAGGGGAGGUCAGUGCAAAUAUUAGAAAUCUUAGGGGAGGUUUCUGCAAGUAUCCUUAAAGAAAAAUAAUCACCGGUCUAUUUUUUUUUUUUUUUUUUUGUAUGCAAUGGAAGAUCUGUUCACUCGUGUCGGUUGGAUACCCAUUCUGGUCCUAAACAGCCUACUAAUAAGAAGAGAUGCGACUCAUACUGUCAUGCCCCAGAAAGCGACGCGGUCACAUCCUGGUCUGUCGGCCCAUCUUCAAUGGCUUUGGAGAAUUCUUAUCAUAUGGACUCAAUGAUGGAAACCAACUAUUCCGGUAGCUGGCUGUUUUAAAACCUAAUGUUCGGUGGAAAGUUCGCUUUUCUGCCCACAUUAGGCAGGAAGCAAUGCAAUGAGGCCAACUGUGGUCUGUGGGUACGCACAAAGACGGACAGAGGGCACCGGAGAAAGUCGGUUGUGCUUGGAUGAAAUAAUGCCAUACAUUUUAAAAUUACAAUAAUAAAAGUUCUCUUAAAAAUUUGUCCAUCAUCUAAUGCUCAUUACUUAGAAAAUAUUUUGUGAGCACUCCAACCGAGAUGCGAGUCCCAAUGAAAAGUGAAGAGUGAAAAAGUGAAAACGUGGAAAACAAAGGUACCGAAAGGUAGAUGAGAUUGUUGUAAUGGAAAAUGGGUGAAAUUUUCAACAUUAUUUUGUGAAUUUUAUACAUGUCAAAACAAAUAUUGUGGUAGUUUUUUUUUUUUUUGAUUGAGUUUGAUAUUUGAAAUAAUUGAAGCAUAAAUAUAAAACGAGAGUUGGGAUAUCAAACACGAUUAAAAUAAAGGAAGAUGUGCAAUUUUGUUCCCCAACGUUUGGCCUAUGAGUUAAACUAGUCCCUGAUAUUUUGACCAAAAUAAAUAUGGUCCCAAAUUAUUUAUUUUAGGCAAAUUUAGGACAACUAAUAGAAAACUACAAUAUCCAACGAGCAAAAUCAAGUUAGAAUGAGUCAGAAGUUUGACUUUAUAUUUUUUGAUCCCUAAUAUUUGAAAAUUUGAUCAAUACGGUCCCUUAUAUUUUUAAUAAUUUUAUUUCAAAUGAAAUAAAAUGUGAAUUAGAUCAAAUGCAUAAAAAAUGUGUUCUAAAUCUCAUUAAAAUCCUUAAAAGUAAUCUUCAUUGUCAAAACAUAUCAUUUAGCCGAAAGAGCAUCUUUUCGUUAAUUUAAGGGUAAAAAAUAAAAAAACCCCCUGUGGUAAAUCUAAUACACAGAAAAGCCCCUCAUAGUUUUAAAAUAUACAACACGACCCCUCAUGCUUUGAAUUAAAUUGUAAAGGUGAUGGAAUCCGUUUAACUUAACGGAAAUGGGCGAAAGAGUAUCUUUUCGUUAAAUUAAUUACAAACAAAUGAUAACACAUAAAUCAUAUAUAAAUGAAAAUUUAGUGGAAAAAAGAGAAUUUUAAUUUGGGUGUAUAGUAACUUUAAUUGUAAACAGUAUAACACAAAUCGUUGUAUGACUCGUGGAUAUGAGUUUCAAUUAGUUAUAGUUAGGCAUUGUGAUUAUAAUAAUAAGUAAAGGUGAUUACCAAUAUAAAGGACUCAUAUGAAUUUUCAAAAAAUUUCUUGCUAUUUCAUCUUGUCUUUCCUUCAUAUUAAAUCAAAUAUUUCAAUGAUACAAUUUAAUGUAUUUAUAUUUAUGUUGAUUUAAAUUGAAAAUUUUAUUGAAUAAUUUAAAUAAUUAUAAAAUCUUUAUUUCAAUUGAAACUUAAUUGACAACUAGUUGAAAUGUCAAAAAAAGAAAAAGAAAAUAUUAUUCAAUCAACUCAAUGACAUAUAGUUGUUUAUAUUAUAAUAGAAUAUUUAAUUAACUAUCUUAAUUUAUCAAAUAUAAGUAUCGGCCAUUAGAAGAUGAAGAAAUUUUUAAGAGGACUUUUAUUGUGAUUUUAAGAGGCCAACCGGCUUUCUCCAAUGGUGCCCGGAUAUCCUUCUUUGCGCGUCCCCACAGAGAGCACAGUUGGCCCCCUUGCAUUGUUUCUGCCUACCAUGGGCAGAAAAGUGAACCUUCCACCGUAGACGUUACCUAAGUAGGUCAAGAAAUUCUUUACUUCUUGAUUCAAUGGACCACUUAGAAUACGUUGAGCCUUGCAAGAGAGUUUUAAAACCUAAGUAGGUCAAGGAAUUAAAUCCAUUUGUCUACAUUUUAAAAAUUUCAGGCUUUCUCGAAAUAUCGUCAGCGGUGCGCAGACAUCCAUAUGAAUAGAUGAUGAUUCAGUUUCUUUCGAGUUCUCCUUGGACUUCUUCACAUCCCUCUUCCCUUAGUACGGGGUAAGUGUAGGUUCGUCGUAUUCGAAAAAAAAAAAAGAAGAAGACUUAUGGAAAGUUGACUUGUACCUUAUAAAACUCUACAAGCACAUAGCUGUGCUCCUCUGUAGCACCCUUCAGUCCUCUAUUCAUGCACUUGCGCGUUCGGGAGGUCUUUCCAUUCCUGUAAUUGUUUACACAAUUUGGGAAACGUCAUUGAUGAGGGAGAGACAACCAGCUAGUUAAUUUCCAUAAAAGAAAAUAGAAAUUUUUCCAUGCGUGAUUUCAUUUCUUAACCUUUCAAAUGUGUAGGGUAUACACACACAUAUAUAUAUAUAUAUAUGUGUGCGUGUGUGUGUUUAUUUAUUUAUAUUAAUGAUAAUCUAGAAGCCUUUUUAUUUUUCUUUGUUGUUUGGAUAGUGAAGCACGAGAGAAUAUUUCUGGAAUCGCAUACUUAUUAAUUCAUGCACUUUUGCACACAUGUUAUGUACAACAUUGAAAGUCUUAUUAUUUUCUUUUCAGUUUAUGGGCUAUUUAGGAUUUUAGCUUUUCUCCAAGACAACCAUUUUGCAUAUGUUAAUUAGUUUAUAUCUUGAAUUUUUUCAAGCACAUCUUUUGCUAAUUAAACAUAUCAGUUGUAAGUCUGAGUUUUUCCCCUUCUUCUUUGUAUUCCACGUUCACAUGAUUGAGUAUUUCUAAGGCUCUUAAACUUGAUUUUGUUAAGUCUACAUUUUAUAGUUUUCUCUUAUAUUGUCAACCGUCACAAGUGUUGGUGCGAGCAAAUCAUAAGGUCAUGGUUUUGCAUGGUAAACAGCUUUGUUAAAAUAGUUUUGAACCUUAAUCAUACCAAAAAAAAAAAAAAAAAAGCUUUGUUAAAAGAGAAUGCAAUUUGAUCCCAUGACUCUAACUCCAAACCACUUGGAGUUUACAUGAUUCAUUUGUGGCUGUGUAUGUUCCUUUUUCUUUUUUCCUUUUACUUGCAUGAUUAGCAUUUGGUUUGGGUGGCUUUUUUGAUGCUAUAAACUACUGUUUUCUCAAGAUAGUUUGUUCUCAUUUCUUCUUAUUAUUACAAAUGAAACAUUCCCAAGAGAUCCAUUGACGCCAGAUUUGUUUCCAGAAAUUGAGCAGAUCGAACCUCACCCGAAGCAUGAAUUAACCCAUUGAAACAAGUGCUGGAAAGACAUUUUGUAGUAAUUCUUGUUCAUUGGACCAAAUCGUGUAGGAUGUAGAUGAUAAAAAUAAUAGUGUACCUCACAAGAAUGCAGAAGAUAUACGAGACAAACAAUUAAAAAAAUAAAAUGACAGGAAGCACAAAUUCUGAGAGUUUCCACCACUUGCGACAUGGAAUAGAAGCUUCCAUCCUUAAUUAUAAAUAGAAUAGCUGGGAAUCCUAGACAUAAACAUUCAUCUUAUAGUUCUCUACCAUACUCUCCAAAUUCAAAAGCAUGUUCAACUUCAACGUAAUCAUCUUCCUCUUCCUUAUAACUACCUCAAACCUCAUCUCCACCACUCCAACCCCAACACCACCGUCCAUCCUACCUCCCCACCUCACCACCUCGACUCCAACCGCAUCACCACCGCUCAUACUGUCUCAUCCUUCCAUCUUAAGACUUUGGUCCAAGCAUGUCAUGAGUGACAUGCCUGAGACCAUCAUUUCCCUGCUAUCCCCCUUGCAUGGUCAUGAUACUGAUCACCUUAACCUUGCAUCUAUACCCAACAAUGCCACAUUUUGCGAACAAGCAAAUUUGGCUUGUAAAGCAGAUGUCGAUGGCAUUACACCCCUAUCCAUGGCUUACGGUUAUAGCACUCACCCGUCACUUGAUCCGGUUGAUCCGUUAUCGUAUUUUAAGAAAUCUUUGUUGUUUACCCAAUCAAUCAUGGUGAACCUCCCCAAUUUGGAAUCUCAAUUCCCCAAAAGAGCCUUCCUCCCACUAAAACUCUCCGCUAAAAUUCCGAUGAAUGCGAAGGACCUGGAAACCCACUUUCCACAAUCAUUUCAAAAGGCGAUGUUGAGAAAAAAUAUGGAGAUCAGUUUGAUGCAUUGUUCGGCUCCCAAUUUGCAAGGUGAGGAGAAGGGGUGUUUUAAUUCACUAGAAGGAGUUAUCACAUUUGCCCAAGCUGCCUUGCGUGCAAACAACCACCACAUCGUCGCACUUGCAUCUUCAUGCCAGGGAACUCACCAGGGAAGUCAAGUUGUUAUCCGCAGCGUCCAUCAAGUUGGGGCUAACACAAGCGUUAGUUGUCAUGAAAUUUUCUUCCCCUUCAUGGCAUAUUAUUGCCAUGUCCUACCCUCCACCCAAGUGUUUAGUGUGGGUGUAGUGAGCAGCAAAGGCUUGGGUGCUCCGGACAGGGGGAAUGGGACAAUACUCUAUGCCAUUUGUCAUUUGGACACAUCUUCUUGGCCUAAAGGUCAUCCAGCCUUCAAGAGUCUGAAAACGUCUCCUGGGGAAGCUGAAGUUUGCCAUUGGUCGACCAAGUCUAAUAUUAUCUGGAUUCUCGGUGCCGACUACAGUCAGCAUUAAAAGUGUUAUCCUCCGUAUACUCCUUAUCAUUGGAGUUCUGUCAUGCUUACUGGAGUUCUGUUAUGCUCCUGUCUUUUAUGUAUGAUUCCUGCUACCAUAUGAGAACUGCUGUUUUAUGUGUUAUAAAAGAAUAAAAAAGUACUAAAUAUUGAUUAGUACUUAUAUGUGUUAUUGACGUGUGAUAGUAUUCUGGCCUUAUGAUGACAGUGCUUAUAUGUUUUGAUAGUGCUUAUCUAAACAGAGUAUAUUGUUUAUCCUUUUCAAUCUUUUUGUUUUAACAAUUUAUUACUGUUUUCAAGUCACCAAAAGUUUUGUUUUAACAAUUUAUUACUGUUGUCAAGUCACCAAAAGUUUGGCCAAAGGAAACACCCCCAGUAGUGAUUUGUCAUAAAAACUGAUUAGUCAUAAAAGAGGGGGGGGGGGGCGGAAUUGUUUUUGUUGCAAUUCGUUAGUGAUUUGCAGCGAAAGCACACAUUACCACCAAAACCUGUGCUAUCGUCCGGACUCAACCCUUCCAAUCAUAGCAAUACAACAACAUAUGUGCGUCUGUCAAGCAUUAGCUUCAACUUUUACACUACGAUUACCUACAUAAGCUAAUUAGUACAAGUUUCGAGCAUCCAAUUAAUCAGGCUGACUGUUGGGAAUUUGAUUUGGUUGAAGAUGGUUUCCGCAUGAGAUAUAUAAGACAUGCAGGUGGUGCAGAUGGAUGGAUGGAUGGAUGGGGAGACGCAUGAUGCACCUUAAAUGGGAAGGCGGGGACGAUGAGUUUGUGACAAUUUAUGCAUGAAUUUGUCUGAUCGAAUCUAAGGUUUUGCAUUCUCGUAAGAGUUGAAGAAUUGGUUUGACAUUUUAAAGAGGUAUUCAUUCGUGUAAGGUUAGUUAAUGAUUAAAUAUCACAGUUUUUGUCUUUCCAGCAUUCUUUUUCUUUUUUAAUUAUUAUUUGAUUGUAGAAGAAAUUUUCUUCAAUCGUACUCUUUGGCAUACUAACAGUGGUUGCAAAAUUUCAAUGACUGAACUUUAUAUAAUGUAUCAUACUCGUAGAACCAAUAUGGAAAUCACUAGUGCUCAGCUAUAGUGUGUUUCAUACAAUCACACUGUCUUUCUCAUAACAUCCUUGUGAAGAUCACUACAAGCCUUUAGACCUCAAAGCGAUAAAAACUAGCAAUAUGAAGAACUUGUGACAUUUUUUUUUAAAGUAUGCUAUUUUUACAAAUUUGUGCAUGAAGUUAAAAGAUAAUAAUAAAAAAAAGAUUGAAGAUAUCAAAAAGUAUGCUAUUGAAUAAAGAUAUCAAAAAAAAAAAGAACCAUGCACUCACUCUCCCACAAUUUAAAGAUUCUAUCACUUUAUUUUCCUGAUAUGUAUUAUAUCAAAUUGAACUUUUGUUAGUCAUCUUAUCUUUGGUGGAAUCUCAUUAGUCUCUUUAUACAUAGUUUUUUUUGUCUGGUUAUCUACCUUUUUCUUUCUCCUGGUGUUGGGUUAUGAAAUGAUAAGCAUGAUGAUGAUGAUGAUGAUGGAUCCUGUGAAGCUUAAUUAAUGGGUACCUUUGCUUUAUAUAAAAAUUUACUUAAUUGUAGAUUCUCAUGGAAAUGUGUGGUUAGAUGGAUGUUGCUUUUUCUUUUUUUCUUUUUUUUUGGGUGGAAAAUUAUCUUUUGCAUUUUCUUUAUUUGGGUUCAUUGUUUUUCGCCGUAGGGUGGUUCAUGGUUCUAGUUUCAGUUAAAUGUCUUUCCCAUCAGAAAUCAAAAGGAUGAUGUUUGGGAUUUAUGUUACCUUGUAAAUCUACAAAUCCCUUUCUUUCGAGAGCCAAAAAUUAAAAAUCGGCUUUGGUUUUCACGCUUUUCAAUAGAUUUUUUUCAUUGUGAACAUAUUUUAUUAGUUGAAGUCCUAGCUAGUGCACCAUUACUUUUUAUUUCUAAAUCAUGAUUUUUGAACUAGAACCACAUAACAAGAUAUUUGAACUAUUUCAAACAUAAUCAUUGCCACGUAGCAGUUAUGCAAGGUCUAUUUUUCUUAUUCCAGUUUCAUAUUUGGGGCCAAUUUUUUUUCUUUUUUGUGAUAGACAGGCAAUUCCUUUUCCUACACUAUCAAUGUGUGAGAUUCUGUCGUAGUGGAAAUGGAACAGGGGACAAUGUUGGGAUUAGGGCUGCAAAUGAACCGAGCAGCUCGCGAGCGGGUAGAGCUGUUAAACGAGCCGAGUCGAGCUCGAGCAUAGGAUAAUCGAGCUCGACUCGAACCCCUAAUCGAGCUAGCUCGAGCUCGCUCGAUUAGUCAUUCGAGCUCUACAAGGCGCUCGAACUCGACUCGAUGUGUUGAUAGAAAACUCGAGCUCGGGCUCGAGCUCGAUUUUUGAAAUCGAGCCGCCGAGCUCGAAGCUCGAACUCGAGCUCGCGAAAAACUCGAGUCGAGCUUUUCGAGCUCGAGCUCGCGAAAAACUCGAGCUCGAGUUCGAGCUCGUUUACGGGAGAGCCCAUAUCACAAGAAGAUACACUUUCUCUUAUUUAUUAUUUGAAGCCAAAAUGACAAUACAAGCCAUGCCAAAUGACAAUACUCGUAUUUCCCUGAUUCAAUUCAACAAGCCAUGCCUCAAUCACAAUACAAGGCAGAGUCUAAAGUUAAAACUACAGCAAAAACCAUCAAAUGGAGAAACAAAAUGUCCACAGGGGGAUUACAAUGUCCAAACCACAUCAAAUUACAAGAAGUUUAAACUGCAGCAAGAAGUUAAAACUACACCAAAUGACAAUACAAGAAGUUAAAACUUCAGCAAACCAUGUCAGAUUACCACGUCCACACCAAAAUGUCCACAUUACAACAUGAAAAAUUAUAUAAACUGCCACAUUACGAUAUCAACAGCCUCCAGUAAUCCAAACCAGAUCAGAUUACCACAUGUCCACACCUCUAGCACUACUUCAGUCAUAUCAUCCCAUAUGCUGGAUUUCUUCUUCCUUUGCUUUUUCUCAAAAGGACCAGCUCCUCCAUCUCCAUCUACUUGCUGUCCUCCUUCAUUGUCAUCAUCUUCUAUUAUUUCUAUUUCUUCUUCACUCAUCUCAUCAGCUCUUUCUUCGUUGUAAUUCAAUUGUUCCACGUCUUCAUUAUUUUGCUCCAUCGUAGGACUUGAUGAUGAACCUUGAAAUGAGUUGAAUGGAGAGCUGUACAUUCCUUAAUCAAAAACAUUUAAUAACCAAUACAGAAUCUGAUUAGUUAAAACAGAAAUUUAGAAUAACAUUUCUAAGAAAUAAGGUACAAAAGUAAUAAAACAGAUUUCAAAAAAUAAUGCCCACUUCAAGCUAAAAAAAAUAAUGCUAAGAAAGUCUGCACUUCAAGCUAAUUUUAUCACAACUGCAGACUUAACCAUUAAAUCAACUAAAUCAUCACCAUUAGUUACGAACUUGCAAAUUAGGGGAAUCAACCACUGAAACAAAUAUGAUGCAACAGUUAAUUUUCUAUAGCAUUGUACCAAAAAGAAUUCGAAAAGGUUUAAGGAAAGCUCCAGUGAAGAGAAUGGGAUAUAAAACAGAUUUACAUACAAAAAAUAAAAUAAAAUAAAAAACUUCAAAAAUUGUGAAAAAAAUCAUAAUGCUAGAGACUAAUAAAGAUCAAAUAUUAUAUAUUGCAACCAUCCAACAAAUAGACCCUACUUAUGGGACAGUCAUACAAUCACAGGAGCUUAAGCUGCACAGGCAAACCAUAUAGAACUAAUGAUAAGUUGACCAGGAAAACAGGAACUCUCAUGAAAAAUCCAACGAAAUCAACCUCAAAGUUGUGUACGCACUUCAACCAAAUUAAUGAUUUUCAAUACUCGUAAACAAGGCAUUUGGAUUCCUCUCAAUUUGUCAAUCAUUUACAAAUGGUUCUAUGAACAUAAAAACCUGUGCCAGGGCCUGCCAACAUGGAACCAUCUCCCAAAACAGCAACGCAUACUAUUGCUGAUCUUAGAUUGGACCUCUUGAUGCCACACCAUAUCUGUUAGGACCAUAAGCAAAGAUUGUCCAACAGCUUCUUCCCAAGGAUGACAGAAUUCAGUUACAUGCACUUUAAAGUUGCAUACUAAACCUACGUACCAGAGGAUCACAAAAUUCAAGUAUAAAAUGAAAUUCACACAAAAUACCAGUACCAGUGGUAUGUAAGUUGAUGACUACAAAAACAGAUUGCAUGCAUCCGUUUUUACAUGACUGAACAAUAACAGUACCUGUUCUUACAUGACUACAUCUGUUAUUACAUGACUGAACAAUAACAGUACCUGUUUUACAUGACUUCAAAAUUAUCCUACUCAUGUUAGGGGUUAGCAUUUUUGUAUUUUCAGAGAUCCUAUCCAAAGUUACUCCCCCAAUUCAAAGAAUUUCAGACUCUCUUGCAAUUACUCAUGCACUAUUAAGCUGCAUCUGUAUAUUAGCAUAACACCAGAGAAGCCUAAGCAGUAUGUCUCUCAUAAUAUAACAUAAAAAGGUUUGCUGAUACACAACAAAGUCACUUAGUACCUGCAAUUCACUAAAACUUUUGCACGAAGAGUACUUUAAAGUAUCAAGAUGUCACUAAUUUCAACCACAGCAAAUAAUUAUCAAAACAUCAAGGCUACGAUAAAAAACCAUCAAGGCUACUUACCAGAAUGCAGUGAAUCGGGGUAUGGUAGAGGGCCCUGGUGGCUGGCUCUACCGAAAUGGCUCCGUAUGGCGUUGCUCCGUAUGGUGGCUGCGGCUGUGGAACGGGAAAGAGAUGACAGAAAUGGAGGCUACGGGGUGCGGCGGCGUGAGACUGGAGGCUACGGGGUGCGGCGUGCGAAUGGAGGCUACGGGGUGCGGCGGCGUGAGAAUGGCGGCUGCGGCUGUGGAAUGGGAAAAUAGAUGACAGAAAGGGGAAAUCAAAAAAUUAGGGAUGGCUGGUGGUGAGAAUGGAGGCUGAGGGAUGCGGCGUCACCGGCGUGAGAAUGGAGGUUGAGGGAUGCGGCGUGCGGUGGUGUGAGAAUGGAGGCUGCGGGGUAAGUCGGGUGACGGCUAUAGGAGGAGAAAACGAAAGACCAAUUGAGGAAAGAAUGAAUUAGGGCUACAGACAGACGGACCCUUUGAAUAGAUUACCAUUUACCACAUACACGUGGAAAUGACGAAAAUGCCCUUAUUUUUCGAGCCUACCGAGAUUAAACGAGCCGAGCCCUGCUCGGCUCGUUUAUUAAACGAGUACCUAUUAGAGCUCGAGCUCGGCUCGUUUCUCUCUGUUAACGAGCCGAGCCGAGCUCUAAUCGAGCCGGGUCGAGCUCGGCUCGCGAGCUGCCCGGUUCGAUUAACAGCUCUACGAGCGGGUCGAGUCAAAACUCAACUCGAUCAAUUAAUAUCGAACUCGAGCUGGCCAAUUCGAGCUCGAACUCGAGAUCAAAAUAUUAAGCUCGUUGAGUAUAUGUAUUUUUUAUUUUAUUUUUUAUUUUAAUAGUAAAAUUACAUAUAUAUCCCUAAUAUUUUAUUAUUUAUUAAGAAAAAAUAAUUAUUUAUUUUUUAUUAGAAUAAUUUCUAGAAACUCGAACUAACGAGCUGCUCAUGAGUCAGAAAUUCGAGCUAUGUUACCAGCUGGCAAUUCGAGCAGUUCGUGAGCCAGAAAUCGAGCAACAGCUCGCGAGUCUUAUGGAGUCGAGCCUGAGCCUGGCUUUUUCUUAGUCGAGUCGAGCUCGAAUUCAAUUUUCUUGGCUUGUCGAACUCGAGCUCGAACUCGAGCCUACUUGUUAUUAAGUCGAGUUCGACUCGAUAAAUCCAAAACUCGACUCGACUCGUUUGUAGCCCUAGUUGGGACGGGGUGCGUUUCCUAUUUGGGAACUUUUGAGCUCAUGGUGAAUCCUUGCGCAGUUUUUGGCGGAGUCACUGUCAUGGACCUUUCGUUUCAAUUGCACAAUGUUUUAUAAAUGUUAAAACAAACCUAUGAUUCCCAUCUUUAUGACCAAAACUACGCGAACCAAUCCCUACUGCAUAUAUUUAAUAAGUUUGUGACACUAAUUUUUUAUAUUAUGUACCUAAAAGUUGGGGUGUUCUUAUUUUUGAAAACAGGAAGAAAAAAAAAAACCAAACCGAUUUAAAUCGGAUAUGUGUAAAUUGGAUUUUUGGUAAAACCAAUCUAUGUCCAAAGUCUAAUAGUGGUAAAAUGAUUGGUGAACGGAUUCUAAAAUUAGAUUUCUGAAUUUUGAUUACCGUUCGAUUUUUCAAAAUAGUAACAAUAAUAAUAUGUUAUGUAUGUACAUAUAUUAGAGUACUAAUAACUGAUAACUAACGAAGAUUGAACAAUCUAAUAAUCUGAUCUUACUUAAUAGUUAGCAUCCACAGAAUACAUUUGGCUGUAGUCUAUAACUAUAAUAUGAUCUUAUUAUCUUUUAGCUUUGAGUUUGACAAUGGGAAUCACCAAAACACUCUUUAAUUAGGCUUCAAAUUUCUCUAUCCUUGUUUGCUCUAAACGGGCUUCUCUGGUUGUUCUGAAUAACCAUUAUUAUUACUACUCAAUUAGACAAUUACUCAUCUUGCUUGAUAUUUCGAUCGCUUACGGAUACGGGGCAGGGCCCUGAGCGGUCCUCUCACAAAAAAAAAUGAGAGGACUGCAAUGGGCCACGUAUAAUGGGAGCAACAGCAAAGGAAAACGACGUUUUUUUAGUGAGUGAGUAGGAAAAAAAAUAAAAAAACAUUUGAGGGGCUAACGGGCUCCGUUAAAAUACCUCAGCUGUUCCGUUCCAGAAAUUCCCGCUCAAAUUAAUGAGGCACGACUCUUCAUCUGAAAUUUUCAAAUGAAAUAGAAUUUUGGUCUCCCUCCAAAAACAUAUCUUGUGAACAUUCAUUCACAAUUCCAGAGUAUCAGCAAAAUAAUAUCCCUACCCCAAAUUGGGAAGUUUCAGAUGAGAGGUUUUUGGAGAAAGUGUAUAGUGUUGCAGAAGUAACUGUUGCGGGACAAAAAUUUUUCAUGAAGGCUGCAACAAGACGGAAGUUGGUGAGAUCUAAAGCAGAGAUAGACUCAAUCGAAUUGGACUAAACCCCAAAGGUAAGAAUAUUGCAAACUCAUUGCACUAUUUGGUUUGUUUUGCGACAGAAGAGGGAUGAAUUUACUUGCAUGAUUUUGUUUGUACAACUCGUUUAAGACAGUGUGACAUGAAUAAUGAAAUUGAAAUUCUGGCGAAAACUCCUAAACAAGGAAAUCAUAUGGGUAGCAUAAAUUAGAUACAUUGAGAGCCAACUUAAAGAACGUAUGCACAGGGAACUUAUGCAUGCCAAGUGUUUGUAAAUUUGACUCAAUUGAUGAAUUAAAGUUCUCACCUUUUAAAAUCUGGUUGCAUAGUAUACAUAUAUCUUGGCUAAAAGAGAUUGAGUGGGGUGGCUUGCGUAGCAAAAACUAUCAGGGUAGUUGAUAAGUACAUGUCUAUCAAAAUUUAUAACCGCAUGGCGAGAAAUUUACAUAACUUAGUUGUUUCUUUGAAUUUGCAAUUGGGUGUUGGUUCAUCGGUAAUGUUGUCUACAUGGCACAUAAUAUGAUAUUAAAAUUGCUAUACAGAUGGUUAGUAAUUAUGUUGACUUCAUCGUAGUGUGUAUGUGUUGAAAUGGGCCAAACGUGUACAUAAUUAAUGACUUAUGUGCAAUCUUUUUGUUGAUGGAAUGAGUAAGUGCAAUGGUUCACAUUGUGAUGACUGAUGUACACGUGGUAAUUGACAGAAAAUGCAGUUGUUGAUAGCAACAAGUUGACAGAGGAUGGGAUUCCUAAAACAGGAAUGGGGUUUGAUGCAGAAGAUGAGGCUUAUAAAUUUUACACAUAUGGUUUUGUCAUGAGCUUCAACAUCCAAAAAGACUACUUGAACAAGGACUAGGAUGGCUUGACAACAUCAAGAAGGUACACUUGUUGUAAGGUAUCCCAUAAUACUUGUGUAUGCUUACAUGGUCAUAAAUUUAUAGAAGUUAGCUUAUUGUUUAAAUUUGCAAUUAAUUAUUGGCCCUUACAUACUAUCACGUACAUACACAUAAUGUGAAAAUGAAUUUGGGUUAAUAUCAGAAACCUCCCUUGAGGUUUCUUCUAAUCACAUUUAGCACCCCUCAUAUUUUUGAAAUCACACUUAGCAUCCCUGGAAUGACAACUUUGGUUUCUUGUCAGCCCCUCUAUUUGAAAAUGGUAGUAAAAAAUGAAUUGUAGGAGAGAGACUUUAUUUUGGUUCCACUUUUACCCAAAGCCCAAAAUGAUUAGUGAAUUUUAGAAGAUAAAAAUAGAAAUAAAUAGGCAUAUGAUAUUAAUUUAGAAGCUGAGGGUGUAAAAGUGUAAUAAAAAGAAUGUUAUAACUAAUUAUCAGAGAUUUUGGCGAUAUAGAGAUGCAUAACUAAUUAUGGACCUGGGGCCGGAACGGUUGCACUCCGGAAGCUUGUGUGCAUUUUGCACACGGUGUAACAUCAUUUGUACACGUUGUAACACUAGAAUAACAGCGAGUAAUUAUACUACCUUUAACAGCAGUAACCGUCCCUGCCCCUUCUCCACUAAUUACAUAGUCCAUGAUACUACAUUGGAUCAGUCUAGUAACAUGAUACGUAAGCCUUAUAUUGCAAUCCAAUUCUGAACAAAAACACCAUCUACAACUAGUUGUUUAGAUGGUGAGGAUUGCAAUGCACAAAACUAUACAAAAGUAGUUCUAAGAUUAGUCAAACAGCACCAUAAGUGGCAGGAAAUAUAAAUCAGAUGCACAUUGCACCACUUAUCAACAAAUUGUCCACAAAAGCUAACAUUGCUUCAGUAUUGCUGGGAGCUAAGAAGACUAGUACCUAAACUACUUCAGAUACCACAAGCAAGGAUUGCGGGGAACCUUUAGCACUCUCAAAACAUCAUAGAGAAACUGCUGGUUAUAGUGUUAGAGGCCACUAUUGCAGCAGUAUUAAUGCUAACAGAAGUUUCGGCUUGAGAUCCACCAUUUAGAGUAGCUUGAGCAUUUGGUACAAAGGGAAUUAUACCUUGAUUGUUUACAGCAGCAUUGGUUUUCAUUGAAGACCUUCUUCUCUGCAUCAGAAAAGAACAAAUUUAAACUUUUUUGCUGCAAAACUUUAAAUUACUCCAGUAGUGCACUAGUUCUGAAUUUUGCAGCAGCAAUGUAUGACAUUAUAAUGCUUACCCUCUUAGUAGAAGUGCUUGUGCUAGCCUGCAAAUUAACUUGCACAUUGACAGCUACAUCUUGUUGGCGAAAACUUGGAUUACUCCCCUGACUUGAAACAACCACUGGCACAUUUCCUUGUACCUGAUCCUAGAUCACAGAAGACAUGAUAAACAAGUUAAUAAUAUGUGCAACGUAUAUACUUUGGUACAUAAUCAGAUGAUCAGAUUGAACUUAAUUACCCAAAGCACAGCCCCUGCCAAUCCCGUGUUAGCUAUGCCUCUACCAGGCUUUCCUCUCCUUAGAGCACCCUGCAAUGUAACAACUUCAAAAUUGAGCAUAUAAUUAUCUAGCUCCCACAAGUUAGCUAAUAUUUUGUGAUUAUCAGGACAAAUUUGGUCCCUUUUACAUGUAUACAUAGUCAAGUAACUAACACCUAACGUGAUGUAUAUUUUUGUAAACUGAUUGUACCUCAUAAAUCACCCUGUGUAAAGUACUCACAGAUAAGCAAGAACUACUCAUACAAGUAAAAUUACAUAUCUACUAUAGGGAGAUGCACAAAUUGAUCAAAGGGCUAAAUAACCAUUCGAAAUUUAUGCGUAUACAUGCACUACCUUUUAUAGAUAUACACAAUCAAGUAACUAACAUCUAACAUAAUGUACAUUUUUGUAAACUGAUCGUACAUCAUACAUCACCCCUUGUAAAGUACUCAUAAAUAAGCAAGGACUACUCAUACAAGCAAAAUUACACAUCUACUAUAGGGAGAUGCAUAAAUUGAUCAAAGGGCUAAAUAACCAUUCCAAAUUAUGCGUACCAUUACACUACCUUUUAUAGAUAUACAUAAUCAAGUAACUAAGAUCUAACAUAGUGUACAUAUUUGUAAACUGAUUGUACUUCAUAAAUCACCCCGUGUAAGGUGUUUAUAGGCAAAUUGUGCGCCAAAACAAUGGCAUUUUUGUUAUUUUCUGGUUUCCAAUAAUUUUUCUUAUUCAUUAUUUUUUUCCAGCAUUUCCCCGUUUAAAACUUUGCCUGGUGUUGGUGGUUUUUGGGUAAUUUCUCACCUUUUGAUUAGGACAACCUGUCACAUCCUAUUGUCAGGGGUGCUAAGUGUGAUUUCAAAAACAUGGGGGGUACUAGAUGUGAUUAGAAGAAACCUCAAGGGAGGUUUCUGAUAUUAACCCAAUGAAUUUACUAUACAGUUGUUCGCUGGUUAUAUAGAAUCGAUAUAAGCGUACAAAUUGGGAUCUAAUAUGUUAUACCCUGCAUGCAAUUGUUAAUACAUUAUAUCUGAUUGGACUAAACCCCAAAGGUAAGAAUAUUGCAAACUCAUUGCACUAUUUGGCUUGUUUUACGACAGAAGGGGGAUGAAUUUACUUGCAUGAUUUUGUUUGUACAACUCGUUUUAAGACAAUGUGACAUGAAUAAUGAAAUUGAAAUUCUGGCGAAAACUCCUAAACAAGGAAAUCAUAUAGGUAGCAUAAAUUAGAUACAUUGAGAGCCAACUUAAAGAACGUAUGCACAGGGAACUUAUGCAUGCCAAAUGUUUGUAAAUUUGACUCAAUAGACGAAUUAAAUGACUUAAAAUAUUUAUAGGUAUAUAAAAUAACAGGGAGAGUGUGAAGGUAAUUGUUACUUGCUUUUUUUUUUAUUCUUGUUACAGAAUAGCAGUGACACCGUAUAGUUUAAACUGUAUUACCGACCGUGUAUGGACGCUUACAUCACAGUAGACAAAGAUAAAAGUUAAGUAAAGCGAGUUACACUAAUGAAAUAGGGAGUACAACACUGCAAUGCCUGACUCACAAUGCGUACAUUUAUGACUAUAAACCGUAACUGUCAUCUAACAACAUGUAUAUUAUCGGAAACCUAUUGUGCACAAUUGUGACACUAUAUGACCAUCACUCACAUAUAUGAUUUUGUCAUAGAUUUCAGCAUCCGAAAAGUCUAACUAAACAAGGAUUAGGAUGGCUUGACAACAUCAAGAAGGUACACUUGUUGCAAGGUAUCCCAUAACAUGAUUACAAUGAUAUUUGCCUACUCGUAAUUGCUUUUAAAGUAUGGUGUAACUUGUUGCACGGUAUAAAUUUUACUACUUGUAAUUGCUUUUAAAGUAUGGCGAAAAUUUUGAUAACUUGUAAGAUUUUGCCUAGACGACGUAUGUGAUGUACACCAUGUUUAUUGGAACGUAUAGCAUGUUAGUCAUUAAUAACAUUUAUAUCAGAUGUUUUUAUUAGAUGGUUAUUUGUUCCAAUUGUCUAUGAAAUUGACAAUUAGUGCUUAUGAGAGUGCAUUAAAUUAGAUAGAUAGUUUACUUCAAUGAAUGGCCAGUACAUGCAUACUUAGUGAAUGUACAAUCUGAUUGAAAUAAUGUACACCAUUUAACCGACCAAAUACAAUGUGUACAAAUUUUUGAAUAUGCGGUUAGUUGUCCAUAUGCAUAUUGCAAUUAGCCGUUGCAGCAACAACUUGUACUGAUUUUUAGUAAAUUUUUUUACUUGUAUGAGUAGUACUGAUUUGUCUGUAAACACUUUAUACAGUGUGAUGUAUAAAUACAAUUAGUUUACGAAAAUGUACAUCAUCUUAGGUAUUAGUUAUUUAAAUGUGUAUAUCUAUAAAAGAUAGUACAAUGGUAUGCAUACCUUUGGAAAUGUUAUUGGUGUUUCGACCAACUUAGGCAUCUCCUUACAAGCUGCAGUAGAUGUGUAUAUUACUUGUAUGAGUAAUACUAAUUUGCCUAUAAGUACCUUAUACUGGGUAAUCUAAAAGGUACAAUCAGUUUAUAAAAAUAUACAUCAUGUUAGGUAUUAGUUACUUGACUGUGUAUAUCUGUGAAAGGUAAUGCAAUGGUAUCUAUAACUUUGAAAUGGUUAUUAGCCUAGAUAAGGUGUGUGAUGUACACCAUAUUUAUCAGAAUGUACAAUAUGUUAUUCAUCAAUACGAUGCAUAGAAAUUGUUAAAUAUACAGUUAUUUGUUCACAUGCAUAUUGCAAUUAGUCAUCACAGCAAUAUGCAUAGUGCAAUGGUAUGCAUACAUUUGGAAUGGUUAUUGAUGUUUUGACCCACUUGUGCAUCUCCUUGCAGGCUGCAGUGCGCGUGUAAUUUUAUCUAGGUGAAUAAUACUAAUUUGCUUAUAAACACCUUACACAGGGUGAUCUAUAAGGUACAAUCAAUUUACAAAAAUGUACAUUAUGUUAGAUGUUAGUUACUUCAAUGCGUAUAUCUAUAAAAGGUAGUGCAAUUGUAUACAUAAAUUUGAAGCAGUUAUUUAGCCAUUUGAUCAAUUUGUGCAUCUUCCUAUAGUAGAUGUGUAAUUUUACUUGUAUGAAUAAUCUUUGUUUGUCUGUGAGUAUCUUACACAAGGUGAUCUACGAGAUACAAUCAGUUUACAAAAAUGUACAUCAUGUUAGGUGUUAGUUACUUGACUAUGUAUAUAUAUAAAAGAGAGAUUAGAUAUAAUGCAGAAAAAAGUAAUUACAUGAGUUGGAAUGUAUUAUACAAACUUUGGUAUAGUUGAUAUUAAAAUUUCUCUGUUGAGGGUACACGUUGUUAGUGGAUAUGGAGUAGUGCUAUAUGUUAUGUACGCUUACAUGGUCAUAAAUUUACAGAAGUUAGUCCAUCGUUUAAAUUUGUAAUUGGUUGUUAGCCCUUACACACUGUCACAUGCAUACACGUAAUGUAAGAAUGAAUUUAAUAUAUAGUUGUUAAUUGGUUACAUAGAGUUCAUAUAGGCAUACAAAUUGGGGUUUGAUUAGCUAUACUCUGUAUAUAAUUGUUAACACAUUAUAUCGUAUUCACCUUAUUUUGCAGCAUGUCAUGGGCAAAGAUAGCGUCUUUUGACAAAUUAAUGGAUAUCAAUCAAUACUGGUGAAGCAAAGACAUUAGGUAUGUUUAGCCUAUUUUACGAUAUGUUUAAGGAAAUAAAGAUUUUUAUUUCACAAAUUGGUGAAAAUUAGUUACAUUUGGGGUGUGUUUGUUUGAAUGUAAAAUGUUUUCCUGAAAAUGUUUUCCAAAUUUUCCUGUGUUUGGUAAUCAUUUUAUCUUGGAAAAAGAUUUAUGCGGGGAAUAUAUUUUACUUCACUUGGUGGAAAAUAACUUCAUCUUUUGACUUACUAAAGUUAUUUUCCUUCAUUAAAACGAGCGGCUCUUGCACUUCACAAUAGAGCUCCCUACCCACAUUCUAACAAAAACAAACAAAGACUUUGCGCUAAAGAUACAGAGAGUAGGCAAUGAAGAUUGGAGAGACUCAGAAAUCACCAACAAUAUGAUCAUUUCUGAUGGCAGCCAUCUCCAACUCUGGCAAGGUGCCUUGGGUGAGAUUCUUAUUUAGGGCUUUGUCUUGAAUAUCUUUUUAUUUUUUCCAAAAAAAUCUGAUAAAAUCGGUUGUUCCAAUCUAGGAUUCUAUCGAUUUUUUUUUAAUUUUGUUGCUAUAAUUCUUGAGAAUUGUGGCACUAGUUUCACAGAGGAAUUUGGAUUUUUUUUUAAAUUUCAGUUUUCUUUUUCUAUAAUUAUAUGAAGCUCUAGGAAUUCUGGUAAAAUUUAUUGCUCCACUCCCAUUUUCUGACGAUUCUUAUUGAGGUAAGGGCUUGAGCUUGCAUGAUUGUUUUUGUAUCAAUUGAUUGAUAGAUUAAGAAACUUCAGUAGUUUUUUUUGUAAAUUAUCAAUCAAUUGGUGUCCUUAAAGUUUGAUUUUGUCUUUCUAUUGAGAAAUUUGUUGUUAAAUGUAUAUGGCUGUUAUUGAUUUCUCUGAGCGAUAUGAAUACUGAAUGUUGGGAUUUCUUGUCUAGAGAAUUUAAAUUUUAGGAUUUAUGUUUUGGGAUUGGGGUAAAGGUUAAGUUGUUAAGACGUUCGCAAGGUGAGGUUCUCUAGUAUCUUAAAUAUUCAUUCAGUUGCGCAUAUACUCUUCUGGGAUUAGGGAGAAGAAAGAAGAGAAAGGAGAGAGCGUGUGUGUCGAAAGGUAAACAAUAGAAAGUAAUGAAAUGCUCAUCAUUUUGAGUCAAAUCAAAGAGUUUGUUUUCUUUUCUAACCAUCUAGAUACUUCUGUUUUCCUUUCUUUAUGGCCACUGUGUUAGUGCUUCAUUUUUGCGCAUCUUGCAUAUGUAUUACUUAUUUAUUUUAAAUUGUGAAUGAAACAAUCAAGUGAAGAUUAAGUUUGUGUGCUAAUAUUAUGUUACUCUGAUGCUUUUUUCCCCUUGUUUUAAUUUUGUAGAGACAUACAUAAAUAGUGGAUUAUCCUAAAAGAGACUGCAAUGGAAUUUUGCCGGACUAGUGGGAUGUUAUUGCAGUAUGAAUUGCCGCAUAUGGACCGCCCUGCCAGAUUCUUUUGUCCAACAUGCCCAUAUGUAUGUCACAUAGAUAGUAAGGUAAGUCAUUAUAAAUCCUUGUUGAGGGUUUAUUUACUGGCUAUUCACAAUGUCCAUUGUGUCAUUGCUAAGUUAUCAACGCAUGUGGCAGGUUAAAAUAAAAAGAAAGCAUCAGUUAGUUAAGAAAGAACUAGAUCCUAUCACGUAUUAAGAUAUUUAUUUUUCCUGUUGUGUUUCAGCAUCACCUUGGAGGUGAUCUACAAGUGGAAAAAAGGAGGGCUGACUGAGUACCUUGCCACUUGCCUUGGCCUUGGGAAUUUGUAGGUGCAGGCCAACUGGAUUUGUUCAAAGCUCUGGUCACUAAAUUUUUUCCUGUAAAACGUUCACAUGAACAUUGGUGACGUGUUGUAUAGAUGUUUCCUUUUGUAUCCAUGAUUUACUACCUAGGCAACUGAUAUUUUUGGGACCAUUUUCCAUUUGGAGAUGUGAUUUUCCUUUUUGUUGAGCAAUAUUUUAUAUUUUGGCUUAUAUUUGCCUUUGUAUGUAUUGAAUUGUUCCAGAUUUUUGAUCCAACGGAGGCCAACAACAUUUAAAGCAGGGAUUUGAAUCAUUCUAGGCUUGAUUAGGGUGCUUGUAUGUACCAAUGGUUCUAACUCUGUACCAUGAAUAAGAUUUUUGAUUCUGGAGCUGAAAUCUUGGUUUAUAUUCCAAUAUAGGAUUCUCUGCAUUUAGGUUCUUCUCCCUUUUCAAAGGAACAACAUAAUGACAUGAUACUAUACCAAUAAAGAAUAGUUGUUUAGCUAGGUUUUUGUUUGGUUUUUAACUCUUCUUUCCCAACCAAUUCAUUAGUAUCAUUAAUAAUUCCAUUUAAGAAUUCAUGGUGUAAUAUGAAUAAAUAUUUUAUAGAAAUGAUAAUAUGAUUAUAAUGGAUAGAAACUAAAAUUAACUUCUAACGAAAUGAAAGUUUUAAGAGUAGAAAAAUAUUUGCAACAUAUCAACAAACAUAUUAGAAAAUAUUUUCAUUGAUAAACCAAACAUUGGAAAAUUAUGAAAAAAGGAAUUUGAAAAAUAUUUUCACUUAAUAACCAAACACUGGAAAAUUAUGGAGAAAGAAGUGAUUUUUCAGGAAAAUGACUUCAAUGGAAAAUAUUUUCCCUUGUCCCUAGGAAAAUAUUUUCCAUUUUGAUCCAACCAAACGGACCCUUAGUUACUUAUAAGUUACAUACAUGCUGAUUGAAUAAAAAUUUAAUUAGUCAUCUAUCACUAAUAGUCAAACUGAUAUGUAUUGAACAAAGUAAAUAGCCUUUACAAUUUGCAUGAGCAGUGGCAAGAUGGCACGGAAAAGGAUAAAAAAGAAUCCAAAUGAAAAGGAAGAAAUAUGAAAAGUGGGAACUAUUGACCUUGCAGAACCAAUCCCACCAUUUAUAAUUAGAAAGUAAAAAAAGAAAUCAACUUGAGAAGAAGAAAUGGAGCAAGUGAAACUCAGUUAACAGCAUUGUAUAACUCUUUUAAUUUAUUUUUAUAGAUUUUUGUUAGCACAAUAUUUGUAAUUUUCAAUUUCGAUUUAUACAAAAUGUUAUGUAGUGAUAGGUAAGAAUCCUUCUAGAUAUCAUUGUAAUUAUCGUAGAUUUUUGUUCAAUUUGUAGAUUUGUUUGAAGCAUUGUAUAUAUCCAUUAGAAUUGUUGUCCAUAAUGUUAUAACUAGAGUAUUCAUUUGGUUUAUUUUUAUAUGCAUCACAGUUAAUAAACUUAAGGAUAUUUGUUCAAAGAUCAAUUAAAUGAUAGAAGUAUGCCAAAAUUGAUAUUCCAACCACGUUUUUAAGGUUUUUAGUUUGGGGUUUGAUAAAAACAGAAACGAGUGACACUAUGAUUGAGUGUAACAAAUUUACUGAUGGGCAAUUACUACUUUUUGAGAUUAUAAUAUAUUGACAACUAAAAUUUUACCUAAAGCUACUAUUUCCAUAAUAGUGGUAUAUGACUAGUUAAAUUUGUGUUUAAUCAACAUGUAUGUAACUUAUAAAUAACUAAAUGUAACUAGUUUUCACCAAUUUGCAAAACAAAAAUUUUUAUUUCCUAAAACAUAUCAUAAAAUGGACUAAACCGUUUGUAAGAUGAUAGCAACAAAAAGUCAAUAAAUUCUAACAUGGGGUACAACAUCGGGAUGUUACUAAUUAGCAAUAGAAAUUUUUUUUUACCAAUUCAUAGAAUCGAAGUUACUACUUUGGAUAUAUUGUAAAACAAAUCGAGCUAACAAUAAAAAAAAUUAACAACAAAUACUACUUAAAUACUAACUAGAUGUACAAUACUGAUAAAUAGAAUCUAAAAUUAGCAAUUUAACUUUUUUUCCUCUAGUACAUUGUAAAAUAGAUUGAACAUGUGAUAAUGCAUUAAGAACUAAAUGUAAGUACAUUCUAGUGAGUGUUAUGAGUCUAGCAUAAUGAAACUAUCUAAUUAUCCAAUAUAAUUUCUUUGCUCCACCAGCAUUGAUUGAAAUCCAUUGAUUUGUCAAAGAAGUUAUCUUUGCCCUUCACAUGCUACAAAAUAAGGAGAAAAAGAUAUAAUGUGUUAACAAUUACAUACACGGUAUAGCUAAUCAAACCCCAAUUUGUAUGCUUAUAUGAACUCUACGUAACCAGCAAACAAUUAUAUGGUAAAUUCAUUCUUACAUUAUGUAUAUGUACGUGACAAUGUGUAAGAGUUAACAACCAAUUACAAAUUUAAAUAAUAGACUAACUUUUUAUAAAUUUAUGACCAUGUAAGCAUACAUAACAUAUAACACUACUCCGUACCUACUAACAACGUGUACACUUCACAAAAAAAUACUAAUAGCAUUAUACCAAAGUUUCUAAAAUACAUUCCAACUCAGGUGGCUACUUUUUAUUGCACUAUAUCUAAUCUCACUGUUGCAGAUAUACAUAGUCAAGUAACAAACACCUAACAUGAUGUACAUUUUUAUAAACUGAUUGUACCUCAUAGAUCACCCCGUAUAAGAUACUCACAGACAAGCUAGUAUUACUCAUACAAGUAAAAUUAUGCAUCAAUUGUAGAGAGAUGCACAAGUUGAUCAAAUGGCUAAUAACCAUUCCAAAGUUAUGCAUACCAUUGCACUACCUUUCAUAGAUAUACACAGUCAAGUAACUAACAUCUAAUAUGAUGUAUAUUUUUGUAAACUGAUUGUACUGAUAGAUCAUCCCAUGUAAUUUGCUUAUAGACAAAUUAGUAUUAGUCAUACAAAUAUAAUUACACACCCACUGUAGCCUGCAAAGAGAUGCACAGGUGGAUUAAAGCACCAAUAAUCAUUCCAAAUGUAUGCAUACCAUUGCACUAUGCAUGUGGUUGCGAUAUACAUGUGGACAAAUAACUGCAAAUUAGCAAUAUCAAUAAACAAAAUCUAAAAUUAGCAAUUUAACCUUUCUUUCCCCUAGUACAAUAUAAAAUAGAUUGAACAUGUGAUAAUGCACUAAGAACUAAGUGUAAAUAUAUUUUAAUGAGUGUUAUGAGUUUGGCAAAAUAAAAAAAAACUAUCUAAUUAUCCAAUCUAACUUCUUUGCUCUACCACCUUUGAUUGAUAUCCAUUAAUUUGUGAAAAGAAGCUGUAUUUAUCCUUGGUAUGCUGUAAAAUAAAUUGAACAAGAUAUAAUGUAUUAACAAUUGCAUGCAGGGUAUAACAUAUUAGAUCCCAAUUUGUACGCUUAUAUCGAUUCUAUAUAACCAGCGAACAACUGUAUAGUAAAUUCAUUGGGUUAAUAUCAGAAACCUCCCCUGAGGUUUCUUCUAAUCAUAUCUAGUACCCCCCAUAUUUUUGAAAUCACACUUAGCACCCCUGACAAUAGGAUGUGACAGGUUGUCCUAAUCAAAAGGUGAGAAAUUACCCAAAAACCACCAACACCAGGCAAAGUUUUAAACGGGGAAAUGCUGGAAAAAAAUAAUGAAUAAGAAAAAUUAUUGGAAACCAUAAAAUAACAAAAAUGCCAUUGUUUUGGCGCACAAUUUGCCUAUAAACACCUUACACUGGGUGAUUUAUGAGGUACAAUCAGUUUACAAAUAUGUACACUAUGUUAGAUCUUAGUUACUUGAUUAUGUAUAUCUAUAAAAGGUAGUGUAAUGGUACGCAUAAUUUGGAAUGGUUAUUUAGCCCUUUGAUCAAUUUAUGCAUCUCCCUAUAGUAGAUGUGUAAUUUUGCUUGUAUGAGUAGUCCUUGCUUAUUUAUGAGUACUUUACAAGGGGUGAUGUAUGAUGUACGAUCAGUUUACAAAAAUGUACAUUAUGUUAGAUGUUAGUUACUUGACGGUGUAUAUCUAUAAAAGGUAGUGCAUGUAUACGCAUAAAUUUCGAAUGGUUAUUUAGCCCUUUGAUCAAUUUGUGCAUCUCCCUAUAGUAGAUAUGUAAUUUUACUUGUAUGAGUAGUUCUUGCUUAUCUGUGAGUACUUUACACAGGGUGAUUUAUGAGGUAUAAUCAGUUUACAAAAAUAUACAUCACGUUAGGUGUUAGUUACUUGACUAUGUAUACAUGUAAAAGGGACCAAAUUUGUCCUGAUAAUCACAAAAUAUUAGCUAACUUGUGGGAGCUAGAUAAUUAUAUGCUCAAUUUUGAAGUUGUUACAUUGCAGGGUGCUCUAAGGAGAGGAAAGCCUGGUAGAGGCAUAGCUAACACGGGAUUGGCAGGGGCUGUGCUUUGGGUAAUUAAAUUCAAUCUGAUCAUCUGAUCAUGUACCAAAGUAUAUACGUUGCACAUAUUAUUAACUUGUUUAUCAUGUCUUCUGUGAUCUAGGAUCAGGUACAAGGAAAUGUGCCAGUGGUUGUUUCAAGUCAGGGGAGUAAUCCAAGUUUUUGCCAACAAGAUGUAGCUGUCAAUGUGCAAGUUAAUUUGCAGGCUAGCACAAGCACUUCUACUAAGAGGGUAAGCAUUAUAAUGUCAUACAUUGCUGCUGCAAAAUUCAGAACUAGUGCACUACUGGAGUAAUUUAAAGUUUUGCAGCAAAAAAGUUUAAAUUUGUUCUUUUCUGAUGCAGAGAGGAAGGUCUUCAAUGAAAACCAAUGCUGCUGUAAACAAGCAAGGUAUAAUUCCAUUUGUACCAAAUGCUCAAGCUACUCUAAAUGGUGGAUCUCAAGCCGAAACUUCUGUUAGCAUUAAUACUGCUGCAAUAGUGGCCUCUAACACUAUAACCAGCAGUUUCUCUAUGAUGUUUUGAGAGUGCUAAAGGUUCCCCGCAAUCCUUGCUUGUGGUAUCUGAAGUAGUUUAGGUACUAGUCUUCUUAGCUCCCAGCAAUACUGAAGCAAUGUUAGCUUUUGUGGACAAUUUGUUGAUAAGUGGUGCAAUGUGCAUCUGAUUUAUAUUUCCUGCCACUUAUGGUGCUGUUUGACUAAUCUUAGAACUACUUGUGUAUAGUUUUGUGCAUUGCAAUCCUCACCAUCUAAACAACUAGUUGUAGAUGGUGUUUUUUGUUCAGAAUUGGAUUGCAAUAUAAGGCUUACGUAUCAUGUUACUAGACUGAUCCAAUGUAGUAUCAUGGACUAUGUAAUUAGUGGAGAAGGGGCAGGGACGGUUACUGCUGUUAAAGGUAGUAUAAUUACUCGCUGUUAUUCUAGUGUUACAACGUGUACAAAUGAUGUUACACCGUGUGCAAAAUGCACACAAGCUUCCGGAGUGCAACCGUUCUGGCCCCAGGUCCAUAAUUAGUUAUGCAUCUCUAUAUCGCCAAAAUCUCUGAUAAUUAGUUAUAACAUUCUUUUUAUUACACUUUUACACCCUCAGCUUCUAAAUUAAUAUCAUAUGCCUAUUUAUUUCUAUUUUUAUCUUCUAAAAUUCACUAAUCAUUUUGGGCUUUGGGUAAAAGUGGAACAAAAAUAAAGUCUCUCUCCUACAAUUCAUUUUUUACUACCAUUUUCAAAUAGAGGGGCUGACAAGAAACCAAAGUUGUCAUUCCAGGGGUGCUAAGUGUGAUUUCAAAAAUAUGGGGGGUGCUAGAUGUGAUUAGAAGAAACCUCAAGGGAGGUUUCUGAUAUUAACCCAAAUUCAUUUUCACAUUAUGUUUAUGUACGUGAUAGUAUGUAAGGGCCAAUAAUUAAUUACAAAUUUAAACAAUAAGCUAACUUCUAUAAAUUUAUGACCAUGUAAGCAUACACAAGUAUUAUGGGAUACCUUACAACAAGUGUACCUUCUUGAUGUUGUCAAGCCAUCCUAGUCCUUGUUCAAGUAGUCUUUUUGGAUGUUGAAGCUCAUGACAAAACCAUAUGUGUAAAAUUUAUAAGCCUCAUCUUCUGCAUCAAACCCCAUUCCUGUUUUAGGAAUCCCAUCCUCUGUCAACUUGUUGCUAUCAACAACUGCAUUUUCUGUCAAUUACCACGUGUACAUCAGUCAUCACAAUGUGAACCAUUGCACUUACUCAUUCCAUCAACAAAAAGAUUGCACAUAAGUCAUUAAUUAUGUACACGUUUGGCCCAUUUCAACACAUACACACUACGAUGAAGUCAACAUAAUUACUAACCAUCUGUAUAGCAAUUUUAAUAUCAUAUUAUGUGCCAUGUAGACAACAUUACCGAUGAACCAACACCCAAUUGCAAAUUCAAAGAAACAACUAAGUUAUUUAAAUUUCUCGCCAUGCAGUUAUAAAUUUUGAUAGACAUGUACUUAUCAACUACCCUGAUAGUUUUUGCUACGCAAGCCACCCCACUCAAUCUCUUUUAGCCAAGAUAUAUGUAUACUAUGCAACCAGAUUUUAAAAGGUGAGAACUUUAAUUCAUCAAUUGAGUCAAAUUUACAAACACUUGGCAUGCAUAAGUUCCCUGUGCAUACGUUCUUUAAGUUGGCUCUCAAUGUAUCUAAUUUAUGCUACCCAUAUGAUUUCCUUGUUUAGGAGUUUUCGCCAGAAUUUCAAUUUCAUUAUUCAUGUCACACUGUCUUAAACGAGUUGUACAAACAAAAUCAUGCAAGUAAAUUCAUCCCUCUUCUGUCGCAAAACAAACCAAAUAGUGCAAUGAGUUUGCAAUAUUCUUACCUUUGGGGUUUAGUCCAAUUCGAUUGAGUCUAUCUCUGCUUUAGAUCUCACCAACUUCCGUCUUGUUGCAGCCUUCAUGAAAAAUUUUUGUCCCGCAACAGUUACUUCUGCAACACUAUACACUUUCUCCAAAAACCUCUCAUCUGAAACUUCCCAAUUUGGGGUAGGGAUAUUAUUUUGCUGAUACUCUGGAAUUGUGAAUGAAUGUUCACAAGAUAUGUUUUUGGAGGGAGACCAAAAUUCUAUUUCAUUUGAAAAUUUCAGAUGAAGAGUCGUGCCUCAUUAAUUUGAGCGGGAAUUUUUGGAACGGAACAGCUGAGGUAUUUUAACGGAGCCCGUUAGCCCCUCAAAUGUUUUUUUAUUUUUUUUCCUACUCACUCACUAAAACAACGUCGUUUUCCUUUGCUGUUGCUCCCAUUAUACGUGGCCCAUUGCAGUCCUCUCAUUUUUUUUUGUGAGAGGACCGCUCAGGGACGGUCCUCAGAGGACCGUCCCUGCCCCGUAUCCAUCGCUUACACUAUAUGUUUAGGUUGAGGGAUCUGACAUAGCACUCAAAAUCCUCGCGGUUGUUUAGAUCAUAAUUAUCAAACCCAAUCCGGCCCAGUAAUCAUGGCAUCAAGUUGGGCUAGGUCGAGAACCCAUUCGGUUUUACUGCAUGUCGAAUCUAUUCCUUUUUUGUAGAUACCAGGAGGAGGAGAGCACCGCGCAUCACGCGGUGUAAUUUUCAUUCUUGCCGACAAAUGCCCGGUUAUUCAAAUUCAGAUGUUAAUAAAUAUGAAUCUUUACUAUACUAAAGGUGGGAGUUCUAUUGCUACAGUGAAAAUGGGCCGGUUAUAGCGUAAUUUGUGUGAGCUUGAGGGGCAGUUUGGUCUUUUGCCAUUCAGUGGUGGUGGCUUUGUUGGAAAUGUAAGUUUGUUGCUAUCAGCUGUCUGCAUGGCUUUGGAACUUCGAUGCUGUCCGUGUGGCCUGGCUUUGGAACUUCCUUUUGUUGCAAAGAUCUUCAGGACACGCCAACAAGAACUAAGGGCUGGCCCAGCUGCACCAGGGAAAAGAAUAGAAGAGGCAUCUGACUCAUAAGCUACUAGCACGAAAGCCUAGCGAACAAAGAAGCGCAGCCCCUUUCUGGCUUAGCAAGGCGCAUCUGUUUUCUUGCUCCCUUGUUGCGCAUUAAGGACUAUACGCUCAGAAAAAGCUUAUUUAUCGCACCUUUACUUCUCUAUGGUUAUGCUAUAUCCCCUUUCCUAUAGGACGAGCCAUAAGAAUCUAUGAGAUUGAUUGAACAAGCCUUUAAUUUAAGGCGAAGAAAAAUCAUCGAACUAAUGGACGGAACCUUCAAAAGCCAGGGUAAGGUUUGGGGCACCAUUUCCCUAUCCUGUUAUUGGUAUUGUGGUAUAAGCGGCAAUGCCUUUCGUUUUAGUUGAAAAAACUGCUUUCCCUAACCAAGGAAUUAGUUCAACCAAAAAAGGGAAAGAAAGAAAAAAAAUAAGAAAAUAUGUAUAUUUAUCCUUGCAAGCUGGAACCAUUCGAUAUUAAAAGUCCGAGACUUAUUUUCAAUUAAUGAUGUCUUCUCCGAAUAAACCAUUUUUGCUUUCUUCAUUCUUAUGUAUGAACCAAACUCAUAGUAGGAUAAAUUUAAAUAACAAUUAUAUGUCACGCAUCCAGACCUAUUAAUGAAAAAAAAAGGCUAUUGACUAUACAAAAAAAAUUAAUUUAUUUUUACAUUAUUCUAAAAAUAGUUUUUAAAUAUGUUUAAGAGCUCAUCCAAUAUAGCAAACAAUGGAAAAUGAUAAAACCAUUUUAUAAUUUUAGGCAUUAUUUAGUAAUUAAGACUACAUUGAAAAUGUUAGAUAACCAUGCCUGAUAAUUCUACUUAAUUGUUAUCAUGACUUACUGAUUAAUGCUAAAUUGAGAAUAUUAGAUAACCUAAUGAAGAUGUUGAAAGGUUGGGACGAAAAACUUUCGCUAGAAAAAUCUUGUGAGCCAGAUGUUUAGACUUAUCUUAAAACUUUAACCGGUCACGUUAUUUCCCACACAGCAUUUAGUAGUAAUUGUGAAGAAAAAACAAAAAAGUUUAGAAUUUCAACAAAAACAGGCUGGCCAUAUUGUGACAGCUGAAAGGUUAUUAUAUAUCCCUAGAAUGAGAUAUAUUACUGGUUUCAAUCUUUUCCUCCCAGUGUUUAGAAAACAUAUUCCCCUGUUCUACAAGAAUGUGAAGAUAGUUCCUGUUGAAUGUGGCGUUUGUCCCACAUCGGACAAAGCCAGAGGAAGACGGCUCAUCAGGGCCUAUAAAUAUAUGGCCUUGGUGGUGAAGACAUUUGCACCACUCAAGAGAGUUAUAUGAGCUAUUAGCUUCUUGAGUCAUCUAGCCCAUUCAAUUAAAUAUUUUAGGCUCUCUUGUUUUGAGUUUAGGAAUUUUUCCUAAACCUUUUGUAAGUGCCUAUUGGCCUAGGAACUACUUUCCUACGGCUUUUGUAUUUCUUUUUCAUAGUAGAAAUAUUGCUCCUCCCUCGCCCGUGGACGUAGGUCAAUUUGACCGAACCACGUAAAUCUUUUGUGUCUUUUAUUUGCUUUGUUAUCCGUCUUUAUAUGGUCGAUUUUACCGCCUAAUUAUUAUAUGGCUGGUAUCUACCGCCUAUCUAUUAUAUGGUCGGUUAUACCGCCUACUUUGUGCUAACUUGAGUUUGUCUAUUUCCUGGCCCGAUCCUAACAAACUGGUAUCAGAGCUGGUUGUUAUAUUUUGCAAGACAGGUUCAUCUGGUGGGAUCCGUCCAUCCUGUGGGGCCCACUCAUCCUGUGGGGUCCGUUUAUCCGUGGGGCCCGCUCACCUUGUGGGGUCCGUUCAUCCCCGUGGGCCCGCUUAUCUCGUGGGGUCCACUCACCCUGUGGGGCCCGCUCACGAGACUUGCAUAUUUGUUUGGCCAGUUUUUUGAGACAAAUUUCAAAUUACAGAUUUUGUGGUAACAAUGACGAUAACAAAGACGGUUGUCGAGAAAUUCGACAGGAAUGUCAACUUCGGCAUGUGACAGCUCAAGAUGGAGGCCAUUCUUGUUCAAGACGGAGUUGAUUUGGCAAUUCAAGGAAUUGAGAAAAAGCCAGAAGAUGUGACAGAUGCAAAUUUUGCUGAGAUGGAUAAGAAGGCAAGAUCCAGUGUUAUCCUAAAUCUCUCCGAUGAGGUAUUGCGUGAGGUAGCAACGGAGACUUCGGCCAAGGCAAUGUGGGAUAAAUUGAAAGCCUUGUAUAUGAAGAAGACAGUCGAGAAUCGGCUAUAUUUGAAGCAGAGUUUGUACAUGCUUCGGAUGUCUGAAGGUACAUCUAUACUCUUCCAUCUUGAUAAAUUUGAUUCCAUUAUUAUGGAUUUGGAGAAUAUAGAUUCGAAAAUUGAUGAUGAAGAUCAGGCCCUAUUACUUUUAUGUUCCCUUCCUCAGUCCUUUAAACAUUUUCGUGAUACUAUGAUAUAUGGAAAGGAAACAAUUUCGUAUCGGAAAAUUAAAUCUGUAUUAAAAUCUAAAGAGCAGAUAAAUAGGGAUAUUACUGGGGAAACUAGUGGGAGUCAAGCUGAUGGCUUGUUUGUUCGGGGUAGAUCUGAAAGGAGAAACACAGAAAAUAGAAGUAGAUCUAAAUCCAGACAUAAAAAUGUGGUGUGCAACUAUUGUAAAAA
rnacentral:lncRNA from 1 species